rnacentral:lncRNA from 1 species
GUCCAUAUUGUGAGGAACUUCUGGCAUCUCAUUUAAUUGCUCAUCCAUGAGUUUAAGGAACUGCAGGUUCCCUUUUGUAUAUAGUGACGGUUGACCCAAAAUGGUUCAUAUUUAUGCAUACGUCACUAUUCAUGUGAAUAGUACUAUUUAUCAAGUCAUGAAUACGUAUCUAUUCAUCUGCCAGUACAGUUAUCAUCAAUGUGUACGGCACCAUGAAACUGCAGGUUCCCUUUUGUAUAUAGUGACGGUUUACCCAAAAUGGUUCAUAUUUAUGCAUACGUCACUAUUCAUGUAAAUAGUACUAUUCAUCAAGUCAUGAAUACGUAUCUAUUCAUCUGCCAGUACAGUUAUCAUCAAUGUGUACGGCACUAUGAACCAAUACGGUACUGUUACAUCAUUAAGGAACUUUAGGUCCUUAUUUACAUUUCAGGGAUCAAGGACCCUUAAUUCCGAUCACAUAUUUACAAAUACAGUACCGGAGAGACUGCCAGCUCUCAUAUUAAUAUCAUCAUCAAGGAUCUUCAAGUCCUGAUGUAAUUGUAUGAUGAGGAUCAAGGAACUUCUGGUCCUGAUCUGCUUACUGUAAAAACUCAUCAUACAGCACAAUUAAUCCAUAAAAUAAAUUGCUGAUAAAUAAAUUACUGGUAUGGACGAUAAACCCGCACCAUACUUUAAAUAAAUGUAAAUGUGCGGUAAAAUAAAUUCAUAAAUUAAAUUGCUUGCUGUAUGGACGUUAAUCCCGCACCAUACCUUAAAUAAAUUAAAUAGCUUGCUGUAUGGACGUAAAUCCCGCACCAUACCUUAAAUAAAAUUAAAUGUGCGGUAAAGUAAACGUGCUUGUAUGGGCACUAAUUCUGCUCCAUACAUUUAAAUAAAAGCAAAGGCGUAGACGAUAAACCCGCACCACCCUUUAAAUAAAUAUUGCCGCAUGGGUAAUAAACCUACACCAUACCAUAAAUAAUACUUUAAGUAAAAGUAAAUUUGCGAUAAAGUAAACGUGCUUGUAUGGGCACUAAUUCUGCUCCAUACAUUUAAAUAAAAGCAAAGGCGUGGACGAUAAACCCGCACCACUCUUUUAAAUAAAUACUGUUGUAUGGGUAAUAAACCUACACCAUACAGUAAAUAAAAUAAAUAUGGGGUUAAAACCACCACCGAAUAAAAUAAGAAAAAUGUUAGUAUUAGUAACGGUCUCCCACUGAUAAUAUGUUUAGUAUUACCAAGGGUCCAUUUUUAUUAGUGGUUAGUAAUAGAAAAGUGAAUAGAUAUAGCAUAUUAUAUUACCACAUUUCAAUAUUAAUAUUACAUAUGUAUGUAUAUGUAUAUAUGAAUAUAUUUGUUUCGGUGGGUUCUUAUCAUGUUGGUGGAAAGCUAAAAGUGGCAAUAAAGCUAAAAGUUGCAGAAACCUCUAGCAAUAUAUAUUUUGUAUAUAAUAUAAUAUUAUUAUACUAAUAUAUUAGUGGAAAGCUCUAUAUAUCAGGUUGGCCUUUGCUUGUCCAUCUCAACCACAAAACACACGGCACAGAUCUAAUCACACCUACACCCACCUCGGCUGGUCAUAAUUGUUAGAUAUUAGAUUAAUAUUAAAUAAUUGAGAUAGAGAAAACAGAGUGCUUAUCUCAUGGUCAUCAAGGCAUAUCCCACAUAGAGAGCGUCUCGUGCUGAUAACGUGUUAUAAAAUGACCUGGAAUAUGUACGAAUAUUGAGCUGCACGUAAAGUAGAUGAGACACAGCAUUUAACGAGAUUCGGCUAUGCCUACGUCUCCGGAGAGCAGCAGUAGUAACUUUUCCACUAUGUAAAAUAAUAGGGCUACAACUUUAGUGUUUACAAUAUGUGUGGCUCACUGAAUUUUCUCUCUAGGAGAAUUUCUCUCUGCUCUCUCUUUCCUCUUUCUUCCUUCUCUUCCUCUUGUCUCUUUCCUUUUCUCUCUUUCCUCUUUUCUCUUUCCCCUUCUUUCUUUCCUCUUCUCUUUCCUCUUCUCUCUUCUCUCUUUCCUCUUCUUUGUUUCUUUCCGUUUCCCUCUAUUCUCUUCCUCAUAGAUCAUUGUCUCUCUUUGCAUAAGAGAGAAGCCUUUUAUAGGGAAAGGGUGGAUAACACCCGUGAAUCUACAAUCCACCUGUGAAUCUACAAUACAAUCAUGCACCAAAGUCUACAAACAAAUAGUAAGUGGGCUCCACUACUUUAUACUUUACAACACUCCCCCUUGGAGACCACAAAUAAUAUGUCAGUUGCUUCAUCAGACUUUGCUUGGAGAAAACCUAGUAAGGUAGAGAACUGAUGGAAGGAAGAAAGAAGAGUACAACAAUCUGUAUAGCAUACUUCUGGAUGCUCCCCCUGAUUAAUAUCUCCCCCUGAUGUCUUCAUAACUAUCUUUUGGAGUGAGAAUCUUUCGGAGUGAGUGAAUGAUGUAGCCACCAACAAUUCAUAUAGUAAAUAUAUUUCCAGUGAGCUAUCUCUAUGUAAAUCAUAGAAAUUUUCAGAGUCCGCGUUUCCAACAAAACCUGGGCUAUUUGUAAGAUCAUAUGAAAGAAUAUGCCCAUACAUGGUGUUAUGCGGAGAUAGCAUCAAAUAUACCUCACAUCAUCCCAAAAUGAUGGUGAUGGAGUUGAGCCUUAUCUGGAAAAUAUGAUGUCCGGUCCAAUAUAAUUCCGGAAAAUCCUUAAAGUGCCCAACGGAUAAUCCUCAUAAAAAUGCUUCAAUACUUUCUCAGUAUAAGCAAGAAUCUCGUUGGCAUAAUGCUCGAUUUUUAAGUCGAGAUAAAUAUUUCGUGAAUUCUGCAGAAGUUUUAAUGUAUUGCAAUCACAUUAUAAUCAAUGUACUCAUUGAGGUAAUUUAUGCAUAUUAAUAUUGAGUACAAAUUUUGUGCUUCAAGCACAUGUCCUUUAGGGACUUGCUUUAUGCAAUGUCAAUCCUCUCAACGGAUUUUGUUUAAAAGGGAUUAAACUUUAUGACACAUUAUAUAGCUUUUACCCAGCUAUUUAUACAUCUUUAGGAAAUCACUUCUGGCGAUAUGCUCCGUGCAUUUAAUAACCCUUAAAGAUAAUAUGUUGGUCUCCGUAAUUGUGUAAUAAGGGGGGCACAAUUGAAUCUGUAAAUAUGGAGAAAACCCAACAUUCCUUGUUUCUGCCAGAAACAUUGUGUCAUACAAAGUAGGUAUAUUCCCUUUUAUUCCGAACACCCAAGUAUAAAUUUCAGUAUUAACAUCUUUUGGGGUUCGUACUGUGGGUUUGUUCUUUCACGUUCAUUCUCAUCUAUAAUGGAAUUACAUCAUUCCAUUUUGGCCAAUAAUAUUGUCGACAUUUAAUAAUUGAACGUGGUUCCAAUCAACACAGCCCAUUGAUGAUUUAAGUAGCUACUCCAGCACCAAAAAUUGUCAUUCAUCAAUUCAUGAUCUCACCAUUCUCAUUUGCAUGCGCAUGCAUCAAUUCUAAGCAUUUCUUUGCUUUUGGGUACCCAAGCCACUUCAUUGGGCUUUUAUUAUGUGAGAAUGUGGAUUAUAACCUCCAAUGGAGCGUUAUUUUACAUAGGGCGUGGAAAAUCUCCAUUUAGGGAGUUGGAACAUUUAGAACCCAUAUAUCUGUCAUGCUGCAGGCAUGCCACAGAUUAAUACAUACAUGUCAAUUAAUUUAUGGGACCUUAACCCAUAUUAUGGGACUUUAACCCAUAUAAUUUGCUACGCAUUAGGCGUGCAUAAUAUCAAUAUUGACAUGUCAAAGUAUUGUCCUUUCGGGACUUCAAUCCACAUCAUUUGCUAGGCAACAGGCGUGCAUCAUAUUGAUCACUGCUAUACCCAUAUUCUGUUCUUAUGGGACUUUAAUCUGCGCAGUGUAUUAUCAAUGUAUCCAACUUGCAAUCUGUAAAAUUUGCGUUAAUAAUUCAUGGAUACAUACAAGCCAUUCUUUUGGAACGGACUUAUCUCCCCAUUUGGUUACCUUUCAAGAUAAAAUAUCAAAUAGGUAUAUAAGCAUAAAAUAACACAAGUAUUGCUUACAUCCUUAGGUGGGAGAAACUUUUCUCAAGUAUCAUUCAAGCUCAUAUCGGCCCAGUAAAUAUAAUGUAGCGCUUGAUGAUCUAGUUAUAUCCUGCAAGAGCAAAAAUCACAACUCUUUUGCCUCUGUCAAAACAAAUAACCUUCAUAGUUAGGAUUACUUCAUGGAUUCAUUCUUCAGAUGUUCAUUCUAAAGAAAUAAAAUCCCUUAUGAACAGAGAGUUAUAAAAAGAGAAAUAAUGCAAAAAUAAUGUGAUAUUGAUUGCAAGAGAAGGUUAGCAAUCAAGGAAGGAAGCUGGUGGGAGCAAACAACAAGCUCUCAGUUCUCCUAGUCUAGAAGGACCUCAGGAGAUUAGAGCAUAAGAUCGCCUUCACAGUUUCCUGAUGUAGCGGAAACGUGAUCAGGGAUAGUCUCGCUUCCUGAAUGGAUGAUCAGAGAUAGUCUUGCUUCUCGGGCAUUUUAAAUGCUCACUGAUAAGAAAAACAAGUAGAUAUCGCAUCACUAGGUAUGGAGAAAACUGGAUGUCUUCUGCAAAGAAAAUUUCGUUAGUAACACAUUUAUACACAAAUAAGAUAAAUAGGUAGAACUGGUGAAUUUCAAAUUAACCAUAGGAAAAUUGCGAGAUUCUCGGGAUGCUUUUGAAAAAGUAGCUCCGUGAAAUCCGUAAAGCAAGAUCAGCUUUGACGAAAAUAAUACUUGAAAACGCCGAAAGUGCCGACAGGCAUUAUUAGAGGCCACGUGAAGUUUUGGACUCUGGGAAAGAAAAAGAUAAUAUGGGGAUUCGAGAAGAUAUUGGGAUCCUGGAAAUGUUGCCACAUUUUCGUCUAUAGCUAUUGCCUUUGCAAAACUUGAUUGGAGCAACUGCGUUUCAACUCAACUUCCUUCAGAGGCUUCCAGAACAUAAUAUAAUUUUUAUAGAUUUUACAGGGCCUGCACCUUCAUUGCAGGUGGAAAAAAUCUAUCUGUUGUAUGUUCCUGUAAUAAUAAUUGCGCACAUUCUUAAACUUGCACCUGUGGUUUUUAUGUCUUUUCAAAAUGACGGUUUGGAACCUUGUGCCUUAUAGGUUCAAAUAACCACAUUGUCUCUCCCAAAUUGCAUGGUAGCCCGGAACUUUUGGCCUGGGCACAAACUCAGAAUUUAUUUGCCCUUUUCAAAUGGACAUGAAAUGUGAAUUGAGUAAAAGCCAUGAUAAUAUCGCAAUAUAGUAGUGAAGAGCAUUAACUACUAUAUACCCACAACUUCAAGUUCAGGAUCUCUCAUAUAUUUGGAUCCAUGGGCUUCCGGCCCAGAUAUAACAAAAUAUGUGGGGAGCCUCAAUUCAUUAUUUGAGGUUUAUAUUGAUAUUAUCCAUUUCGCGGUGUAUUCUUAACAACCGGAAUUCACAAAAUAUAUUUCUUCCUUGAGGUGUCGAUUAUAACAAAAUCGAACUUUAAAUUCAUCAUCUUCUUAUGCCAAAGAAAUAUGUGGCAUACCACAAUUUGCAAUAAUACCUCAAGGCCAAAAGUUCCGGGCUACCAUGAAAUUUGGGAGAGACAAUGUGGUUAUUUGAACCUAUAAGGCACAAGGUUCCAAACCGUCAUUUUGAAAAGACGUAAAAAACCACAGGUGCAAAUUUUAAGAAUGUGCGCAAUUAUUAUAACAGGAAAGGAGCAAGUUGAAACGCAGUUGCUCCAAUCAAGUUUUGCAAAGGCAAUAUCUAUAGGAGGAAAUAUGGCUACAGUUUCCAGGAUCCCAAUAUUAUCUCAGAUCCCCAUAUUAUCUUUUUCUUUUCCAGAGUCCAAAACUUCACGUGGCCUCUGAUAAUGCAUGUCGGCACUUUCAGCGUUUUCAAGUAUUAUUUUUUUCAAAAGCCGAUCUUGCUUUGCGGAUUUCACGGAGCUACUUUUUCAAAAGUAUCCCGAGAAUCUCGCAAUUUUCCUAUGGUUAAUUUGAAAUUCACCGGUUCUACCUAUUCAUUGUAUUUGUGUAUAAAUGUGUUACUAACGAAAUUUUCUUUGCAGAAGACAUCCAGUUCUCUCCAUACCUAGUGAUGCGAUAUCUACUUGUUUUUCUUAUCAGUGAGCACUUAAUAUGCCCGAGAAGCAAGACUAUCUCUGAUCAUCCAUUCAGGAAGCGAGACUAUCCUUGAUCACGUUUUCGCCACAUCAGGGAACUGUGAAGGCGACCUUAUGCUCUAAUCUCCGAAAGUUCUUCUAGACUAGGAGAAAUGAGAGCUGGUUGUUUGCUCCCACCAGCUUGCUUCCUUGAUUGCUGAGCUUGUUGUCUGCUCCCACCAGCUUCCUUCCUUGAUUGCUUACCUUCUCUUGCAAUCAAUAUCACAUUAUUUUUGCAUUAUUUCUCUUUUUAUAACUCUCUGUUCAUAAGGGAUUUUAUUUCUUUAGAAUGAACAUCUGAAGAAUGAAUCCAUGCAGUGAUCCUAACUCUGAGAGUUAUUUGUUUUUGACAGAGAAAAGAAUUGUGAUUUUUGCUCUUGCAGGAUAUAACAAGAUCAUCAAGCGAUACUUUAUAUUUACUGGGCCGAUACGAGCUUGAAUGAUACUUGAGAAAAGUUUCUCCCACCUAAGGAUGUAAGCAAUACUUGUGUUAUAUUAUGCUUAUAUACCUAUUUGAUAUUUUAUCUUGAAAGGUAACCAAAUGGGAAGAUAAGUCCGUUCCAAAAGAAUGGCUUGUAUGUAUCCAUGAAUUAUUAAUGCAAAUUUUACAGAUUGCAAGUUGGAUACAUUGAUAAUACACUGCACAGAUUAAUGUACCAUAAGAACAGAAUAUGGGUAUAGCAGUGAUCAAUAUGAUGCACGCCUGUUGCGUAGCAAAUGAUAUGGAUUGAAGUCCCGAAAGGACAAUCCUUUGACAUGUCAAUAUUGAUAUUAUGCACGCCUAAUGCGUAGCAAAUUAUAUGGGUUAAAGUCCCAUAAUAUGGGUUAAAGUCCCAGAAAUUAAUUGACAUGUAUGUAUUAAUCUGUGGCAUGCCUGCAGCAUGACAGAUAUAUGGGUGCACGCCUGUUGCGUAGCAAAUGAUAUGGAUUGAAGUCCCGAAAGGAAAAUCCUUUGACAUGUCAAUAUUGAUAUUAUGCACGCCUAAUGCGUAGCAAAUUAUAUGGGUUAAAGUCCCAUAAUAUGGGUUAAAGUCCAAUAAAUUAAUUGACAUGUAUGUAUUAAUCUGUGGCAUGCCUGCAGCAUGACAGAUAUAUGGGUUCUAAAUGUUCCAACUCCCUAAAUGGAGAUUAUCCACGCCCUACUAUAAAAUAACGCUCCAUUGGAGGUUAUAAUCCACAUUCUCACACAAUAAAAGCCCCCUGCAGUGGCUUGGGUACCCAAAAGCAAAGAAAUGCUUAUAAUUGAUGCACGCGCAUGCAAAUGAGAAUGAUGGGAUCAUGAAUUGAGGAAUGACAAUUUUUGGUUUUGGAGUAGCUACUCAAAUCAUCAAUGGGCUGUGUUGAUUGGAACCACGUUCAAUUAUUAAAUGUCGACAAUAUCAUUGGCCAAAAUGGAACGAGGUAAUUCCAUUAUAAAUGGGAAUGAACGUGAAAGAACAAACCCACAAUACGAACCCCAAAAUUUGUUAAUACUGAAUUUAUACUUGGGUGUUCGGAAUAAAAGGGAAUAUACCUACUUUGUAUGACACACUGUUUUCUAGCAGAAACAAGGAAUGUUGGGUUUUCUCCAUAUUUACAGAUUCAAUUGUGCCCCCCCUUAUUACACAAUUACGGAGACCAACAUAUUAUCUUUAAGGGUUAUUAAAUGAACGGAGCAUAUCGCCAGAAGCGAUUCCCUAAAGAUGUAUAAAUAGCUGGGUUAAAGCUAUAUAAUGUGUCAUAAAGUUUAAUCCCCUUUUUAAACAAAAUCCGUUGAGAGGAUUGACAUUGCAUAAAGCAAGUCCCUAAAGGACAUGUGCUUGAAGCACAAAAUUUGUACUCAAGAUUAAUAUGCAUAAAUUACCUCAGUGAGUACAUUGAUUAUAAUGUGAUUGCAACACAUUAAAGCUUCUGCAGAAUUCACGAAAUAUUUGUCUCGAUUGAGCAUUAUGCCAACGAGAUUCUUGCUUAUACUAAGAAAGUAUUGAAGCAUUUUUAUGAGUCUUAUCCGUUGGUCCUUAAAUGUUUUUCCGGAAGUAUACUAGACCAGAUAGAGCUCAGCUCCACACUGUACUCUUUUUCCUUCAUCCAGGUUUUUAUCCCAUUGGGUUUUUCCUGGUAAGGUUUUAACGAGGCAGUGUAGCUCAAAGGUUUAGGGUAUACUAUGAAAAUUUCUAUGGUCGCUUACUGGACAGAAGCUAGUCCUAAAUUUUUCAGGGGGAGAUAUUCAUCAGGGGGAGCAUGGUUUUAAUAAAGACCUUCAUACACUGUACUCUUUUUCCUUCAUCCAGGUUUUUAUCCCACUGGGUUUUUCCUGGUAAGGUUUUAACGAGGCAAUGUCACUCAAGAGUGACUCACAGAAGCAGUGUCAACUACGAUAUUCAGAAAGGUGAACAACAGUAUGACUUAAAGAUAUUUUGCCAAGCAUCAGGGGGAGCGCGCUAUCAAUAAAGAUCUUCAAACACUGUACUCUUUUUCCUUCGUCCAGGUUUUUAUCCCACUGGGUUUUUCCUGGCAAGGUUUUAACGAGGCAGUGUCGCACGCGCGUCAAUAUACAUAGAAUUUAAUAUUACACAUGAUUAUGUACUCUUUUUCCCUUUGACCAGUUUUUGUCACACUGGGUUUUUACUGGCAAGGUUUUUAACGAGACAUAUUCUGUAUCAUUUGUGGUCUCCAAGGGGGAGUGUUGUAAAUGUGGAGCCCAAAUGCCUAUAAAUAGGGCUUCUCCAUUUGUAACAAAACACACAAUAAGAAGAGAAAAACUUCUCUCUCUCUCUCCAUCUAAAUUCUCUGUCAAUUCCCUCUCCAAUUCCUCUUGAUUUAUAACAAGUUGUAUAUUUUUUUUGGCCUAUUGAGUAAACUAUUGCGUACAAAAGUACUAAAUUGAAAUGAGUGGUUUUUUCCCAUAAAUGUAGUAUAAUUUUACUAUUAUAUUCACAUUAAAAUACAAUUUUGACAAGUAUUGAUUUGUGGUGAGGGGUCCAUAGGCUUAAGUAUAGCAAUUUUUCUUUGCAUUUGUUACCACAUCCAAUAUAUACAUUCAAAAGGGUUAAAUAAAUUGGAGGGGCCAAGGCCAUCCCAGGCCUUAGUACAGCUCCGCCCCUGUGUCCAGAGAUUAAGGUACGGGCUCCAUUUGCUUCUGUGGCUAUUUCUCCGGAACAUGUUGCACAGGCGAUGAGUUUUUCUCAAAUACUUCUUUCUGACUUCGUUCUCUUCUCUGUAUAGUUUUGCUGGAUAUAAUUCAGUAGAAAUGCUAGCUUUAUAUUGGCCCCUUUUUUUUUCUUCUCAUUUCCUGGAAAUAUAAAUCUCGUGCAAGCUUUACUGGUCCUUUUCUCUCCUUUCCCUUCUUUUUGUUUAAUUAAGCAUAUACAGAAUCAAGAUAUUCAUGUGGUAAAAACUACAAGAGUUCUUUUGUUUACCUUGUAAAGAGAGUAAGUGGGUGUCCAAUUUGAACCAAAAAAAUUUCAUUUCCCUGUUUCACAUAAAAUUGAAAAACUGAAAUUAAUUACCAAACAACUUUUUUCAGUUAUUUUUUUUAAAAUUGAAAAUAAAAAACUGAUGGUUAUCAAACGAACCCUUAAUAUUUUCGUUUCGUCUUGUUUGAGUGGGAUCCCUUUACAUAUUUUAUUGGUUUGUUUUGUAAUUCUUUGUCAUAGGGUUCAGGGAUUAUGAUUAUGAUUUCAUCUUUUCCAGUUAAGGGAUUAUGAUUUCGAAACUUGAUGCUUACCUUUAUUUAUUUUUUAUGUUGAGUCUGAAAAAAGAAAAUGAUUUGGUUGUAAAUUUGUGAAUAAUAGGAUGGUAUGAAAAAAGCUCAAAAAAAAAUUAGAACCCGUUUGAUGACUAUUUCGGUAUUUUAUUUUUAGUUUCUAUUUUUCAAUUCAAAGAAAUUGAAAGCAUAAAACUUCUUUGGUUAUUAAUUUUAAGGCCUCGUUUGAUAACCAUUUUAUUUUAUUUUCUGUUUUUUUAUUAUUAUUAAAGAAAAACAGAAAACAUAUUUGAUAAAACUUUUCAUUGUCAGAUUUCAAAGUUACCCUUUCUAAUUCUCAUGAAUCAAACAUUUUCAAAUAAUCCAUUCUCUAAAACAAACAGUGCUUAAUAAGUAUUGACAUCUGAAUCAAUACUUGAUGAACUAUCUAAGACAACAUGCAAACUACGUUCAUUAGAUAUAUGCUUUUGACCUCAUUAUUCUUGUAGUGACCUACAAUUAGAAUAGUACACUACAAUUAGAAUAGUAUAUUAUCAUUUUGCAUGUCGAAACGGUUUUCGAUUUAUCUAAUUUUUUGUAAGGAUGAUUUAUGAAUGAAGACCUAAAAAAUAGAGAGUUUGGAUCAUUGAAAAAAAUAUUCGUAGAGUACCUUAAAGGGUGUCCCUUAAAUAAAAUUAUUUGAAGGAUCCUCAAUAUAUAUAUAUGUACAUGAUGAGUAGUAUAUAUAUUAUAACAUAAUCAAAGCCAAUUGUUAGAUUUCCUUCAUGAUUAUAACACAUUAUAUAAUAAUUCAUGUUUCUUCAAUAGAUUCUACAAAGGGCCACUUGUUAGAUUUGUAGGCUCACUCCGCAUUGUAUUUCAUUAAUCUAAAUUCUACAUUCUAGAUAAUCAUUCAAAAAUCAUAUCUACAAAAAAUCACUUGAAUCCGAUAUUGUUUGACCACUCAAUUGUGUUAUUGAAAUUUUAGUACUUUCUUGAAGCACUGUGUUCUUUGAUUUUGUAGGAUACAAUUGGAUGUCGAAACGGUUUCCGAUUUAUCUAAUUUUUUGUAAAGAUGACGAGUAGUGUAUAUUCUUUUAAAAACAACAUAAAAAUAGUGGUAUGUUGUAAAAUAAAGAAGGUGGAGUCCAAAAUGAUGCUUACCUAUAAAGCUUCCCCCCCACUUGUAUUGGUAGGGAGAAGGUGGAGUCCAAAAUGGUAAUGAUGAUGCUUGCCAACACAAGAAGAAUGAUUAGGCAACCACUUUGUUCUGCCUACAAAUAAGGCUUCCUCCUCACUUGUAAUAUAUAGAACAUAGAUACAGAUAUGUGAAGAACUCUCUAUUCAAUAAGAGAUCAGUUUCUCUCUAUCUCAAUUCUCUCCAUUUUCUCUCUUGAUUUAUAACACGUUAUCAGCACGAAGCUCUAACCAGCUGAGUUUUCUGAUAAAAACCAGAGACCAAAAUCAACCGGAAUUCUCAGCUUCUCAAUCCCAAUCCUUGGAGGGGAAAUAUGGCUGAGCGGCAGAGCCGAAGAAAUAUCAAACACAUAAACGAGCCUGAAAAACAAAGAGAGUCUGCAGCCAGCAAUCCAAAGCAGAGAAAGAUCUCUGCUGGCGUCCUUGCCCGACUUGCCGUCCGUCACGUCAAAGACGUUGUAUUGGAUCAGCUGCUGUGCUGUUAGCUCCAUGGUUGCGUCCACACAGAUGCUAAAGGAGCAAAUGACAAGAAGCUCACAACUUGCGGGUCCUGGGCUUAGGCCAGCAGGUCAUAGUCCUAGCCCACGGCUUCGGCACCGACCAGUCGGUCUGAAAGCACCUCGUCCCCCACCGACUACAGAGUCGUCAUGUACGACAACAUGGGCGCCGGAACGACAAAGCCCGAAUACGCCGACUCGGUCACCUUCCCCACAGGCCGAGCAGAGUCCUCUGCCUUCUAAGAUCCUACCACCAAGCCUGCUUACAGCUUCAACAACCUGUCCUCUCAGUUUUUUGUGACAACAAACAGCCACCUCUUGUGAAAUGUGGUCAAGAGGGACAAUAUCCUAUCUGAUGAUGAAAGCUCAUCUUUUGGUCUGCGAAGCUUUUUAUGCACAGAAACAGGUGGACCUUGCUGGGCUUCAUGUUCUCCGGGAUGACGAAGAGCGGCGCGGAGAAGAUCAGGCCCGUCCAAGUGUCGGGCUGGGACUGGAAGUACAUGAGCAUGGUGGCAGCGCCGCCCAUGGACUCGCCGAAGAGGAAGGCAGGGAGGCGGAGGUAUAAUUCGUUGCGGCGCACGUGGAGGAAGAAGGAGAGUGAAGCUUCCUCUGACCAAUGCUCCCGAAGAAAAGCUUUUAACUCAGGAGCUACAGCCUCAUCAUCAGACCGAGCAAUACUGUCUGCAACAGCAUAAGUAGCUGCUGGAUCACCCAAGAAGUCGGAAUGGAGAAGAAAUGCAACACCAUCAAGAGAAAGACCACCACCUGUCAGAUGCGGCACAUGCGCACAUGCAACCUAAUAGUCUCCUGACCACUUGGCACAUGCGCACAUGCACACACGGUUUUGUGGCUACUAAUCUUGGUUAAACUGAAAACAGAUGCCUCCAUAUAUUUCUUUACGAUCAGAUGUGGGCCAUAUCUAUGAAUUGUUUUGUAGAUUGAUAUCUUUGAUGAUGGAUAUCGGUGGAGGAAGUAUGGUCAAAAAGUAAGCCACUAAAAGUGGUUGAAAGGCCGGUGUUGAUAUGAUGCAAGGCACUGGAAAUCUAGUAAGCAUGCCCAAAAAGUGACCCUAUGCUGGAGUAUAUUUUGAAAAGUGGGAUACACAGCAAGUUGAUCAGCCUAGUGGAAAGCAAAGGAUUAUUGCCAGGGAUAUGAACACCCACCGAAAUAAAGGGAUAAGUAUUCUGCCUCACUCUAUUUCCUUCAAUUAAAUACAUUAUUAAAAUAUCUACAGAAUUUAAUACUCAUGACCAGUGUAGAUUGCAGGUGGAAAGAAGAAAAAGCCAACGUGAUAUAUCUAGCUUUCCACUAAUAUAUCAGUAUAAUAAUAUUACACUAUUUAAUUGUGGUGUUGAUAAGAACCCACCAAUAAUUGCCUUUAUUUUUAUUUAAAAGUAUGGAGCAGAAUUAGUGCCCAUACAAGCACGUUUAAUUUACCGCACAUUUAAUUUUAUUUAAAGUAUGGUGCGGGAUUAACGUCCAUACAACAAGCAAUUUAAUUUAUGAAAUUAAUUUACCGCACAUUUACAUUUAUUUAAAAGGGUGGUGCGGGUUUAUCGUCCACGCCUUUACUUUUAUUUAAAUGUAUGGUGCGGGUUUAUCGUCCAUACCAGUAAUUUAUUUACCAGCAAUCUAUUUUAUGGAUUAAAUGUGUUGUAUGAUGAGUUUUUACAGUAAGCAGAUCAGGACCAGAAGUUCCUUGAUCCUCAUCAUACAAUUACAUCAGGACUUGAAGAUCCUUGAUGAUGAUGUUAAUAUGAGAGCUGGCAGUCUCUCCGGUACUAUAUUUGUAAACAUGUUAUUGGACUUGAGGGUCCUUGAUCCUUGACAUGUAAAUAAGGAACUCGGGUUCCUUAAUGAUGUAACAGUACCGUAUUGGUUCAUAAUGCUGUACACUUGGAUGAUAACUGUACUAGCAAAUGUACUGUACACAUAAAUAGUGCACUAUAUAUGAAUAGUGAUGUAUGCAUAAAUAUUUACCAUUUCGGGUAAACUAUCACCAUUCAAAAGGGACCUACAGUUCCUUAAACUCAUGGAUGAGCAAUUAAAUGAGAUGCCAGAAGUUCCUCAAAAUAUGGACAAUUAUGUAAGGACUUGAAGUCUAGAAAUAUGUACAGAAAAUUGUAAAAAUGUCCAUACCAUGAGAAUAUGUGAUUUUGGCCCGAAUUUCAAAAUCUAAGGGGAUUGAAUGUCCAUACCAUAAGAAUAUGUGAUUUUUGGCCUAAAAUUCAAAAUCUAACAGUGUUGAGAACCUGAAGUUCCAACAAUUAAAUGGACAACCCUUGAGGUAUUAUUGCAAAUUGUGGUACGCCACAUAUCUCUUUGGCAUAAGAGAAUGAUGAAUUGAGGCUCCCCACAUAUUUUGUUAUAUCUGGGCCGGAAGCUCAUGAACCCAAAUAUAUGAGAUAUUAGCGUGGCUUUUACUCAAUUCAUAUUUCAUGUCCAUUUUGAAAAGGGCAAAUAAAUUCUGAGUUUUGUGUUUAGCCCAGGCCAAAAAGUUCUGGGCUCCCAUACGUUGAAAUAUGAAAUUUGGGAGAGUCGAUGUGGUUAUUUGAACCUAUAAGGCACAAGGUUCCAAACCGUCAUUUUGAAAAGACGUAAAAACCACAGGUGCAAAUUUUAAGAAUGUGCGCAAUUAUUAUAACAGGAAAGGAGCAAGUUGAAACGCAGUUGCUCCAAUCAAGUUUUGCAAAGGCAAUAUCUAUAGGAAGAAAUAUGGCUACAGUUUCCAGGAUCCCAAUAUUAUCUCAGAUGCCCAUAUUAUCUUUUUCUUUCCCAGAUUCCAAAACUUCACGUGGCCUCCAUUAAAUGUUUGUCGGCACUUUCGGCGUUUUCAAAGUUUUAUUUUCAUCAAAAACCGAUCUUGCUUUACGGAUUUCACGGAGCUACUUUUUCAAAAGUACCCCGAGAAUCUCGCAAUUUUCUUAUGGUUAAUUUGAAAUUCACCGGUUCUACCUAUUCAUUAUAUUUGUGUAUAAAUGUGUUACUAACGAAAUUUUCUUUGCAGAAGACAUCUAGUUUUUCUCCAUACCUAGUGAUGCGAUACCUACUUGUUUUUCUAAUCAGUGAGCACUUAAUAUGCCCGAGAAGCAAGACUAUCUCUGAUCAUCCAUUCAGGAAGCGAGACUAUCCCUGAUCACGUUUCCGCUACAUCAGGAAACUGUGAAGGCGAUCUUAUGCUCUAAUCUCUGGAAGUCCUUCUAGACUAGGAGAUAUGAGAGCUUAUUGUCUGCUCCCACCAGCUUCCUUCCCUGAUUGCUUACCUUCUUUUUUUGCAUUUUUUCUCUUUCUGUAACUCUCUGAGGAUUAUUUGUUUUUGACAGAGAAAAGAGUUGUGAUUUUACUAUUGCAGGAUAUAACUAGAUCAUCAAGCGCUACAUUUACUGGGCCGAUACAAGCUUGAAUGAUACUUGAGAAAAGUUUCUCCCACCUAAGGAUGUAAGCAAUACUUGUGUUAUUUUUUGCUUAUAUACUUAUUUGAUAUUUUAUCUUGAAAGGUAACUAAAUGGGAAGAUAAGUCCGUUCCAAAAGAAUGGCUUGUAUGUAUCCAUGAAUUAUUAAUGCAAAUUUCACAGAUUGCAAGUUGGAUACAUUGAUAAUACACUGCAUAGAUUAAUGUACCAUAAGAACAGAAUAUGGGUAUAGCAGUGAUCAAUAUGAUGCACGCCUGUUGCGUAGCAAAUGAUAUGGAUUGAAGUCCCGAAAGAACAAUCCUUUGACAUGUCAAUAUUGAUAUUAUGCACGCCUAAUGCGUAGCAAAUUAUAUGGGUUAAAGUCCCAUAAUAUGGGUUAAAGUCCCAGAAAUUAAUUGACAUGUAUGUAUUAAUCUGUGGCAUGCCUGCAGCAUGACAGAUAUAUGGGUUCUAAAUGUUCCAACUCUCUAAACAGAGAUUAUCCACGCCCUACUGUAAAAUAACGCUCCAUUGGAGGUUAUAAUCCACAUUCUCACAUAAUAAAAGCCCCAUGAAGUGGCUUGGGUACCCAAAAGCAAAGAAAUGCUUAUAAUUAAUGCAUGCGCAUGCACAUGAGAAUGGUGAGAUCAUGAAUUGAUGAAUGACAAUUUUUGGUUUUGGAGUAGCUACUCAAAUCAUCAAUGGGCUGUGUUGAUUGGAACCACGUUCAAUUAUUAAAUGUCGACAAUAUUAUUGGCCAAAAUGGAAUGAUGUAAUUCCAUUAUAGAUGAGAAUGAACGUGAAAGAACAAACCCACAGUACGAACCCCAAAAGAUGUUAAUACUGAAACUUAUACUUGGGUGUUCGGAAUAAAAGGGAAUAUACCUACUUUGUAUGACACAAUGUUUCUGGCAGAAACAAGGAAUGUUGGGUUUUCUCCAUAUUUACAGAUUCAAUUGUGCCCCCCCCUUAUUACACAAUUACGAAGACCAACAUAUUAUCUUUAGGGGUUAUUAAAUGCACGGAGCAUAUCGCUAGAAGCGAUUUCCUAAAGAUGUAUAAAUAGCUGGGUUAAAGCUAUAUAAUGUGUCAUAAAGUUUAAUCCCUUUUAAACAAAAUCCGUUGAGAGGAUUGACAUUGCAUAAAGCAAGUCCCUAAAGGACAUGUGCUUGAAGCACAAAAUUUGUACUCAAUAUUAAUAUGCAUAAAUUACCUCAGUGAGUACAUUGAUUAUAAUGUGAUUGCAACACAUUAAAACUUCUGCAGAAUUCACGAAAUAUUUGUCUCGAUCGAGCAUUAUGCCAACGAGAUUCUUGCUUAUACUAAGAAAGUAUUGAAGCAUUUUUAUGAGUCUUAUCCGUUGGUCCUUAAAUGUUUUUCCGGAAGUAUACUAGACCAGAUAGAGCUCAGCUCCACACUGUACUCUUUUUCCUUCAUCCAGGUUUUUAUCCCACUGGGUUUUUCCUGGUAAGGUUUUAACGAGGCAGUGUCGCUCAAGAUUGACUCACAGAAGCAGUCUCAACUACGAUAUUCAGAAAGGUGAUCAACAGUAUGACUUAAAGAUAUUUUGCCAAGCAUCAGGGGGAGCGUGCUAUCAUUAAAGAUCUUCAAACACUGUACUCUUUUUCCUUCGUACAGGUUUUUAUCCCACUGGAUUUUUCCUGGCAAGGUUUUAACGAGGCAGUGUCGCACGCGCGUCAAUAUACAUAGAAUUUUAUGUUACACAUAAUUAUGUACUCUUUUUCCUUUGACCAGUUUUUUUUUUUUGUCCCACUGGGUUUUUACUGGCAAGGUUUUUAACGAGGCAUAUUACAUAUCAUUUGUGGUCUCCAAGGGGGAGUGUUGUAAAAUAAAGAAGGUGGAGUCCAAAAUGAUGCUUACCUAUAAAGCUUCCCCCCCACUUGUAUUGGUAGGGAGAAGGUGGAGUCCAAAAUGGUAAUGAUGAUGCUUGCCAACACAAGAAGAAUGAUUAGGCAACCACUUUGUUCUGCCUACAAAUAAGGCUUCCUCCUCACUUGUAAUAUAUAGAACAUAGAUACAGAUAUGUGAAGAACUCUCUAUUCAAUAAGAGAUCAGUUUUUCUCUAUCUCAAUUCUCUCCAUUUUCUCUCUUGAUUUAUAACAUGGUAUUUCUUUUCAUUUUAUUAAAGGUAAGAAAUUCAAAACUUAUCUCAAAUUGACUUUAUUGAAAAUUUAAAAUUCUAACUAAACUCCACAGCACACAUGUUCCUUCACUGAUGACGUAGGAAACUUAACAUCCCUCCCUUUGAAGUGAAUUUAUCAAUCUACUUCUAUUUCCAUGGCCUAUAUCAAAUUGCAUUAAACAUAGUCAAUAAACGUCAUAAUUUUGUGAUCGUACUCGCCUGUGGUCCUCUUUUCCUUUCAAAGUACCUGAAGCCAACCUUCCCUAAGGACACCCAGACCCAAUCGAGAUAGAAAAAGGCCGCCCUAGCCCAUAUAACAACCAUACAGCGGAUUAGAGAGAGAAAAUAAAAUAUCGUUUCAGCCCCUCCUUACCCAGAGAAACCUUUACACCCUUCCAAGUCCAUCUUUAUCGCUUUCCCAUUGAGUCACAAACCCACGUAACUACGCGCAGUGAUUUAACUUUCAACAUUUGUGUAUAUUAAAUGUGAGACGAAAGGAUAUCUCGCCAAUGUGGGACUAAUAAUUGUCAUUUGGCAAGAGAAGCCCAAUUUAUUUUCUACUAAAGAUUGAGGUGAAACUCAGAUUGUUUCAACCAUAAUGAUUAAACUUGUCAAAACUCAACAUCAAAACCGACAUGAUUAUCUUCUCAUCUUUAAUUGACAAUCACUCAUCUUCACUUAUUUUAGAAUGCGUUGCUUCGCAAAAAUCAAAACCUGGAGAGUUUGCAACUCCAACUUUGGCAAUUUAUUUCUUGGGUUUUUGCUUACACAAUCUCUAAUUUUUUGCUGUGCGGUGGCGGCUCCAUUUUAGGCCAUAUCGCUGCUUGUCGGUCAAUCAUUAGUUAUGUAAGUUCAGCUCAGUUACGAACCAAUUCCACCCCUAUCUAAAGAGGUUAGUAUUUUUAUGUUACACUUGUAUUGGUACUUUUAGUCGUAUUGAAACUACAACACAAUAUCUAGUAUGCGUAGAAUUAAAAAUUAAAUUAUUGAGGAGUUAUGUUAUGCUUAGAUAAGUAAAAAGGAUGAACAUUUUACUCUGAGAUUUUCCAACUCCAACUUCUGGUAAUUUGCUUCUUGGGUUUUCGCUUACCGGAUUUCUAAUUUUAAUUGAGGAAGUGAACUAGCUAGGAAACCUUAACAAGAAGCAUAAAACCAUUACAUAAUUAUUUUUAAAUAAAAAGAGCCCUCAUCUCACAUCAAGAAAGUACACAUCAAGUUUUUAAAUUCUCUCACAAUUAAUCCUUAAAAGUUCAAACUUAAUUUUUGAAAUUUGGGUUUUUUUAAAAGUUCGUUUAUUAAACCUCUAAUUAGGAAACCCCUUCAAAACCAAACAAAAUUCAUUUAGAAAUUAAAGAGAAAAAAACACCAUAUUCAAAAAUUCCCAAGAAAGAAAAACCAUUAUAUCAAUAAAAAAUUACAUUUUAUUAAACCUCUAAUUAUUAACUUGUAUUAGGAAAACCACAUACACAAAAAGAUGGACGUCGGGGGUUGAAGAGCCCCCACGGUGGGUGGCUACAUGAGGGGUGCCGGUGAGCUACUCUGGAGGGAGUAAUGCAGUAAGAGUGUCUUCUCGCUGCUCUGGUAAGCCAACGAGCUUUACAGCAUGCUGCAAAUUACAUCUUCCAUCUUCGCAAGGCGGAAGAAUAUUCUUGACGGCCUGCACUUCAGGGUUGGCCUAGCCGUUAGGGUUGUCCUCAGGUUCCUAAUUCCCUUCCAAACCAUCCUUAUUGCCCCCACAAUGGGUCACAUGCUCGCGUGACUGAGCUCGGCGUUUCUAAAGCCAAUACUUGGGUAUAUUAGGUGCUUAACUGUUGGCUAUUCUAUCGAUGUGGGAUUGUGAGUAUAUGAAAUAUGAGUUCUCUUUCUUCAUGUAUUUUGAAUGAAAACCUUUGCAUCUCUUUGGUCAUAUCUAUUAAACAUGAAAUACAAAGAUGAUUUUUCUAACAGUUUUUGCGUAUUUCAACUAGAUUAUGAACACCAAACAGAUUGAACAAAAUGGAGAAAUCUAUUGCUUAUUUUGUUUGGUUUCAAACUAUACAAGAUGGUUGCCAAGAGCAGUUUCGAGUGCCAUUCUCAAUGAAGAUCCUGUGCACGUAGAACAAUCCAAAUCUUAUGUUUUUGCCUCAAGAAUUCUGGCGUUUGGAUUUUUAUACUUCGGUGUGUCUUAUGAAGGUCCUCGCCGAUCCUCUUUUAGUAGUGCUUAAACCCUAGAAUGCUAUGCUUCUAUUUUAUUUUAUUUUAUUGUUCGAAAAAUGCAAUGCUUCUAAGGACAAGCGAUAUUGAAAGCACAGCAGGAAAACAAGAAUGCAAAAGGUUUCACUUUCAAUAUGGAAUUUUUAUGAAAAUCUAGAUAGUGACAACAUAUUAACACUAACCUGAUUUGGACAUGGUGAUGAUGUUGAUAGCACAACAGGAAAACCAGAGAGUUCUUCGUUUAGAAGCCGAGCCUUAUAGCAGUGAUUCUAGAUGGGGUGAAUUUCUGUAAAGCUUAAGUAUUUCAAGUUUAUGAGGGAACCCUCUAUUUAUAUGCAUCUCUCUAGGAGUCUUGCCCAUCAAGAAACUCCUAGAGAUAACCUUUAUGUGAUAGGAUUAUCUUCUCAUCUUUAAUGACAAUCACUCAUCUUUACUUCUUUUAGAAUGCGUUGCUUCUCCAAAAUCUAAAACCAUGGAGAGUUUGUAACUCCAACUUUUGGCAAUUUACUUCUUGGGUUUUCGCUUACACAAUUUCUAAUUUCAGGUGGUGCGGUGGCGACUCAUUUUUAGGCCAUUUCGGCACUUGUCAGUCAGUCACUAAUCACGUAAGUUUGGUUUGUUUACCAAACCAAUUCCACACCUAUUUGAAGGGGAUAGUAUUUUUAUGUUACACUUUUAUUGGUACUUUUAGUUGUAUUGAAACUACAACACAAUGUCUAUUUGUGUAGAAUUAAAAAUUAAAUUAUUGAGUUAUGUUGUACUUAGAUAAGUAAAAAGGAUGAAAAUUGUACUAAAAAGGAUUUUCCAACUCCAACUUUUGGUGAUUUGCUUCUUGAGUUUUCGCUUAUCCGAUUUCUAAUUUUAGCCCUCUAAUCAUUUGUCUCUCUCAAAUUUAAUUGAGGUAGUUAACUAUCAAGGAAACCUUAACAAGAAGCAUAAAACCAUUACUUAAUUAUUUUUAAUAAAAAGAGCCCUCAUCUCACAUCAAGAAAGCACACAUCAAGUUUUUAAAUUCUUUCGCAAUUAAUCCUUAAAAGUUCAAACCAAACAAAAUUCAUUUGGAAAAUUAAAAAUUACAGCAAAUUCAAAAAAAAAAAAAUUCCCAAGAAAAGAAAAACCAUUAUAUAUAACUAAAACCCCUUUUAUAAGAUCAUCACACCAAUUUUAUUAUUUUUUCAAUUAGUUGUUAAUAUUUUAUUACACAUAAUGUGGACCCUACGAAUGACAUAUCAUCACUUAACUGAUUUCGCUACGAUCAAAGUAAUGACGGAACCAUAUAGCAAUAAAUUUCCAAUGUGGGGUACUAUAUUAUUAAAAUUGAAAGGGCAUGGAUAAAUAACAUACCUAACGGCUUAAGGAUACAAUUGCUUGGUAACUUAAUUUUAUGUUCGUUUAUUAAAACUAACCCACAGCUGUAAAGACGUCUCUCAUCUUCAUCAAGGAGGAAGUAACUCUAUAGCCCUGCCCUUCAGGGCUGGCCUAACCGAAACGGCCUGCACUUCAGGGCUACCUCUUUCUCUUACUACCCAAGUGCGUGAUGUAACCUGUAACUCCUUUGCAUCCAGAUUGGCACGCCGACAAGGGCCCACUGUGCCCCUCAUGUGCGCGCACAUGCCGUCCGCAGGCUCCUACCCCUUCCUAACCAUCCUUAAUGCCCCCACAUUGGGUCACAAACUCACAUGACUGAGCUCAGCACUUCUCAAACCAAGACUUGGGUAUAUUAGGUGCUUAACUUUUCUCUAUUUUAUCGAUGUGGGAUUGUGAAUACAUAAAAUCUGAGUUAUCUUUCUUCACGUAUUUGAAUGAAAAAGCUUUGCAUCUCUUUGGUCAUAUCUAUUUAACAUGAAAUAGAAAGAUGAUUUUUCUAACAGUUUUUGCGUAUUUCAACUAAGUUAUGAACACCAAACAGAUUGAACAAAAUGGAGAAAUCUAUUGCUUGUUUUGUUUGGUUUCAAACUAUACAAGAUGGUUGCCAAGAGCAUUUUCGAGUGCCAUUCUCAAUGAAGAUCCUGUGCACGUAGAACAAUCCAAAGAGUUGAUUGAUUUGCAGAGUCCAAAUCUUAUGUUUUUGCCUCAAGAAUUCUGGGGUUGGGGAUUUAUACUUUGGCCUUCAGCUUCGACUAGAUAAACAAGUUUAUUGUUGACGCACCAACUUCCCCAAAUAUCCAAUUUGAAGAAAGAAAUUUUCAAAGUCAAUACUCAGUCUCCUCUGAUAAACUUUAUGAAUGGAAUAUUGAUGGUCUGUCUGAACAAGAAAUUAUGAAUAAAUUACAACAUAUGUUUACGGUCGCCAAUAGUUACAUUACUAACCAUAACCUAAAACAGUCAGAAAUAGUACCUCUCCUAGAAAUAGGAUUCACAAGAACCUUACGUAUAAAAAUAAAUUUUUUAAAAAAGAAAAAGAUAAAAUAAAUUAUUUAACAAAUAAAAAUGGAUAGAAUAAAUAAGAUAGCAGAGUAAAUUCAACCAAAAACAAAAGCCAUAAAAUAUGUAAAAAGAAGAGCACAAAACAAAAACCAUAAAAUAUGUAAAAAGAAGAUGCACAAAAGGAUGGAGGUUGGGUUAUAGAGCGGGCCUGGAGCCUAACAGAGGGUGCCGGCACGUGGAACCCAAGCACAGACAAACGGAGCGCCAUCUGCUGCUCUAAUAAGCCAGCAUUCUUUGUUGCACAAAGACGUUUGAUCUUUUCCACUUCGUUGUCAGCCUCGGAAGAUCUCUACCUAAUUACAGGCAAAGCGGCAUUUUUGCAAAGCCACCUCUCCCACUCUCCAAUUCUGCGACGGGGGUUAAGAACCCACAAUCUCGCCCCAACCCCAAAGCAUCUCUGGCCAAAUUUGUGCCUCGCAUAUAGACGUCUGACACCGAUUUCAUGCGGACGACGUUACACACUCUUCCCUUCCAUGCCAUCCUUAUUGCCCCCACUUUGGGUCACAAGUCAGCGUGACUUGACUCGGCAAUGGACGUUCGUAGAACUUGUUAUAUAAAUAGCACCACCGAAGUAUAAUUUGUCGAUGUGGGACAAAAUUGCAUGGCCUGGCGAGUUUUUUUGAUUUUUUUUUCCCACUUGAAAAAGAGUAAGUGGGUUUGUUGUCCAGAGAUUAAGGUACGGGCUCCAUUUGCUCCUGUGGCUAUUUCUCCGGAACAUGUUGCACAGGCGAUGAGUUUUUCUCAAAUACUUCUUUCUGACUUCGUUCUCUUCUCUGUAUAGUUUUGCUUGAUAUAAUUCAGUAGAAAUGCUAGCUUUAUAUUGGCCCUUUUUUUUUCUUCUCAUUUGCUGGAAAUAUAAAUCUCGUACAAGCUUUACUGGUCUUUUUCUCUCCUUUCUCUUCUUUUUGUUUAUUUGUUUUUUAAAUAUAAAAAUAAUAAUUAAGCAUGUACGGAAUCAGGAUAUUCAUGUGGUGAAAACUAGAAGAGUACUUUUGUUUCCCCUGUAAAGAGAGUAAGUGGGUGUCCAAUUUGACCCCAAAAAAAUUUCAUUUCCCUCUUUUCACAUAAAACUGAAAUUAAUUAUCAAACAACUUUUCUCAGUUAUUAGUUUUAAAAAAUAAAAAUAAAAAACUGAUAGUUAUCAAAAGGAUUCUUAAUAUUUUUGUUUCGUCUUGUUCUGAAUGAGAUACCUUUACAUAUUUUAUUCGUUUGUUUUGUAAUUCUUUGUCAUAGAGUUUAGGGAUUAUGAUUUCGCCUUUUCCAGUUAAGGGAUUAUGAUUUCGAAACUUGAUGCUUACCUUUAUUUAUUAUUUAUGUUGAGUCUGAAAAAAGAAAAUGAUUUGGUUGUCAAUUUGUGAAUAAUAGGAUGGUACGAGAAAAACUAAAAGAAGAUUAGGACCCGUUUGAUAACUAUUUCGGUAUUUUGUUUUUAGUUUUUAGUUUUCAAUUCAAAGAAAUUGAAAGCAUAAAACUUCUUUGGUUAUCAAUUUUAGGACCCGUUUUGUAACCAUUUUAUUUUAUUUUUGAUUUUCUUCUUUUUUAUUAUAAAAAAAAACUGAAAACAUAUUUGAUAAAACUUUUCAUUGUCAGUUUUCAAAAUCACCCUUUCUAAUUCUCAUGAAUCAAACAUUUUCAAACAAUCCAUUCUCCAAAACAAACAAUGCUUAAUGAGUAUUGACAUCUGAAUCAAUGCGUGUUGAUGAACUAUCUAAGACAACAUGCAAACUACGUUCAUUAGAUAUAUGCUUUUGACCUCAUUAUUCUUGUAGUGAACUACAAUUAGAAUAGUAUAUUACAAUUUUGGAUGUCGAAACGGUUUUCGAUUUGUCUAAUUUUUUAUAAGGAUGAUUUAUGAAUGAAGACCUUAAAAAUAGAGGGUUUGAAUCAUUGAAAAAAUAUUUGUAGGAUACCUUAACGGGUGUCCCUUAAAUAAAUUAUUUGAAGGAUCCUCAAUAUAUAUAUAUAUAUAUAUAUCCUUUGCAGCCUCUUCCUCUACCCUAGAACGAGACCUAGAGUUAGAGAAAGCUUUAAUUGAUUUAAAAUUGGAAUCACUGAGAAAAACUUCCCAAGUUACCCAUCCUGUUUGUGAAAAAAUUCCAGUACAAGAAGAUACUAAGUCUGAGUCCCCUGAAUCACCCACUCAAUCCGAUUUCAUAGGUAAUCAACUGAGAACACUUAAUAAAAUAUUUGUAAUUAAUUGGAAAUGACUAGAUAGUCAUUUGCAUGCCCCUGAGAAUCAAGGUAGAAGAGAUUAUUACCAUUCAAUCAUCCCUGAUAGAAUUCAAAGACAACAAAUUUUUAAUGAUUGGAAAGAAUACAUGCGCACUGCUAAAGUUGAAAUAUAUUAACUUGAUUUUGUAGAAAACCGACAUUUACCCAAUGAGUUAAAAACUUUAACCCAAGAAAAAUGGGAAAAAGUAGAUCACACUGAGAUUCUUGCUAGUCAUCCACCCGUUGAAACAAUAAUCAUUAAGCAUCAGAAAUCUAAAAUAGUCGCAUGCCCCUUUAAGAUCCCUGAUCCAGAGAAUAAAAUGAUAGUUGAACAAAAUAAUUACACCAACCAAAGUCUAGUUGUCAUAGGUAAACAAUUAGAUAAGAUAGAGACAAAAGUCGACAAGUUACUUCCAACAGAGCUCACACCUAAACAUCAUGAGAAACCCCUAGUUACAUUCCAAGAUUUAAAAUCAAAUCCAACUUUUAAGACAAAAGAAACAAUGACAAAAAUUGAGAAAAUGUUAGAAGAAUUAACGCCAGUCAAAAGAAAAGACAAAGAAAAGGUUGAAUCAAGCGUUAAAGUCCUAGGAUCCUCUGAGUCACCAUUUGUUUUCCAUAACUCCUCUAAGUCUGAAUCAAUCGUUAGUAUGGAAACAUAAACUAGUAAUAUAUCUAAAAUUGAAAAUGCGUUUAGAAAUCUUGAGUUAGAAAAUAAUCCAAAAGUCCAAAGAUUAACAAAUAGAGUCAGUCCCAAUAGUCUAACAAAAAACUGGUAUCCUAAGCCAACACCUUCUGAUAUACAAUUUGAAGAACGAAACACCUAAAGUCAGUUUUCAGUCUCUUCAGAAAAGUUAUAUGAAUGGAAUAUUGAUGGUCUUUCUGAGCAAGAAAUUAUUAAUAAACUUCAACAUAUGUCCAUGGUUGCUAAUAGUUACAUCACCAAUCACAGUUUUAGACAGUCUGAAAUUGUUCCUUUGCUAGAAACUGGUUUCACUGGAACUCUUCAUUCUUAGUGGGAUAAGCAUUUAACCCAUGAGUCUAAGCAACAUAUAAUUCAUGCAGUCAAACUUAAUGAAGACGGUCUUCCCAUUUUUGUUGAACAAAUAGGUCAAGUCAUUGAAGAUGGAGUCAACACUCUGCUAUACACAAUAGUUGAACAUUUCAUUGGAACACCCAGUAAUACUACUGCUAGGAUACAUGAUCAGCUUAGUAACUUAAGGUGCCCAAAAUUAUCUGAUUUUAGAUGGUAUAAAGAUGUGUUUAUUUCAAGAGUCAUGCUUAGAGAUGACAGUAAUCAGUCAUUUUGGAAAGAAAAAUUUGUUAAUGGUCUUCCUAAUUUAUUUGACCAUAAGAUCCGAACAACCCUUAGCAACGAACAAGGUCAUAUUGAUUGGGAUAGUUUAACAUAUGAAAAUAUAAUUAGCACGAUUAAUCAAGUCGGUAUGAGAAUGUGUGUUGAUAUAAAGAUUGGUAAACAAAUUCAGUCUGAGAGAAAUUCUGCUAAAUAUGAGUUAGGUAAUUUCUGUGAACAAUAUGGUCUAAUAUCUAUUCCCCCGUCUAGAAAGAAUAAGUCUAGUCACCACAACCGACAAUUUAGUAAACGUUGCCAUUAUUCACGCAGAAGACAAUCAUUCCAACAUAAUAAUGAGGAUAAAGAAUUUUAUAGUAAAAAGAGAUUCCCCCUUAAGAAAAACUGGAAAAAGAGUCACAGCAAAGAUAAGAAUAAUCGCUUUAAGAAAAGUACCAACAAGAGAAAAGUAAAAUGUUAUAAAUGUCAAAAGUUUGGCCACUAUGCUAAUAAUUGCAAAGUUAAAGACACAAUCAAACAAUUAAAAAUCACGGAUGAAGAUAGAGACAAACUGAUUGAAGUCCUUGAGUUAAGAAAUUUUGAGUCAAGUGAAAAUGAAACCAUGGUUAGUAGCACUGAGUCUUUAGAAUCUAUCUCCUCAGAUUCCCAAUUAAGCUCACCCAGAAUUCAAUUUGGUUGCCAAGAUAAUUGCUUUAAGUCUAAGUCAAUUAAUGUCCUUACUAAGCAAGAAGAAAUGAAGAAUUAUUAAUUGAUUUAAUAAGUAGAGUUGAAAACCCAGAAUUAAAAUCUGAGUAUUUAAGGAAAUUAAGAAAAGUCAUCAGCCAAGAAGAAUCUAAACAGUCUAAUUCCCAAAAGAUAAGUCUGAAUACAACCUUAGAGAACUUUAAUAAAAAGAAAGAAGUCACUUUAUAGGAUUUACAAUUAGAGGUAAAAUUAGUAAAAAAAAAAAUAAUUGAGAUAAAACAAAUAAGUCAAAAGUUACAAAGUGAAAAUUAUGAGAUAAAACAAGAAUUAGUUAACUUAUUAGAAAAGAGAACUUCUGAGUUUACACCAGUUAAUCCCACAAAUUCUGACGAAGAACCCUCCAAUCAGGAUCAUGUCGUCAAUUUAAUCAGAUAAGUCAAUUUUAGAAAAUGAUAUGCUAAAGUCACCAUAUUUGUAAAAAAAAUUUGAGUUAAACACAAUCGCCCUCUUUGAUUCAGGUGCCGACCUUAACUGCAUCCAAGAAGGUCUAAUCCCCACUAAAUAUUAUAAGAAAUCAAAAGAGUCUUUAAGCAUAGCCUCAGGAAAGUCACUCUAGUUAAAUUAUGAAUUCCCUAAGGCCCAUGUCUGUCAAAACAGAAUCUGUUUUAAGACCUCUUUUGUCUUAGUUAAAAAUAUAACUGACGCAGUCAUCUUAGGUUUACCCUUUAUUACCCGCUUAUAUCUUUUCCAGGUCGAACACGAUGGAGUCAUUUCCACCUGUUUAGGUGAAAAGGUUAAGUUUGAAUUCCUGAGUAAACCAGAGUUACAUAAUUUAAAAGAAUUACAGAAGAAUGCAGUCACUAAAAUAAUCAGAGUCAUUCAAAAUAAAGAUAAGCAACUAGAGUUUCUCCAGGAAGAAGUUAGAACAAAACAAAUUGAGCAACAACUUAGUCAUAAGUCAUUACAGUCACAAAUUCGAUAGUUUGAAGAAAAAUUAAAACAAAAAGUCUGUUCUGAGUUACCCAAAGCUUUUUGGGAUAGGAAACAGCAUGUAGUCAGUCUUCCUUAUGUCAAGACCUUUAGUGAGAAAAAUAUACCCACUAAAGCCAGACCAAUACAAAUGAGCAAAGAAUUAACGAAAUUUUGUAAAACUGAGAUCACAUAAGUACUUGAGAAGGGGGUCUUGUCCUGCUUUCUAUGUCCAAAAAAAUGCUGAACUAGAACGCGGAGUCCCGAGAUUAGUCAUUAAUUACAAGCCGCUUAAUACUGUCUUAGAAUGGAUUAGAUAUCCGAUUCCUAAUAAAAGAGAUCUAAUUAAUAGAUUAGAAAAGUCAGUCAUUUUUUCUAAGUUUAACAUGAAGAGUGGAUUUUGGCAAAUUCAAAUUUGUGAGUCUGAUAGAUACAAAAUUGCUUUUGUUACCCCAUUUGAUCAUUAUGAGUGGAAUGUCAUGCCUUUUGGUCUUAAGAAUGCGCCCAGUGAAUUUCAAAAUAUAAUGAAUGAGAUUUUUAAUCCUUACAGUCAUUUUUCCAUAGUCUAUAUUGAUGAUGUGCUCGUCUUUUCUGAGUCGAUAGAGCAGCACUGGAAACAUCUGCAUAAAUUCUUAUAGAUAGUCAAACAAAAUGGAUUAGUUGUUUCUGUUAAGAAAAUUAAGUUAUUCCAAAUUAAUGUGAGAUUCCUUGGGUUUAAUAUCUGUCAGUCAUAGACAAAAGUCAUCCAGUUUGCUGAUAAGUUUCCUGAUCAAAUCACAGACAAAAGUCAACUCCAAAAAUUUUUAGGAUCUCUAAAUUAUGUUUCUGAUUUCUAUAAGAAUUUGAGAAAACAAUGUAAGCCUUUAUUUGAUCGUCUCCAAAAUAAUCCUCCUCCUUGGUCAUCUAUUCAUACUGAUAUAGUCAAACAGAUCAAAGCUCAUACUAAAACACUUCCCUGUCUUGGUAUCCCUUCUGCUCAUUCAUUCAAAAUAGUUGAAACUGAUGCCUCUAACAUUGGUUAUGGAGGUAUCCUCAAACAAAGAGUUAAUUCUAGUCAAUCUGAGCAAAUCAUUCGAUUCCAUUCUGGUACUUGGUCUUAGUCCCAAAAUAAUUAUAGUACUAUUAAAAAAGAGAUAUUAUCUAUUGUACUAUGCAUUAAUAAAUUUCAGUCUGAUUUAUUAAAUCAAAAUUUUUUAAUCCGAGUUGAUUGUAAGUCUGCUAAGCAUAUUUUAGAAAAAGAUGUUCAAAAUAUUGCAUCCAAACAAAUAUUUGCAAGAUGGCAAGCUAUUUUGAGUAUCUUUGAUUUUGAUAUUGAGUAUUUGAGAGGAAGUGAGAAUUCUGUCCCUGAUUUUCUUACCAAAGAAUUUCUACAGGGAAAACAAUGGCAGAAAGAAGAAAAGAAAAAGACAAGCAAAAGAGUCAAAUUGGUCAAUCUAGUCAACCCAGUCAUCCCCAGUCACUCCGAGUCCUCCCUCCAUCAAUGAGUCAAGCCAAACAUGAGUCACCUUCGCAGAUUGUCCCUUUCCCGGGAUGUUCUCCUAUCCAAAUUAGUAACAGAUUUGCCAACCUAGGAGCCCCAGUAGGCCGAGUUCGCCCUAGUUUCCAGUCUGCCCUAAUAUCCAGUCAUGAUCCCUUCCAGGAUAUUGCUCCCAGUUGCCUCUUAUCAUAAGACGUCUCCAUACACGAUCAAAAGUAAUAUCACCUAUUCGUAAUUGAGUCAAAAUACAAUUCCAUUGCCAAUCCAAUCACCAUUGCCAAAUCCUACUUUCCACCAAAUAGUCAUUUCAUUCCUCCAGCACCAUUCAAAAAUUUAAAAUUUUACAGAGACAUCCUCCAUGAGACCCAAUCCAUCACAAUUAAAACAAUCAAAGACAGAGACAACCCCCAUAUCAUCCUUUAUCAUUCUCUUUACAUCCAUCAAAUCAUCGGUGAGAAUGAAUGGAGCAGUCACCUAUAUAAUCUCAAAGUUCUUCAGUCAGAACUUCAAUACAGUUAUUAUGAUUAUAUCGAAGCAUGGUAUUCUAUCUUGCUUCACCAAACAGUUGAUUUUAGUCAUUCAUGGUUCCUCAAUUUUGACAGCAAAUUUAAGAGUCCUUUCCCCUACUAGUUCAAUCAUUGGUGGGAAAAACAUGGUCCAGUCAUUGAUCUAUUUCCUCCUCCAAUGCAAGAUUUAGUCAAUUAUUUCACUAAUAAAAAUAAGUUUAAAGAGUCUGAGUUGUUCUUCCCAAAUCUUCUCCAUUUUGUUGCUAAGUACAAAGUCCCUUGGAUCCUCAAAUGGUCAUACCAAGUUAAUUGGGAAACUAGAGUCCUAUCCCGUCAAUUUUCAAUCAAAUGGUGGGAUAAAUUUAAACUUGAGCAUAUUGCAGAUUAUGUUUAUGCUGAUUUUCCUCCAGUCAGGAAUCCACAGCCUGAGAAAAAGUCAUCCCCUGCUACAUCACAUUCUUCUCUUCCAAUCGAGGAAAAAUCUAAGUCUGAGUUGCAGGAAAUUGCUCGCCAGCUAAUGUUACAAGCCUCACAAAUGAAUGAAGAUGAUGAUAGUGAUGCCACUCCCAAGUCACAAUCAUCCACCAGUCAACCAAAGUCAUCCCCAAAAUGCGGUGGAGUGAUUACCCUCUUGAUGAUCAAAUCCAUGGUCAAGACCCUUAUGAUUUUAGUCCUCUUGACCUCAGAGAUGAUUAAAGUUGCCCAACAUCAUGAGUCCUGAGACAGACAAAGCAUUCGGAAUCUUGGACCCGUGCUUUAACAGUCUGGUAGCCCGUGCUCCUUUAGUCCGAUUCUCCGACAAAGUAAAAUUUACAGCACUCAGUAAAAGCAAAAGCUUUCGCGUGCUUCUACAGUCACUCUCCAAGCAUCCAAUGUUGCCAGCUCAUCAAUAGUUACUUUAUUUGCUUAUUUAAGAAGGCCUUGGCCUCAGUCAUCCACGUAAUGUAAUUAGUACACUAUAAUUUUCUCAGUUUCAAAGUUCUAUCAGCAUCAAUGCUCUGAAGAACUAAGUGGUGAAACUAGAAUCUUUGUAAGUGUUUUACAUUCAAGUUAUCAAUUAUAUUUUGAGUAUUUUGAAUAAUGCUAUUUUUGAUUGCAUCUAUUUUCAUAUAUUCAUUAAUUUGUUUCAUGCAUAAGUUGAGUCUGUUUUAUUAUCUCUGCCUCUGUUCUUAUAUUAUCCCUUCUAUCUCUUCUUGGUUCUAGACCCUUCUAGCAAAUAAAGUAACUAUUGAUGAGCUCGCAAGAUUGGAUGCUUGGAGAGUGACUGUAGAAGCACGCGAAAGCUUUUGCUUUUACUGAGUGCUGUAAAUUUUACUUUGUCAGGAAAUCGGACUAAAGAAGCACGGGCUACCAGACUGUUGAAGCACGGGUCCAAGAUUCCGAAUGCUUUGUCUGUCUCAGGACUGAUGAUGUUGGGCAACUUUAAUCAUCUCCGAGGUCAAGAGGACUAAAAUCAUAGGCGUCUUGACCAUGGAUUUGAUCAUCAGGAUAUAUAUUUGUGUGUAUGUGUGUGUAUGUACAUGACGAGUAGUAUAUAUAUUAUAACAUAAUCAAUGCCAAUUGUUAGAUUUCCUUUAUGAUUAUAACACAUUAUAUAAUAAUUCAUGUUUCUUCAAUAGAUUCUACAAAGGGCCAUACUUGAUUUGUGUGUGAAUAUAUUCAUGUACAUAAGUAAAUAAGAAUCCUUUUCUUUUUAAAACUACGACAUAAAUUUUUGUAGCUUUGUGUAUCGUCAAAGGGGCAAGGCAUUCCUUCAAUACUUUUAAAAAAGUACACGGCAUUGGAUACCUUUAAAGACAACUUAAAAUACGUUGACAUUUCUCUUCAUUUUAGUGCCAAUCAAAAAUUCUAAACAAUAUAUGAAAUUUAUUUUAUUGAAAAUUGUACUAAUAUUGUAAAAUCUGGUAUAAGGAAUUCUAUAUUCCAUGGUAUUUACAUACAAUAUGUGCAGGUACAUAUAUAGGGAUUGAUACAGCAAUAUAGAUCCCACAAUUAUGCAGUUAGCCAAACUAGGACCCCAAACACGAGGUCAUGCUAUCUCUAAACUAGGCAAGAAUCAAUUACAAUAUUCUCAAAUAUCAAUUGGAAUAAACCCAUAUCUCAACACUCCACCUCAAAUUGGCGAGUGGAUAUUGUACACUUCCAACUUGCCAAGUAGUGUUCCAAAGGAAGCCUUCCUUAAUGGUUUUGUGAAGAGGUCUGCCACUUCAAAUUUGUUGGCGUGUAUGUAGUGGAAACCAAUCCUGGUGUAAUAUUUUGUCGCACCAAAUGACAAUCCAGGUCAAUAUGUUUUGUCCUUUCAUGGAAGACAAGGUUUUUGGCAAUGUGUAAUGCUGAUUGGUUAUCGCAGUGUAGUGUCAUUGGUUCUGAAUGUUGAAUGCCCAAAUCAUUGAGAAUAUAUCUCAACCAUGUUAACUCGCAACAUGUAUCCACCAUGGCACGGUACUCCGCUACUGCAGACGAACGUGCAAUGGUGUUUUGUUUCUUUGAUUUCCAUGAGAUCAGAGAGUUGCCAAGGAAGGUAGUAAACUUUACAAACCAGUUACGUGAAGCUUGUUUCAGACCAUAUAGAGAUUUGUGUAGCUGACAUACCAAAUUCUCCCCAUGUCGGCUAAAAUCAGGCAGGAGAGUCAUGUAAACCUCCUCGUCCAAAUCGCCAUGGAGGAAGGCGUUUUGAAAGUCGAGUUGAUGUAAGGGCCAAUUACGGACGGCGGCAAGAACAAGAAGACAUUGGAAUGUAACUAGCUUGGCAGUGGGAGAAAAGGACUCGAUAUAGUUGAGGCCCUCUUGUUGAGUGUAGCCUUUGACUACAAGUCGCGCCUAGUACUGUUCGACAGAGCCGAUAGAGUGGUACUUCACCUUGUAGACCCAUUUGCAGCCAAUGGGAGGCUUUCAUGCAAGUAAAGAGGUAAGAGACCAUGUGUGAUUUUGCUCAAGCUCCUGCAGUUCCUUUGCCAUGGCAUCGUACCAAAGAGGGUCAGUGGAAGCCUGGGCAUAGGUAGUGGGCUCUAUGAUUUUGGAGAUGCUGCAACAAAAGUGUGAUGAGUAGAAGACAAGUGAUCAUAAGUUUGAAAAUGGGACAAUGGAUACCUGGAACCUUUACCCGGUGUGGAGGAAGAAGACGACUGAGCAGGGGUAGGCAGCAUGGUAGAUUGCAGUGAAAGCCACGUAGAAGGAUGGAAGGUUGAGGAAUACGGUGAGAGCGAAGAAGAGGAGGUGGAGAAGGAGGAGAGGGCAGCAAUAAGGUAAGAGGAGAUGGCAUGGUGGGACUAUUUUGAUCAUGAGUCAUGGUAGGGGAGGAUGGUGAAGGAAGUGUGGUGUCGUGAGGGGAUUGAGAAAAAGAAUGGUCGGUGAGGUCACCUAGGGUGGUGUGUGGGGUAUCUAGAGGAGGUGGAAUAGGUGGGUCAGAAAGUGGUAUGGGUAUGGGUUGGUCAUGGUUAGCAGAAAGUGGCGUGGGCUAGGAAACAGGCAUAUGAGGGACCAUGUGUGGGCUUAAAGUGGAGGAGACGUAGGGAGGAUGGGGAUGGUGGUUGUGUGGGGAGUAGCAAAAGGAAAAAUAUUUUCAUGAAAAAUAAUCGCGGCUUCUGAAGAAUUUGUGAAUGUCAAGAUCAUAAAGAUGAUACGCCUUUUGCCCAAAAAGAUAGCCAAUGAAGAUUCAUUUUCUAGCUCGUGGAUCAAAUUUAUUGGUUGGUUGAAGGUUAGUGGCGUAACAUAGACAACCAAAGAUGCGAAGGUGACGAUAUGGUGGUGGAUGGCCAAAGAGGAGUUCACAAGGGGUUUUAUCAGUCAAAAUGGCGGUAGGUAAGCAAUUAAUGAGGUAGGCUGCGGUGAGAACACACUCCCCCCAGAGUUUGGAAGGGAGGUGUGCAUGAAAGCAAAGGGCACGAGCCAUUUCUAAGAGAUGUCAGUGUUUUCGUUCGACAACACCAUUUUGCUGGGGUGUGUAAGUACAAGUGUGUUGAUAGAGAACACCAAGAUCUGCAAAGAAAGUUCAAAGCGAGGAAAACUCUCCUCCAUUGUCCACACGGAUAGCUUUUAUUUGUUUAUUAAAUUGUGUGGACACAAAGGAAAAAAAAGAUUUCAGCAGAUUUUGUGUUUCAAAUUUCAGUUUCAUCAAAUAAAUCCAUGUGGUACGAGAGAAAUCAUCAACAAUAGUUAAAAAAUAUCGGGCACCAGAAUGAGAGGCAAUCUUAUAUGGACCCCAGAUGUCACAGUGAAUUAAAUCGAAAGGUGUGUAGGGGUCUUUUUGUUCCAAUAGCUUGACGAAUGGGCUUGGGCUGCCGUAAGAAGAAAAUGAACAGAAAUUCCCCAAGUGCUUGAGUUCGAGAACCAAGCUCCCAAGAGGGUUUUUGAAAAGUCUGAUGAAACUUAAAAAAAAGACACUCUUAGGUUCUUUUCACUAAUAGCUAGAUAAUCAUAAUAAAUUGAUGAGUGACUUAGCUUGGGGAGCUUGUGGCAUGGGAGCUAAGCUUUCACAAGUUUAGCAAUUUGAGAGAGAGAGAAGCAUGGAUUUCUUACAGAGAACGAAAGUUUGAAGUAAGACAGAGGAAAAUCAGAACAAUUUCUAUCUUAAAGGAAGAAGAAAAACAAAUGAAGAAGAAGAUUGGGUGACUUGAUUAAAUUCUCAGUUUCUUGACAAAGCUUGGUCAGGCUGUGAAUGAUGAUUUUUCUGGGUAGAGAAAGCUCCCUUUUAUAGGCAUAAAGAACUCCUAAUUUUUUCUAAUGUCACAUCCCGGGAUCAGCUCCGCCGUAACACGAUAUUGUCCGCUUUGGGCCCUCCUCUCUGCCCGCACGGUUUUGUUUAUAGGAGCUUACUAGCAACUUCCCAGUGGGUCACCCAUCCUGGGAUUGCUCUAGCCCCUAACUCGCUUAACUUUGGAGUUCCCAUGAUUCUGAAGCUAGUGAGCUCCCAAAAGGCCUCGUGCUAUGGAGGCGGACAUGUACAUAUAAGGCACAUCACCCCCUCUCCGUUGGUCGAUGUGGGAUGUUACAAUCUACCCUCCUUAAGGGCCCGACGUCCUCGUCAGCACACUCGUACCACACGGCAGAGUGGCUCUGAUACCAAAUUGUCAUAUCCCGGGAUCGGCUCCGCCGUAGCACGAUAUUGUCCACUUUGGGCCCCCCUCUCUGCUCGCACGGUUUUGUUUCUGGGAGCUCACGAGCAACUUCCUAGUGGGUCACUCAUUCUAGGAUUGCUCUAGCCCCCAACUCGCUUAACUUCGGAGUUCCCAUGACUCCGAAGCCAGUGAGCUCCCAAAAGGCCUUGUGCUAGAUGUAAGCGGGCAUGUACAUAUAAGGCACAUCACCCCCUCUCUGUUGGUCAAUGUGGGAUGUUACAUCUAACCUCCUCGUUCCUUUUCCUUUGCUUCUUUCCAUUCAAUCCUUUUUUGUGCAAGUUUCCUAUCCAAGGCGCAUAGGUAAGAAGCCCUUUGGGGUUCCAAGGUUUGGAUGCAGUUGGACUUCUCCAUAAGGGUGAGGGCCACCCACUUUCUUCCCUGUUUUUCCUAUGGAGGCUAACAGAGGAAAAGAAGAAUGGACAACUCGUUUUGCCUAAUGAGUAUCCCUCCUUCCCUACGAAUUUCCUUUGGUUUCUAGAGUGGCCUCCAUUGACUCUGUCAUAGAACUUUGGGCAAAGGCUGAACACGCUUGCUAGAUAUUUUGGAGAGCACUUGGGCUGGGCUUUUCCCAAGAUUUUGGGUCAGUAGUAGUCUAUUCUACAACCACUAGUUAACUUGUUUUCGUCAAGCCACUAGAAGUAGUUGGCCUAUAGCAUUUUUAACAAAGUAUUUGGGUACUCUAAUUAACAUAGGGUUUCCAAAGCAAACUACUAUAUUCUUUCUAAGGCAUUGGGUUAUGUUCUCUCUCCCAUGCUAGCCCAUGUGUUUGGAUCCAAGAAAUGGGCUUGAGUUUUGGUGCUCCCAAGCAGCCCAAAACUUCCAUUCCUUGAUCCCUCAAUAGGCCUUGCGAACGCUUGUACCCAUCCACACCAUAACCUUCUUAGCAAGCCCCAGGUAAUUACGUGGCUUGGGCCCACUUAAGCUUGUUGCAUGGCUUAGCAUUAAAAUAGUGAUUCUUCUCAUGGCUUUGCGUAUUGAUUUCAUUGCAUGAUAAUUUGGCCAUGACUAGAUCAAAUAGCAUUGGAUUCGGUGAGCGUGAAUUUACAAAGCUAGUGAAUUUUGGUCCCUUUGUGCAUGCUUGCUUGGCGUGACUCAUGGCUCCCGGCCUAUGUAAGCGCGUUCUUCGAUUUCUCUUAUGCCCCGAUCCAGCCUUUCUCGUGACUUAUUCGAGUUGGGCUAAGAAUGACCCUGGGCCUAGCCCUUGGAUUUUUGGGCCUCAACAAGGUGCAAUACUUUUUAUUGAACUAUAUUGCAUUGGAAGGAAAAGGUAGCCUAGUUUGUUUGGCCAAAGGACAAAAAUCACAAACAUGCGUAGGAAGUGAAAUAUCAUAAAAAUGUUUAGACAAAGAGCGAAGUUUGGCAUUGGAAGGGUGUCCUAAUCGAAGAUGCCAGAGGUUGUGGGAAGCAGACACAUGAUAUCUGGAGGAAGAAUGGAGCUGCGGAGCAAGUCGUUGUGGAUCGAAAUAAUACAGGUUUCCAUGCCUCUUACCCAACCCAAUCAUCUUCUUCAUGCGCAAGUCUUGUACAUAACAAAAGGUGGGAAAAGAACAAACACAACAAUUUAGUGAUGCAGUAAGGCCAGGGACAGACAAUAAAUUAACAUUGAAAGAAGGGACACAUAAGACAUCGGUAAGACGAAAAAUAUCAUUAAAGUUAACAGUGCCUAUAGAUGUGAUGGGUGCCUUUUCCUCUGUGGCUCAUCCUGCUGGUGGAAGAUGUGUUGGUGAAUUUUCAGUUAAGAGUGCAUGAGAAUUGGUGAUAUGGUUUGUUGCGCCACUAUCUAUAACCCAGGCAUGCGAUAAAUAAGAAUUAGUUUGGGAACUAAGGCAAAAAGGAUAAUUUAGACCUGGAAAAUUCGCUUGGGAUUGGGAAAAUUCCUCCUUGCCAAUAGUACCAAUAAUUUGCUGACAUUGCUCAAGUGUGAGAUGAGGAGCUAUGUUUUGUAGGUGAUGAAUUUGUGCAUCUGGACUCUGAACAUUAUUCACAUUGGUAUAUUGCCGGUUGCUUCCAUGAGAUUGGCAGUUUUGUGAAGGGCGACCGCUAUCAUCAAGUUUGGGUACCACCUCCCUGCCGUGCCACUUGUGCCCUGGAGGAAAACCUUUAAGAAAAAAACAAGUAUCGAUUGUACGAGUUUUACCAUUGCAAUAAGUGCAUUGUUUCGACUCUCUAGGAUUUCCACGAGGUUGAAAGGAUGGUCAUAUGUUGGAUGACAAAGGCCGCUGUUGAAAGCCUUGCUUGCUAGUAUUGCCUUUCAUAGUGUGUAUACUGAGCAUUGCCAUGCUCUUGUUGUUGGCUGUGUUGUGGUGGGUGGAAGCAACUUGCUGCUGCUUCUCUUCUUGCAAAAGGAGGCUGUGUGCCUUAUGGGCAGUGAGAAAAGGUUGCAUAAGCAAUAUCUGUCCUCUAAUGGCUGCAUAGGAUUCAUGGAGCCCCAUUAGAAGUUGCAUUGAACCUUGCUCCUCCUCUCGCAUUGCAAUGGAUUUCAAAGGCCCACAAGUGCAGGGUUCCAUGUUGUUGUAGGAUGACAGUUCAUCCCAAUACCCCUUGAGUUUCGAAUAGUACGUGGAUAAGGGCAUUUGAUCUUGUGUAAGAGUAGCUAUUUCCUUGUGAAUCUGGAAAACCCUAGGCGCAUUAGUCUGCCAGAAUCUCUCUUCAAGGUCUGCCCAAAUUUCGUGGGUUGAGUCAGUGUAGAUAACACUAUUCGCAAGAUCUGGAUCCAGUGAGUUCAAGAUCCAUGAUAAGACCAUGUCGUUUCAAUGCCGCCAUCUAUCAAAUUCUGGCUUCGCUUUUAACGGCUUCUUGAUUGAACCAUCGAGGAAGCCUGUCUUAUUCUUCGCGCUCAAGGCUAGACGAAACUGGUGGCUCCAAGUGCUAUAGUUAUCUCUGGAUAAUGGCUUACCGACCAGGACCAUUCCAGGAUGGCCAGAUUGGAAUAAACCCAUAUCUUAACAAAUAUAUGUACCACACAUGCUCCUCCAUGAAUGCCAUACGAACCAACCUUCCUUCCUUUGCAGUUCAUAUAUAUAGCUUCUAUUCAGGGAUUCUUCAAAUUAGUUUAUUUGAGGGACACCUUUGUAGGGCUCACUCUCAUUGUAUUUCACUUAGGGUUAGCAAUGGGUUGUGUCAUGUCGGGUUCGUGUCGUGUCGCGAUAAUAAACGUGUCAAGAAUGCUCAAUCCGAAGCCAACCCAUUUAAUAAACAUGUCGUGUCGGGUUCGGGUCAUCUUUUAUUGUGCGGGUUUCAAGUUGUGUAACUGGUUCAUAAAUAAUAACAUGCAUGUUACGAAACUCACAACUGAAAAAAUUUAAAUUAAAAAAAAAACUGAGAGAGGAGAGAAAAUAUAAGAAAAAGAAAGAAAAAAAGAUAGAGAGAAGGAAAAGAAAGAAAAAAAAAUAGAGAGAGAUGAGAGAAGAGAGAAGGAAAGAAAGAAAGAAAAAAGAGAGAGGAGAGAAAACUAAAGAGAAGGAAAAGAAAGAAAAAAAAUAGAAGAGAGAAGAGAGAAGGAAAAGAAAGAAAAAAAAAAGAGAGAGGAGAAAGAAGAGAGAAGGAAAAGAAAGAGAAAAAAUAAAAUAAAAAAUGGGAAGAGAGACGGAAAAGAAAGGAAAACAAAUGAAGAAAAAGAAACAUUAUAAAUAUCAAAAGGCAUACCAUAUAAUCACAAAGUUCUUUGUAGCAUGGUGGAUAAGAUGUUGGAGAGAAAUGAGGAUGGUAGGGGUUUGAAAUCCCUUGUUAUGUGCUGAAGUCUCAAUUUCUCUUCAUUUUUUAGCGGGUUAGCCUGUAUGACACGAGUUGACACGACCCGUUUAAUAAACGGGUUAAAUAUGUGUUUUAACGGGUUGACCAGACAUCAGAGUGAAUUAACGUAAAUGGAGUAGUACACUUGUUCGUACUCAACGAGUAGGGCACACGGUGACUCUUGGCCAAAAUACAAGUAUCACAUCUGAAGUCAGAGUCCUUGAAACCUGAGAAUAAAUCUGGUAUAAGAUGCUUCAUAUAACUAAAAGACAGAUGUCCCACCAGAUUUGCUUUUGUUUGCUAUCAAAGGGAUGUGUCACGCUGUUAGCUAUGCCGGGACUGAAGUCAUCGACAUAAUAUAGCCCCCCUCUCUUAGUACCACAACCAAGAAUCUCCUUAGUGUGAAUAUCAUGAAGCAAACAAAAACUCGGGUAAAUGAGUACACAACAAUUCAAUUGUUCAGUAAGCUGACUAACUGACAACAAUUUAAUGGAUAAAGAUGGAACAAGUAAAGUAUUAGACAGUGUAAGAGAGGAUGAGAGUGCAACAGUGCCAGCCCCUGUCACAGGAUAAGUAACACCAUUGGCAUUUGUAAUACAGGUUCGUUGAGGUUGUGUAGUAUUCACAAAAUCAUCAGGAUCAAACUUCAUAUGAUCAGUUGCACCGGAAUCAAUUAUCCAGCUCCUGGAAUCAAUCUUAUCGGAAGUAUGGAAUCCAUAACCAGUACCAUUACUGGUCAUAUUGCAUUGUCCUCGAUCUAUAAGAGUAGCCCACCAAUUGGGGUAGCCAUGCGAUUUAAAACAAGUCUCACAAGUGUGUCUCGGAUCACCACAAUAUGCGCAAUCUAGUCCAUGUGUCGGGGUCGUUAGUCUAGUAGUCAUAAUCUGUGCAGCGGAAGAUGCAUAGGAUACAGGUUGAGUAGGAAUUGGGAUCGGAAUCUGAGCCUGAGUCGGGGCCUGAGUCGAAGUCGAAAUCGAGAUCAGGGUCUGAAUCAGAGACAAAUUUGGGGUUGGGGUCAUCAUCGGAGUGGGGGUCGGGGUCAUCGUCGUCAUAGUCGGGGUCGGGGUCGUUAAAAGAGGAUCCUGAUUCUGGAUCAGAUUCGGGGUCAAAGUCUGCAUCUGUAGGAGCGGAGCCAUCUGGGCACCCAACUCAACGAUGGUUGGUGGAGAAUGAGAGAAGGAGUCGGUGGUGCUACCUCCAUGAGGGUUGAAAAAAUCAUCAACCCCCAUAGCAGCGGCGGGGGUUUGAAACUAGAGUCAGCAAUUCCAAGAUCGCCGCUCUGAUAUCAUGCUAAAAUAUGAAAACUAUGAGAGAAUAUUUGUUUGUGGGAAUUUUCUUUGUAUUCUUCUCCUUGUAGGAGGUCAUAUUUAUAAUACAACGAAACCUGAAUGGGCAAGUAAAUAAUAAAUUCCUAAAUCUAUUUGCAGUAGGAAAUCAGGAAUUAAAGUAAAUCAAUUACAAUUAUAAUAGGAAUUCUUGGUGUGUAAGGAAAGUAAGUCAAUAUCCACAAGUCACGCCAACAUUGCUUCACAAAAAUCGAAACCAUGGAGAGUUUGCAACUCCAACUUUUGGCAAUUUAUUUCUUUGGUUUUUGCUUACACAAUUUCUAAUUUUAGGCUGUGCGGUGGCGGCUCCAUUUUAGGCCAUAUCGCCGCUUGUUGGUCAGUCAUUAGUUAUGUAAGUUCAGCUCGGUUACGAAUGGAUUCCACCCCUAUCUAAAGAGGUUAGUAUUUUUAUGUUACACUUGUUUUGGUACUUUUAGUUGUAUUGAAACUACAAUACAAUAUCUAGUAUGCGUAGAAUUAAAAAUUAAAUUAUUGAGGAGUUAUGUUGUGCUUAGAUAAGUAAAAAGGAUGAACAUUUUACUCAAGAGAUUUUCCAACUCCAACUUUUGGUGAUUUGCUUCUUGGGUUUUUGCUUACCUGAUUUCUAAUUUUAGCCCUUUGAUCAUUUGUCUUGCUCAAAUUUAAUUGAGGAAGUUAACUAGCUAGGAAACCUUAACAAGAAGCAUAAAACCAUUACAUAAUUAUCUUUAAAUGAAAAGAGCCCUCAUCUCACAUCAAGUUUUUAAAUUUUAUCACAAUUAAUCCUUAAAAGUUCAAACUUAAUUUUUGAAAUUUGGGUUUUUUUAAAAGUUCGUCUAUUAAACCUCUAAUUAGGAAAACCCCUUCACAACCAAACAAAAUUCAUUUAGAAAUUAAAGAGAAAAAAAAAACACCAUAUUCAAAAAUUCCCAAGAAUAACAAACCAUUAUAUCAAUAAAAAAUUACAUUUUAUUAAACCUCUAAUUAUUAACUUAUAUUAGGAAAACCACAUACACAAAAAAAGAUGGACGUAGGGGGUUGAAGAGUGGAGGCCCACGGUGGGUGGCGACAUGAGGGGUGCCGGCGAGUGAGGAUCCACUCUGGAGGGAGUAAUGCAGUAAGAGUGUCUUCUUGCUGCUCUGGUAAGCCAACGAGCUUUACAGCAUGCUGCAAAUUCCAUCUUCCAUCUUCGCAAGGCGGAAGGAUAUUCUUGACGGCCUGCACUUCAGGGCUGGCCUAGCCGAAACGGCUUGCACUUCAGGGCGACCUAUUCCUCUUCCUACCUCCUUUGCACCCAGAUUGGCACGCCGACAAGGGCGCACUUGCCCCUCAUGUGCUCUCACGUGCCGCAGGUUGUCCUCAGGCUCCUAACCCCCUUCCAAACCAUCUUUAUUGCCCCCACAAUGGGUCACAUCCUCGCGUGACUGAGCUUGGCUUUUCUAAAGCCAUUCUAUCGAUGUGGGAUUGUGAAGAUAUGAAAUCUGAGUUCUCUUUCUUCAUGUACUUUGAAUGAAAACCUUUGCAUCUCUUUGGUCAUAUCUAUUAAACAUGAAAUAGAAAGAUGAUUUUUCUAACAGUUAUUGCGUAUUUCAACUAGAUUAUGAACAUCAAACAGAUUGAACAAAAUGGAGAAAUCUAUUGCUUGUUUUGUUUGGUUUCAAACUAUUGCCAAGAGCAGUUUCGAGUGCCAUUCUCAAUGAAGAUCAUGUGCACGUAGAACAAUCCAAAUCUUAUGUUUUUGCCUCAAGAAUUCUGGCGUUUGGGAUUUAUACUUUGGUGUGUCUUAUGAAGGUCCUCCCUCUUUUAGUAGUGCUUAAACCCUAGAAUGCUAUGCUUCUAUUUUAUUUUAUUUUAUUGUUCGAAAAAUGCAAUGCUUCUAAGGACAAGCGAUAUUGAAAGCACAGCAGGAAAACCAGAAUUGCAAAAGGUUUCACUUUCAAUAUGGAAUUAUUAUGUAAAUCUAGAUAGUGACAACAUAUUAACACUAACCUGAUUCGGACAUGGUGAUGAUGUUGAUAGCACAACAGGGAAACCAGAGAGUUCUUCGUCUAGAUGGGGUGAAUUUCUGUAAAGCUUAGGUAUUUCAAGUUUAUGAGGGAACCCUCUAUUUAUAUGCAUCUCUCUAGGAGUCUUGCCCAUCAAGAAACUCCUAGAGAUAACCUUUAUGUGAUAGGAUUAUCUUCUCAUCUUUAAUUGACAAUCACUCAUCUUUACUUCUUUUAGAAUGCAUGCUUCUCCAAAAUCUAAAACCAUGGAGAGUUUGUAACUCCAACGUUUGGCAAUUUACUUCUUGGGUUUUCGCUUACACAAUUUCUAAUUUCAGGUGGUGCGGUGGCGACUCAUUUUUACGUCAUUUCGGCACUUGUCAGUCGGUCACUAAUUACGUAAGUUUGGUUCGUUUACCAAACCAAUUCCACCCCUAUUUGAAGGGGAUAGUAUUUUUAUGUUACACUUUUAUUGGUACUUUUAGUUGUAUUGAAACUACAACACAAUGUCUAUAUGUGUAGAAUUAAAAAUUAAAUUAUUGAGUUAUGUUGUACUUAGAUAAGUAAAAAGGAUGAAAAUUGUACUAAAAAGGAUUUUCCAACUCCAACUUUUGGUGAUUUGCUUCUUGGGUUUUCGCUUAUCCAAUUUCUAAUUUUAGGCCUCUAAUCAUUUGUCUCGCUCAAAUUUAAUUGAGGUAGUUAACUAGCAAAGAAACCUUAACAAGAAGCAAAAAACAUUACUUAAUUAUUUUUAAAUAAAAAGAGCCCUCAUCCACUACUACAUUUUACGAUUUGCGCGACGAAGAUAAUUUCGUCCCGCAGAGUUACAUUUAAUCGCACAAACUCAAGCGCGACAAAAAAUUCAUCGCUCAAAGAGCGUGAAGAAAGACUUUGCGCGACCAAUUGUUUCACUCAUCGCGCAAAAUUGUGCCACGGUUACCUUUCGUUACACAAAAAGUUCAGAGACGACACAACAGUUUUUCGCACGAACUUAUGCGCGACGAAAGAAGGUUCGUCGCCACAACAAUGCACGGCGGAUAAUAUUCGUCGUGCGAUACGUCUCAUAGACAUUUGAGGCACCAAGAGUUCUUCGUCGCGCAAUUCGUGUCUACAUAUUUUGCGCGACGAAAAAUUGUUGUCGCUCAUAUCCUUUUUGCGCGAUGAAAAGAUUCGUCGCGCAAGAAUAAAUUAUUUGUAUUUAAAAAAAAUGUAUCAUUUUUAUUUCGUAAUAUGUGAAUUUGCGCGACGAGAAAGGUUUCGUCGCGCAAAAUUAAUAUAUAUAAAUAUUAUUUAAUUAUUAUGUUUUUUUCAAUUUUAUAAAAAAAUAAAUUUGGUUUUUUUUUUUGGUAAUAAAAUGAAAUUCCAAUAAAAAAAAGAAUUGUAAAGAACAAAUUUAUUAUAUAAAAUAAAAUAAAUGUAUGCUGCAAGAGAAAUAUUUAAAAAAUAAUUAUGAAAAUAAAAAAACUAAUCAAAUAAUAUUCCAAAAUCUAUAUUGUCGUCUGGCACAUGCGGUUCAGAGGUCUGGGGGUCUACAGCGGCCAUCGUCUGGUGGGGAUGCUCGGGAUGGACGGGCUCGGAGGUUGGCGCAUCAAAAUGCGGGACUGGAAUGCCGGACUGUGCGAGGGACUGCAGAAUGACCGACAUCUGACUCUGAAGAGUGGCCACCUGUGCUGUCAAAGCAGUGACCUCACUGUUUGACUGCGCUGAUGAACGGGGUCUGGGUUUCCUUCGCCUGGCAUGUCCCAUCCCUCGACAAUAUAUCCUCGGUCUCCUCCCUAGAGUCUGAUCCAAUGUCUCCGUCAAGAUCUGAAACCUAGCAUCCUGUGGAGGAUCCACAGACUCGAUCGGAGUAUCGGGAGGAAGUUGGGAGGCGGAUUCCUGAAGAACCAACUGGCUCCUCUCCACCAUCGUCGUCUGUUUAACAUAACAUAAAAUAUAAAUUAAAACAUUCAUAUAAUAACCUUUAAACUUGAAUGCGUAACAUAAGAAUUAAAAUUAAAUAAUACGUACAUGAAGGGACUCGGCCAACUCAUUCCCAGGUCGAACAUAAACGUUGCCAAAGACGUCGAUCUAUGGGAAUUUGGACCCCCCCUAAAUUGAACAAGAGAAGAAAAAUAUUAGUACGAAAAAAUAAAUUUAGAAUAAUGAAAUAUUAAAAAUUACAUAAAAAUUAUUUUAUUAUUACCUGCCGCCGUGCAUCCAUCCCAUAGGAGAAGGGCCUGGAACCUGAAUGAUGGAGAAGAGUCUUCUUCUUCCUAUUGCCCUUAUUGACUUUGGCUUUAUUCUUUUAUACAAAAAAUAAAACGUAUUAGUUGAAAUUGAAAUUAAAUAUAAAAAAUUAAAAAAACAUUAGUAAGAAAAAUAUAAUAAAUUUGAAAUUCAUAUUAUAAAUUACCACAAAAGCGCACGCCUGAAAAUGAGCGCAGAGCCACGCCCAACUAUCCUCCCGCCCCUAAAGCUCCUUCGGGCAACCCUCCUGAAGAGCGACUUGCGAAUCAUCAAACGCCUCAAAAUAGUGGUGCAAGUCGCUCUUCCAUUGUUUGUACCUCUCAGAGAAGAGUCUGUUGACAUACGUCAACGACUUGUCGUCGAGGUCCUCCAAGUUGUAGUUCGUCUGCAAUAAAUUAAUUACAUACAUUUAAAUAAUAGAAAUAUAAAGUUUGAAAUGCCUACAUACCGACAACUGGCCGCGAACCUCCGUCUUUAUCUCAUCAGGCAUGACCUUCCAAGACUUCCAUUUCAUCGGGCAAUGGCUCCGAACGACAUGACCAAUGUUGUGGGCCAAGGAGCUAUGCAACUCCACCUUCGGUGCAGCCCGAUGUCGCUCAUUGUAUCCGAUGUUGAUACGACUGUUAGUCACCCGGGUGACCUUCACCGUCUUCAACUGCCGACACGGCCCUCGGGUGUUCUUCUUGGCUACAAAGAAAGAUGACAUUAAUGUUAAAUAAAUAACAAAUUUAACUAUAAAAUACACACACAAAAACCAAACCAAAAACAAAAAUAAAAACAAGAACAUAAACAUAAACAAAAAUAAAAACAAAAAUAAAAAUAACUGGAGUUUAAGGAAAUCUAUACCUGGCUGUGACCCCGACGCAUCAGUGGAUGUGGUGUCGGUGGUGCUGGCAGGCCAAUGACGCCGCCUGGAGCUAACAGGCUGCGCCACUGAUGAAGCAGGCGCCUGGGACCCCGUGGGACCAACUGCCAAGUGGUCCAUCAGUGCUGGCGCAGUGGCAGCAGAUGUCGGCUGAGCCGGGGGCUCCGAACUCUGCGUAGUCGUCACCGCCCUACGACGUCUAAUCAGGUCUGACAUCUGCACAAUUUCAUUAAUACACAUACAAAUUAAUACAAUAUACAAAUAUUUGAAAGCACAUACAAUUUUAUUAAGAUUCUUGACUUAGGGUUUGCGAGUUCGGAGUAUCCGGGACUCCGAUCCACGAUCCAUCAAAUCCUAGACGAUCCUAGAAAUACAAGGUACACCAUACAUGAGUUUGAGUUUCAUCCAAUGGUCCGAACAUAACAAACUCGGAAAUCGCACAAUAGAAAAAAUCCGUUCGAGACUCAAACGGUAACCAAAUUCUAAUCCGAAAAGACCUACGCGCUCGUGACAACUAGGAGAUUGCAUUGGGACCCAAUGCAUGAUUGCUACAGUAUCCCAAGCGCCACCACACGCGUCGGCAGCGCGUGAAUGUCCAAAGCGAUACCAAUCGCAGGAAAAUUCUAAAAACUAAGGGUCAAGGUUCCUACCCUAGGUUGAAAACAUCAAUUGGAGCCAAUUUUGUUCGGACCUACCCCGAAAAAUGGCCAGAAGUGGCCGGAAUUGAAAUUCAAAAACCGGCAGAAACUUAGGGUUUCAAAUCCAUUGCCCUAUUGCAACAAUUACAGAAAUCCUACCCAACCAUCAGCUAAAGCAUCAAAAAUAGUCCAGAAACCAUAUCUCAGGUGUCGAAUUUGGUCGCCGGAGGAGAGAGAACGACGGCAGUGCAGUUUCGGUGAAAACUGAGGAAAUUAUGGCGGCUGGCUUGACGGUGACGGCGGGGAAGCUCUGGGGUACCAAGGUUGUGGCGGCGCGGUCUAAAUUCCACCGAGGUAGGGGCUGAGUGACGGCGGAGAGAGAGAGAGAGAGAGAGAGAGAGAGAGAGUUAGGGCAAAAAUCAGAAUCUGGGGAAGAAGGAGGCCAUCGCAUCGUUUCUGAAAUUUUAUUCGAUUUUGCGUGACGAAUAAAUAAAAGCGUCGCGCAAAAUAUUUUAAAUGACUCUUGCGUGACGACAAAAGUUUAACUCCCGUCGCGCAAUAUUGUGAGUCCGCCAAAAUUUGGUAUCAGGGUAGGCUUGCGUGGUUUUGCGCGAUGCAUAGUAAUGUUUUUCGUCACGCAAGGUUGUCAAUCCACCAAAAUUUUGGGACUUAGGGUUUAGCGGGAGAGAUUGAAAACUUUGCGCGACGCUGUCCGUAUUCGUCGCGCAAUGUUGUAAUUCCGUCAAAAUUUGGGGUUUUAGGGUUUAUUGGGUAGAGAAAUUGCGCGAUGAAUAUGGACAGCGUUACGCAAGUCUGCUUUCUGUACACUUGAAAAAAAUUUGGACCAAGUGUUGAAGGGGGAAGAGGGUGAAACGGCUAACUGAGAUUGCGCGACGACGAAGUCUAUGUUCGUCGCGCAAUACUGUUUUAUGCAGGCUUUGUGCGAUCAAUCAACUUUAUUCGUCGCGCAACGUUGUAAUUCCGUCAAAAUUUGGGGUUAAGGGUUUAUUGGCAGAGAGAUUACGCGACGAAACUGUACAGCAUCGCGCAAGUCUGCUUUCUGUACACUCGAAAAAAAUUUGGACCAAGUGUUCAAGGGGCAAGAGGGUGAAAGUGAUGACUGAGAUUGCGCGAAGACGAAGUUUACAUUCAUCUCGCAAGACUGUUUUCUACAGGCUUUGUGCGACCAAUCAACUUUAUUCGUCGCGCAAACCCUAAACCCUAAACCUUAAACCCUAAACCACGGAAACCUUAAACCCGAAACUAGUUUUAAUGAUCCAACCGGCAAACUUGUUUUUUUAUACUUCGAGAUCGUAUACGCCGAAAAUCGAAAAAAACAAACAUGAAGAGAUCAAGUAACGGGACAAAACUUUUCGACGGUUCUAAAUGAAAAGUCAUGAUUUAACGGUUAUUUUAACUCCGAUUUUUAUGAUUUUUUACAGCUACAUUUCUUGACCCUAUAUGAAUACAAUUACUGUAUUUGAUCUUCAAUUUAAGAUGUUUACACUAGGGGGAUACCACAUAAUCUUAUGUUAUAUUUAACGAAAGUAUAAGUAAACUAUUCAUUGUUGGUGAAUAUAUGGUUUUGAUGGCAUACGCAUUCUACGAAACUAGUUUCAGUAAUCUAGCCGUCAAACUUGUUUGUUUAUACUUCAAGAUCUUAGACCCCAAAAAUCGGAAAAAAAAUAAAUUCAGAGAUCAAGUAACGAGACAAAACUUUUGAACGGUUAUAAAUGAAAAGUCAUGAUUUAGCGGUUAUUUUAACUCCGAUUUUGAUGAUUUUUUACAGCUACACUCCUUGACCCUAUAUGAAUACAAUGAACUAACUCGAUCGUCAAUUUCAAAUAUAUAUGUGUAUAUAUAUUAUAUUAUAAAAUAAUAUACAUUUGCGCGACAAGAGGAACCCUGUCGUCGCGCAAAUCGCAUGACGAAUCAUAGGUUGUCGCGCAAUGUUUUAACUUUACGCGACGAGUGUAUUGUGUGUCGCGCAAACUUUGCGCGAUGAGGAUUAUUUCGUCGCACAAGGAUUUUCAUUUUUGAAAAAUGUUUGGUGUCAAUAAUUUUCAAACUUUGUAUGUAAAGGGUUUGGAUAUAUUUAUUUAUCAAUGUUUUAUAACAAAUUUAUUUUAAUAAUGUUUCAUUUCUCCACAUAUAUAAGGUUUGGAUAUAACAACUACAUAUAUUCAAACAUUUGUAUUACACAAAAUCUGUACACUAGCAUAAUAAAAUUACAAAAAAAUUCAUUAUUCAUCAUCUGAACUAUAAUAACUUUCGUUAUCCUCGCUAUCAUCACUUUCGGUCUCCCAAUCCUCCUCCUCCUCCUCCUCCUCUAUAACUACAUCAUCGUCGUUGCUCGGGCCCACUGCAACAUCGAAUCUUGGAAGAUCACCGAGGUCAAUUGUAAUUGACUAAAUCGGUAUUUCGAUUGAAGACCUCCUUGUAUUUGAAACGGUUCUUGUAUAACAUGUGUAUCUCGAAGUGUUUCCGCAUCAUUUUCCAUUGAAGAUUCUAAACGUUGGUCAGCCACAUUAUCGACGUCGUUGUCAGUUGGGUCUAGUUCUGUUAUAGCAUACACGUUCCUAUGAUCCAUGUUUGCCAAAAUGUAAGGGUCGUCAUCAUACCAAGUUCUGUUAGUGUUCUCAGAUAGUAAGCCAUGGUCGAUUUUAACACUUUUCGGCCUAUUUGGGUUGCUAUCAAACCAUCGACACUUAAACAUGAUCACUUGGUAUCGAUCUUUGUAAAGCAAUUGAACGACCGUUGUGAGUUUGCCAUAGAAAUCAAUGUUCAUACUUUCGCCUCCACCUGGGAUAUGGACACCGCUGUUUUGCUACACAACUUGUCAUCUCGUGCAGCCCCCAAAAAUUUGACGCCGUUAAUAUAACAACCCGAAAACAAUUCAGCGCGAAUCGGGCCGAACGCCAAGUUAUAUAACUCAUCACUGUAAGUGGGGAAUUCGAUGAUUUCAACUUAUUCACCUAAUAUAAUACAAAACCAUUCACAUGUUAGUCUGACAAAAUCAAAUACUACAAUUUAUAUUUGUCAAAUACAAAAUACUUAUAACUUACAGAAUCCAAAAACCAUUGUGGAAACAAUUCACGGUGUUGCUGGGCAACUAAAUGUGAUGGAUGUUCUCGCUUCAUCAUCUCUUCAUGCUCAUCUAAGUAUGCCAUUAUCUCAUCACAAUUGUUCAGUACGAACCAAUGCGCUACCUCCAUGUCAUUUCUAGAAAACGACUCUCCUCGUCCAGGAUCUCCAAAGGGUCGUGCGCUUUGGGCAAAAACUGAAAGUUUUUCCUUUCUCAUACCUCCGUCAUUAUUGCGCUAAGGACGAUUGAAAGCCAUCUCCACAUCUUUUAAAUACAUUCCACAGAAAGUAAGUGACUCAUAUUGAACCCAAGCCUCUAUAAUUGAUCCUUCGGGCUUCGCCCUGUUGCCUACACUUUUUUUUCAGCUCUCCGAGAAGCCUGUCAAAAUAAAGCGAUAUGAUACAAAUUAGCAAGCCUGUGAUAAUGAUGCAUACACAAACGAUAAGGAUUAUAUACCUUUCUAUUGGAUACAUUCAGCGAUAAUUGACAGGACCAGCAAGCAAUGCCUCUUCUGGCAACUGAACCAUCACGUGCAUCAUACUUGUGAAGAAAGCUAGAGGAAAUAUCAUCUCAAACUUGCAUAGGACUUGGAAAAUGUCAUGGCGCAACUGAAACAUGUUUGUCUUUCGCAAUGUUUUUGCCGUCAGUUGGGAAAAAAAUAUGGACAACAACAUGAUUGGCUUCACAACAUCUUCCGGCAAUAGAUGUCGAAUACCCACAGGAAGUAGGCUUUGCAUAAACACAUGGCAGUCAUGAAUCUUCAGUCCAGUAAAUUUACCCCCGUCAACAUUCACGCAACGUGCGAUAUUUGAAGCAUACGCAUCAGGAAACUUUACAGACGAUACAAACUUUAGAAACUCUUUUUUGUCAUUCGGUUUCAUAGAAAAGAAUGCAAGAUCCCUUCUAGCUUUAUCACUGUCCCUGUUCAUCCAUAAACCCCUUCGUAUACCCAUUCUUUCCAAAUCAAGACGGGCUUUGAUUGUGUCCUUUGUCUUGCCCUCGAUAUCUAGAAUCGUGCCCACCAAUGUGUUAAAUACAUUUUUCUCAACAUGCAUCACAUCUAGAUUGUGCCUCAAUUUGAGUUUCGACUAAUAUGGGAGCUCAAAAAACAUAGGCUUGUGAGUCCAGUUCAUAUGUGUAGAAGGUCUGGUCCGACUAACUGUUUUUCCGAACGGAGCAAAAUCCAAAAGGUUAAGCUGUUCCAAGAUUUCAUCACCGGACCAUUCUCUAGGUCUGAGGCGACGCUUUGUGUUCCCGUCGAACUCUUUAUCUUUUUUUCGCCACUCAUGGUCCCAUGGCAACCAUCUUCGAUGACCAAGGUAAUAAAUGUUUCCCGCUUGCCAACCAGAAGUUACAUCUUCCUUGCAUACAGGACAUGCCAUAUAACCAUUUGUGCUCAACCCAGAAACCAUUGCAUAUGCUGGAAAAUCAUUCACAGUCCACAUAACUGCUGCCCGCAAAGUGAACAUCUUCCCAGUUGAUUUAUCGUACGUGCGAACACCGUUUGUCCAUAAAUCGUUCAGCUCAUCAACCAGUGGCCUUAAGUAAACAUCGAUUGACCUCCCAGGAUCCUCAGUUAUCAAAACAGUCAUCAUCAUGUAUUCUUUUUUCAUGCAUUUCCAAGGCGGCAAAUUAUAUGGGAAUACGAAAAUCGGCCAAGUGCUGUGGUGUUAGUUUAGAACCCCAUACAGAUUGAAUCCGUCAGUGGCAAGUCCCAAUCUCACAUUUCGGGGAUCAGCAGCAAACUUAGGGCCUCCCCAUCUGCAGGAUGCCGCAUCACAUCAUCGUCUACCCAUUUUUCCUUAUGUCAUCUCAUGUCUGUGGCAGUAUGCGUCGACAUAUACGAUCGCUGCAACCUAGGUUUCAGGGGCAGAUAACGCAUGACUUUUUGUGGGAUCUUAGUCGUUCUAUUCUGAGAUGUCAUUUUGAACCUCGACUCAUUGCAUAUAGGGCAUGUAUCCAACGUUUCAUGCUCCUUGUAGAAUAACAUGCAAUUAUUUUUGCAAGCAUGAAUUUCUUCAUAACCCAAUCUAAGACCAUUCAACACCUUCUGCGCGUGUUUAUGGUCUUUCGGCAAACAAUUGUCCGUCGGAAGCAUUCUCUUGAAAACCCCGAAAAAGUAAUCGAAACACAAGUUCGACAUACGAUACUUUAUUUUUCCGUGCAUUAGCUCUACAAUGGCCGUGAGAAUGGAAAAGCUCUCGCACCCCGGGUAUAACUCUUGGUUGGCAUUUUUUAACAGUUUUUCAUAUUGUUCAAACUCCGCGCUGUCUAUUGGUGCAGGCACGUCAUCUUUCAUUUCAUGAUUGAUGUUGGUCGAUGCAAAUGGAAAAGCAUCCUGUAUAAUAUCCGUGACUUGAUCAUUAGGAUCCACAAUAGGUUCAACAUUGUCCAUUCUUGUGGCAUUUGAAGACGAAGCAUGGUCUAAUUGUUCCCCAUGAAGGUUCCAAAUGCUAUAUGUCUCAAUCAUUCCAAUCCUUACUAAAUGAAAUCCAACAUUUUCAAUUGUCUCCCACAACGUGUUAUUACACCUCCUACAAGGACAACGGAUUCUAGUUGCACCCGGGUUGUGUCUACGUGCAAACUCAAUAAAAUCCUCGAUUCCAUCCAAGUAUUCGCCUGCGCAUCUAUUCGGGUUCUGUAUCCACCUUCUGCUCAUAAUUCCUGAAACCACAAUCACAACACAACAAUUACAACAACUUCAUACGAAGUUAUAAUGUCACCUUACGCCUCCAGUAAGGGCCCUAUCCCAUUCGGGAAUGCAUUAUCCUGUCACGUAACCUACGGCUACAUGAGAUUAGAUUUCGACAUGGAUGAAUUUCGGCAGCAUCUCGAUACAGUUCUUGAGGUGGGCAUAGGUAUAAAUACCUACGUACCACCCAAAGAACGUACCAAGAUGACACCGAAAUCUCCACAAUCGAAACCUAAUCUUGUAGCCGUAGAUUACGUGACAACACUAUGCAUUACCAAACUGUCCAAAUAGUGGGACAAUUCAAGAAUUAAUUGGACUGCAGUCAUGCUUUACGUAUCCAUGUACGAAAUCCAACUAAUCUCGAACGGAAAACUAAGUGUUACUAAACAUACAAAUAAAAGUACGAAGUUAAUUUCAAUUAACUUCGUACAUCACAACACAUUGUGCUACGUCACGCACAAUUUAACAUAAUAUAAUACUUCACAAAAAAAAUAUAAACAUAACAAACUAACUUUAACAUUUUUAAUAUAUAAAACGAAUAAAAUACCUUCUCAGUCGUUCUCCACCAAUCGCUAAUUACAAAUAUCCCUAACGAGAACAAAAUUAAUAGCGUUAGUACGAAUUUACAUUAAUACUUUUAAACUAACGACAAAAACUACUUACCCAAUGAACGUACUGAAUUUUCAGCAAAGGCAGCGGCAGAGAGGUUGAGAGAGAGGCAGAAUGCUAUAUUUUUUGCAUUCUGCCUUUGCAAUGGCAGAAUUCAGAUAUGAAGAAGAAGGACUUUGCGCGACGAACCACAAAUUCCGUCGCGAAAAAUUAUUUUUCCAUCGCACAAAACGACUUUUUUCGUUGGGCAAAAAAUUGUCGACAAAAAACUUUUGUGCCACGCAUGACAUUUUCGUCGCACAAACUUUCGUUGCGCAAAAAAAAAAAAUUCCGUCGCGCAAGAAUGUACCGACAUCAACUUUACGCGACGAAAACUAAUUCCGUCGCGCAAAAAAAAAAAUCCCUCCUAAAUUAUUUUGGCGCCAAAAAAAAAUAUCCCUCGUUUUCUUACGCGACGAUAAAUGGUUUCGUCGCGCUAAGUUGUCUUUUGCGACGAAACCUGUCGUCGCACAAGUUUUCGCAGCCAAUUGACGGGAUCGAUCCCUGUUUUGUGUUCACCUUUACGAAACGAAGUGUCCCAUCAUCGCGCUAGGUUUUCUUAUGCGACGAUUGCUCUCGCUGCGCAAGUGUUUGGCGCCAACAAAAAACCCUGGUUUUUUUUCGCUCACUUUGCGCGACGAAGGUAAAUGUCUGUCGUGCUAAGAGGUUCUGCGCUUCGAAAACUUUGGUCACACAAGUUUUCAAUUUUUUGCGCGACGAAACUUUUUUUCCGUCGCUGGAAUGCAUUUUGCAUGACGAACUUGUAUUUGUCGCGCAAAUAAUAAAACGUAGUAGUGAUCUCACAUCAAGAAAGUACACAUCAAGUUUUUAAAUUCUCUCGCAAUUAAUCCUUCAGAGUUCAAACCAAACAAAAUUCAUUUGGAAAAUUAAAAAUUACAGCACAUUCAAAAAAAAAAAAAUCCCAAGAAAAGAAAAACCAUUAUAUAUAACUAAAACCCUAUAAGAUCAUCACACCAAUUUUAUUAUUUUUUCAAUUAGUUGUUAAUAUUUUAUUACACAUAAUGUGGACCCUACGAAUGGCAUAUCAUCACUUAACUGAUUUUACGACGAUCAAGGUAAUGACGGAACCAUAUAGCAAUAAAUUUCCAAUGUGGGGUACUAUAUUAUUAAAAUUGAAAGAGCAUGGAUAAAUAACAUACCUAACGGCUUAAGGAUAGAAUUGCUUGGUAACUUAAUUUUUGAAAUAUGGGGGGUUUUUUUUUUAUGUUCGUUUAUUAAACCUCUAAUUAUUAACUUUCCUAUCAAGUGUAUUUUCUCACAAUUAACUUAUAUUAGGAAAACCCACAGCUGUAAAGACGUCUCCCAUCUUCAUCAAGGAGGAAGUAACUCUAGCUUGCCCUUCAGGGCUGGCCUAACCGAAACGGCCUACACUUCAGGGCGACCUCUUUCUCUUACUACCCAGGUGCAUGAUGUAGCCUGUAACUCCUUUGCAUCCAGAUUGGCACGCCGACAACGGCCCACUGUGCCCCUGAUGUGCGCGCACAUGCCGUUCGCAGGCUCCUACCCCUUCCUAACCAUCCUUAAUGCCCCCACAUUGGGUCACAAGAUCACAUGACUGAGCUCAGCACUUCUUAAACCAAGACUUGGGUAUGUUAGGUUCUUAACUUUUCUCUAUUUGAUCGAUGUGGGAUUGUGAAUACAUAAAAUCUGAGUUCUCUUUCUUCACGUAUUUGAAUGAAAAAGCUUUGCAUCUCUUUGGUCAUAUCUAUUUAACAUGAAAUAGAAAGAUGAUUUUUCUAACAGUUUUUGCGUAUUUCAACUAAAUCAUAAACACCAAACAGAUUGAACAAAAUGGAGAAAUCGAUUGCUUGUUUUGUUUGGUUUCAAACUAUACAAGAUGGUUGCCAAGAGCAUUUUCGAGUGCCAUUCUCAAUGAAGAUCCUGUGCACGUAGAACAAUCCAAAGAGUUGAUUGAUUUGCCGAGUCCAAAUCUUAUGUUUUUGCCUCAAGAAUUCUGGGAUUAGGGAUUUAUACGUUGGCCUUCAGCUUCGACUAGAUAAACAAGUUUAUUGUUGACGCACCAACUCCCCCAGAUAUCCAAUUUGAAGAAAGAAAUUUUCAAAGUCAAUUCUCAGUCUCUUCUGAUAAACUUUAUGAAUGGAAUAUUGAUGGCCUGUCUGAACAAGAAAUUAUGAAUAAAUUACAACAUAUGUCUAUGGUCGCCAAUAGUUACAUUACUAACCAUAACCUAAAACAGUUAGAAAUAGUACCUCUCCUAGAAACAGGAUUCAUAGGAACCUUACGUUCUUGGUGGGAUAAACACCUUAUAGAAGAGUCAAAACGACAAAUAAUACAUGCAGUAAAUUAAAUGAAGAUGGAUUCCCUAUAUUCGAUGAAAAUAUCAAUAUUGGAAUUGAGGAUGGAGUCAAUACAUUAUUAUACACAAUAAUUGAACAUUUCGUAGGAACACCGAGUUAACACUACAGCCAUAAUUCAUGAUCACCUUGGCAAUCUUAGAUGCCCUAAGUUAAGUGACUUCAGAUGGUACAAAGAUGUUUUUAUCUCCAGAGUCAUGCUAAGAGAUGUAGUAAUCAACCAUUUUGGAAAGAAAAAUUCAUUAAUGGUCUUCCCAAUUUUUUUGCAAACAAAAUACAAAUAGUUUUAAGUAAUGAUCGAGGCCAUAUCGAUUUUGAUAGUUUAACUUAUAGAAAUAUAAUUAAUAUUAUAUAUAUAUAAUAUUAUAUCUAUAUAUUAUAAACCAAUUGACGUUUUUGACUUGGUUGAGGGAGUGGCUUUUAAAAAGGUAGUUGUGAGGAUGGCCAAAUAGUUGGCUGAAACCAAGUCAAGAUCUUGGCUUCCCAUGUUGGUGAGUUGGCUGGAAAUGGAAGUUUUGGCUAAAGAGUUGGUUUUUUGGCAUGAGAGAACCCACAUGGGUUUACCUUGGUAUUCUCAAACUUGGGUCAAAUUGGCAUGGGUUUUUAAAAUGGCUGUGAGUUCGUAGGCCACUUAGUUCGCCUUUAAUUCUUGUCUCCAACUUCCCAGGCCAUAGGCCUUAUACAUACAUAAAUUUAAUAUGCAAUAUAUAUAGAGGGCUUCUAUAGUGAGUGGGAAGUUAUAAGGGGUGUUUUUGAGGGGUAUGUAAGAGCCGUUGGAUUUCAUCCAACGGUGAGUUUUUAAAAGAGGGUGCAUGUAGAAUCGGGUUGAAAUCUAACCCAUUAGAAACCCAACUUCAGUUGUUCCCCUCUUUCCCUCUCUGUGAAAAACUGAAGAACACAAUCCUCUCUUUUUGAAUGUAAAGCAAACCCACAAUUAGAAGGAUCCAAAUCUCCCAAACCUUAUAGUCACUCGAUUGUCAUUAGCUCGUUGGGAGGCCUGCGAUCUAUGGUAUCCUGGAUAUUACGAAGAAUGGCUCUUACCUAGCUGUUGCCCUGUUUUGAUUCUAUGGCUCAAGUGAAAACCCCUUCUCUUUUUCAUUCAGCUGACAAGAUUCCAGAUGAAAGCAAAGUAGCAUAUCUCUUUUUGUAGCUAUAAGCCGCAGCAGCAGUUGUUCCUCGAUUUUGGUAGAGAUGGAGUCUCAAAUACCAAAGAGUCUUCUCUAAUGUCCACCACAUUCUUUCAAGCUGACUGACUGCAGAGCUCCCGAUUGAUUUUGAGAGGUAAGUUCACUUGCUGGAUUGAUUUUGUUGGGUUAGGUUUAUUUUUUGUGAGGGUGGGAAAUUCGUCAUUUGUGGCAUCAAUAAUGCGUCAUUUUUGGAAUCAAUAAUGUGUCAUUUCCUUAUGAAUAUUCAAUAUACUUAGUUCAUUGUUGUUGGUCGGGGUGGAAAAUUAUGAAAUGUAGGUAAAAGAACCUAAACUUAGGCUUAAUGACAAUAGGAGUAAGCAGUUGGAGAGGAUAUUGGGUGAAGUUCUGUAAUUGGUGGUUUGAAUUACAUUUGUGUUCUUAGUUGAACAUGUUGGUUCUAAUGUUAUUUUUACCAGAUUAUUUCACAAGAGAUGACGUAACUUUUAUGAAAUUUUGCUUGCGUUUUGUGUAAUCGGAAGUUAGGGUAUGCGUAUUUUGUGUCAAUUUGGGCAAUGUUUUGUGUAAGUGGAAUGCAUUGAUAUGUUGUGAUGCAGUAAUGACUGAUUAAUGAAUGAAUAAUUGCUAUGCAGUAAUAUAGAAGUGGAUCAAUAAUAUACGUAGAUAAAAUGUCUGAGGGCUCAGAGAGUGAUGAAUGUGCAACAGCUAAUGGGAGGGUUUAUAUUCCUGAAGUAAGAAAUGAGGAAACACCAGCAGUUGGAUGAAGUUUGACUCGCUUGACCUCGUUUACAAUUUCUAUAAUAGAUAUGCAUUCUUUGCUGGCUUUGGUAUUCGACUUCAUUCUAGCUUUUGGGGGAAAAUAAGAAAGAGAUUUUGAGGAAAGAAUUUGUAUGUUGCAAACAAGGUGCAUACAGGAAGGAUGAAACUCGGGAGAGAAAAAGACAACGGGGAAUAAGUAGAUGCAAUUGCAAAGCUAAGAUUGUGGUUGUGAAGACAAAUGGGCGCAAGAAGUAUAUCAUAUCUCUUUUUGCAGAGGGACACAAUCAUUAGAUGACACCCUCAGAAAGAAUGCAUUUAUUGAGAUCACACCGUCAUAUUUCAGAUUCUACAAAAGUACUCACAAAACAGUUGGGUUCAGUUAAUAUUCCCAUUCAUCAGAAGGUAAGUAUUUUGGAGGUGCAAUCCGGAGGAAUGGAUAAAAUCGGUUUUAUCAAAAAAGAUAUCUACAAUCUUGAAUGUAGUGUGAAUGGGAAGCUGAGGAACCACGAUGUUGAACUAGUGACCGAGUAUUUUAUGGCUGAACAGAAAAAACAUGAGGCUUUUUAUUUCAAGAUUGAGGGAGAUGGGCAUGAUAGGUUUAGUCGAUGUUUUUGGGCAGAUGCAACUUCUAGACGGGCGUAUGGGUUUUAUGGAGAUGUUGUUGUAUUCGAUACCACAUUCAACACGAAUCGAUACGACUUGACAUUUGCACCAAUGCUGGGAGUUAAUAACCAUGGUCAGACAAUUGUCUUAGCAUGCGCAUUUUUGAGCAAGGAAACGACUGAGUCGUUUGUUUAGAUGUUUGAGGAGUUUAAGAAAGCCAUGCCAGGUGGGGAACCUAAAACGAUCAUUACAGAUCAAGAUGCGGCAAUGGCCAUAGCGAUUUCAAUAGCCUUCCCGACCACAUUUCAUCGACUUUGCAUAUGGCACAUCACAUCAAAGUUCUCUGUCAAGUUACCAUGUGACGCUUAUAAGGAGUAUUGGCGUGAAUUUCAGAAAGCCAUAUGGGAUACUGACAAUAAGGAUGAGUUUGAUGCAAAAUGGAAUAUUGUGGUUACAAAGGCUGGUUUGACUGACCAUCCAUGGCUAAGUUCAAUGUUUGAUUUAAGGGAAUCUUGGGUUCCAGCCUACGCACGAUAAUUUUUUGCCGCUAGAAUGUCAAGCAGCCAAAGAGCGGAAGGUUCUCAUGGUUUUUUCAAGCAAUACAUAUCAAGGAGAAAUUCGUUGAUAGAUUUCAUAAUACGAUUGAGAGGGCACUUUCUCAUCAACGUGAAAAAGAGUUAGUUGCUGAUCAAGUAGAUGCAUUUGAAGUGGCUCAAUGUAUUCUACCGAUGCCAAUGAACAAACAAAUGGCUACCUUGUACACAAGGACAAUGUUUCAAAAGUUUGAGCAAGAACUAAUACAAAGUACAGCAUGUUUCCUAGAGCUCAAAACAGAGGAUGCUUGUAAAGUUGUCUUUAACGUGAGCGAAAGGAAAAAUUGGGAAACAAGAGUGGCAGAAGUCGUAUAUGUCAAAGAUUCUGACCACGCAUCGUGUAGCUGCAAAAGAUUUGAAUUUGUUGGAAUUAUUUGCAAGCACAUCCUAGCAUUGUUCAGAAGGGACCAGAUUGAAUAUAUGCCCGAUAAAUAUAUUUUGAAGAGGUGGAAGAAAACUGCGAAAUCUGGAUUGGUGUCAGAUGCAAAUGGCAACAAAAUUAAAGACUGUGCAGAUCCUGGCCUUCUAAUAAAGCGGAGUACAAUGUCUCGACUUGCUUCAGAUGUGGUUGAGGAUGCAUUAAUGAGUGAAGAAGGAUGUGAGCUACUGUCAGAGACUCUAAAAAGUUUGCAGGUGAAGUUGAAGUUGCUGAAGGAUGGACCAAGUAAUAACGAAGUUGGAGGGUCCAGCUCUCAAACACAAUAUAUGAAAGACCCUAAGAGAGUGAGGUGCAAAGGAAGGUCGAAAGGAGUAACGGGUGCAAAGGAAAAGGCAAUGAAGUGAGGGAUUAGACACUGUCGGGAGUGUGGACGCAUUGGUCAUGAUAGAAGACAAUGCCCAGCCUUGAACACACUGUAAGAUGCUAACACUAUUUGUAAUAACAUCUAAAUUUUGAAUAGGUAAAAUUUUUAUGUGCUUGUGUUUGAUGUUUAUGCAGGACAUCACCGUCGAACAAUGACGAAUCAACUCCAAUACAUCGUAGUGACCCAUUAUUCGACGAUUUUGACAGGAUGCACGGACCAACUGAAUGAUUUAUAUUUGUAUUAGACGAAAUAUGGUUGUUAUGAAGAUUAAUGAUCAGGUGAAGUUUUAUAGAUUCAGUUUUUAAAUAUUAUUGUGUUUUUGUUCAUGUCCACCGAUGAGCUCUUACUAUGUCCACUGGUAAUUGAAAUGAAAAUUUGCUUGGUUUCAUUCUUCCAUGAAAUUUGGAGACAUGUUAAUUUUACGUCUUCUCCCUAUUUAUAAAUUUUUCAUAGACAUUUGAUCAAGUAUGAAAUUUGUAGUUAUGUGAAGAAGCAAUGACUUUUACCAUGUAAAAUGGGCAGUUUAGGGUGAAUUAUGUUUUAACAGAGAUUCAUUUUUCAAAUCCUCAGGCUAAUGCAGCAUUUCCAGCAGCCAGCUGUUGUUUCCAUUACCAGUAAUCAUUUCCAGCAGUAGCCACUUUUUCCGACUGGUUAUUAGGGGCACGAUUUUGUACACUUUUGUAACUGAAGGAUACUUGAAGCACUUUGUUGGAACAGAGCAAAUAGAAAGUAGCGUGUAAAAAAGAAACAUAACAUUGCAGCUAAUUACAUUUCGAUACUUAGGUGAAAAAUAUUAAAGGGUACACUAACUUACAUAAAUACUCAUAAUUCCACACACAAAAGAACAUUUGAUUGCAAAAAUAUUAUGUGCUCCCUCUUAGCAAUACCACAAUCUCCCCAACCAACUGAACAACGGUAGCCACAAUCACUCGGUCGUACUGGUCAGCUUCUUCUUAGCAGGUGUCACAUGCUUAUGGCCACUCAUAUCCCUAGUGAUAUAGACGAAAUAAAUCUUCAGCAAUAUUUGGAAUUUUAUUAUAUAUAAAUAAACCAAAAACCAUUCACUAAACAAUGUAUAGCACAUGUUAUGUUACUUACGACUCACGUGUCAGUUUUUUUUGAACACAUUAGUACGCCAGCUCUUUAAUGUAAAUGGACAUGAUAAGGAACAUUUACUGAUCCCGGCUUGCUGUGAUAUUGACUGCUUGUUGAAUAAUAUUUCCAUAUUUGCAAAAUAUAAUGUUAGACAUUAUAACACAUGAUGACUUGCAAUACAUAGUCCCAAUAAUUAUAUAUGAAGUAAAUGAAACUGAUAUUUGUGUUAUUUUAAAUUAGAUAAUGAUAUUAAGGGAGUAUAUGUGCAAUACCACGGUCACCCUCAACCAACUGAACAGCGGUAGCCGCAAUCACUUAGUCGUAUCGAUCGGCUUCUUCCGAGCAGCUUUGACGUGCUUAUGCUCAUUCAUGUCACCCCCAUCGUCUAGUAUCUCUCUCACAGCAUCAGGGGACACAUAGUUCCAAUCAUAACUUGUAUGAGUAGUUGCCGCAAAUGCUCGGAAUUUGUCGAAUCCUUCGUUGAAUGCCAACUCCAGUUCACUAUGGUGCUCUUUGCAUCGCAUAUGGUUCAUCAAACAACCUUUCAUUUCAUCAUUCAUUACUGUAUCCAACUCCUCAGCUUUCAGCUUCCUUUUAUGACUCAGCUUCAAGUACUUGUUCUUUUGGGAGAACGCUUUGUUCACUCUAAUGUUAAGAUCAGCCAAAAUUGCCUCGUCUUCAACACAUUUCUCUUGCCAUGAAUUGAUCAGUCUGGAAUUAUAAUCCAGCUUGCCACUGACUGCAUGUAUUGCCUCUAAUGGAUCAUCGGAGUCCCCCUCACUCCCAAAUGAUGUUGAAAAAGGAAGGGGUCGGCGAGUACAAUGUGGAAAUAGAACCUGCGACUCCAAUUUGUCAUCUUCGAUUGUGUUGUUGGCGCCUGAAGAGGUUGACAUGCUUCAAUAAUCCUCUUUGUUUUGGGAGGAUGAGGAUUGCAUAUGCAAUUUCGUUUGAGAAAGGGAACAUAGGUUUAUAGACCAACAUACCAAAGCUUGUGUGUAGUCAACAUAUGUACUUUUUGGAGGGAAUUUUUUAAAAAUAGGUGUCAGCUUUUGCUUUUCAAGCAUGUCAACCUCACACUCUCCUUACACCACUGAUAGUGGUUGAAAGAAACUCAAUGGAAGUGACAUCUACUUAGUUAACUCAACCAAACUAGUUAGGAUUAAACUUAGAUUGUAUCAGACCAAAAAUUAAUUUCUACAUUGUCAACCAAAUAUUUUUUGGCGGGAACCCUUUUCUUGGUAUUACUAUCACCCCUUUCAUAUAAAUUCCCCUUCCACACAAAACUCACUCCUCCACCGAAUCUGUCUCCAUCUACUGAUACUCUCUCAAGCAAACAAACUCAUUGCCCCCAAACAAUAGAUUUACUAACCAAGUUUGAUGUGAGCAUAAUAAACACCCCUCCAAACAAAGACCGCCUUCGACACGCAAGUGAGUCACCAGACAAGCAAUGUCACAUUCCUAGACAGAAUGACCAUUUUGUUGGAAGUUUUGAGUCUGAAAGAGUUGUUGCUUUUUGGAAGGAGAGGCAUCUUCAACUUGGUGAUGAAAUCCAAAGGGCAAGGGCACGUUUGGAAUUUGUUGAAGGCCAAAUUGAAGAUGACAAAAGGCAGGCCAAUCUGGAUAGGGCGAAGUUGCAGUGCAUGAAGCGUAGACACAAACGACUUCGGAGUGUAGCUGUUAAAAAAUACAAGAACUCAUCUAAUGCAGUGGAGUCAAAGAAGCGUGUGAUGCAAGCUGGAUUCGACUACUUCCGAUCCUAUGCAAAACUCGUCGUACCCGGGUUUGAUUGGUCAUCUAUUACCGUUUUCGACGUCACCAAAUAUACUCAGCAAGGGAAGUAACCAUUUUGGUUCUCGUGUUUGAGCAAAGGCAAAUCACUGGAAUUGGAAUUUUCGUUACACUCUGCUUCAAAGCUAUUUUGAUGCUAACUACUAUGGAAGAUUUAAACCUUAAUAUUUUGAUGUCUUUAAUUACGAAAACACAAGAUGCAAAGAGCCCAUCUACUUCAGUCAUAUGUUGCUGCCAUGUCCAUUUUUUGUUGAUCACGUAUCAGAUUUGGACAUGGUUGCAUCAUAUGCAAUGUUGCCUUUAUUUAUUAUAUGUUAGGACAAGGUUUAUGGAAAAGCUUUUGUGAGUGUGUUUGUGACAAGGUUAUGGAAUUAUUAUGUACCAUUUAUAUAUUGUUUUUUGUACUGGUUCAUCUCCUACUAUUUCUUGCUUUCUUUAUAUUUUAUGUUUGUGGAAUCCCUCUCAAAGUUAACAUAUACUGUGCAAAAAAAUGCAGACUGAUUAUAUAAUCACUCAUAUAGACUAGGACAAAUAUUAACUAAGGGUUUUAAAAUUGCUUCACUUGUGUGAGGUUAUUGACAAAAAGUAUGGCAUUAUUUUAUGUGAUUGGACAUGAUUGAAAAUAUAUUACUGAUUCCCAAUGCUGCGUCAUAUGGACAACUUAUUGAAUACUUCUGACGUGUUAAGUUUCCUCGAGGUGCAGUUGCAUGUGGACAACUUAUUGAAUACCUCUGACGUGUUGAAAACUCUAGGUGCAGUUGCAUGUGGACAACUUAUUGAAUACGAACUGACGUCUUGAAAGCCCUAGGCCUAGUUGCAAUGAUGGCUUCAAAGCAUGUGCAAUUAUUAUGGAUGUACAUUAUUAUAACAAAACAUAUUAUUGUAUAUAGUCAAACUAAAUAUUGUAUUAUUACAAAUUAUAUAUUGAAUAUUAUCCGAAAUAUACGUGUUAACGUGAAUUAGGGUUAAGAGGAAAGUGAGUUAUGUACAAAUAAUUUUGAUUUUCUCAUUUUCCGGGUAUUUUUUGGAUUUUCGUAGAAUUUUUUACCUAUUUCCACAGAUUGUUGCACUAAAAAAGCCAAAAUAAUAGCAAGAGGACACCUGGCGUGAUCUCAGCCCGUCACUUUUGACUACUUGCACAAGUGUACGUUAGUCAACAUGGCCACAGCCUCCCAUUUUAUCCUAAAUUAUUAUUUUAUUACUUUGUCUUAGAAAAUUCAGAACUAAAUACACAAAAAUUCAAAAUUAUUUCCAAAAAUUGCUACGAACUCAUUGACACUCCAUCUCCCUUGCUGAAUUCUCCGAUUCAUUGUUACGCAUUUUAGACAAUUAUUCCCAACAUUAACGGGAGAUGCUUGUUGAAGUAGGUUAUUGAAGUUUAAGUUAACAAACAUCAAUACUUAGGGUUAAGAGGAAAGUGAGUUAUGUAAAACAAUUUGGAUUAUUUCAUUGCGAGACGAAUGAUUUAUAGGUUCUCCUAGUUUUAUGACAUCACAAGGAGGCCGGAGUAAUUUUUGGGGCAUUUUUAGGAUUUUUCUACUAUUUAUUACCUAGUUUCAAAGACUUUUUAACAAGAGAAUCCAAAAUUGAAAAGAAGAUGACACCUGGCGCGAUCUCAGCCCGUCACUUUUGACUACUUGCACAAGUGUACGUCAGUCAACAUAGCCACAUCCUCCCAUUUUACCCUAAAUUAUUAUUUUAUUACCUUUUUUCUUUGAAAAUUCAGAACUAAAUACACAAAAAUUCAAAAUUAUUUCCGAAAAUUGCUACAAACUCAUUGACACUCCAUCUCCCUUGCUGAAUUCUCCGAUUCAUUGUUACGCAUUUUAGACAAUUAUUCCCAACAUUAACGGGAGAUGCUUGUUGAAGUAGGUUAUUGAAGUUUAAGUUAACAAACAUCAAUACUUAGGGUUAAGAGGAAAGUGAGUUAUGUAAAACAAUUUGGAUUAUUUCAUUGCGAGACGAAUGAUUUAUAGUUUCUCCUAGUUUUAUGACGUCACAAGGAGGCCGGAGUAAUUUUUGGGGCAUUUUUAGGAUUUUUCUACUAUUUAUUACCUAGUUUCAAAGACUUUUUAACAAAAGAAUCCAAAAUUGAAAAGAAGAUGACACCUGGCGCGAUCUCAGCCCGUCACUUUUGACUACUUGCACAAGUGUACGUCAGUCAACAUGGCCACAUCCUCCCAUUUUACCCUAAGUUAUUAUGUUAUUACCUUUUUUCUUGGAAAAUUCAGAACUAAAUACACAAAAAUUAGAAAAACGAUCCGAAAUUUCUACGAAGUUAUUGAGACUUCAUCUUCCUACUGAAUUCCCUGUUUCAUGGUUAUGCUACAUUAGUAUUUUAUUAUUAUUUAUCCACAAUUAUUAUAAUUAUUAUGAUAUUACUUUUUACACUGUCCAUUUGUUAAUUAUAUUUAGUCCAACUUGUUGAAAACAAUUUUAUUUUCCGUGCGAAUAGGCCAUUUGUAGUGCUCAUCGGUUUCUCUGUUCUUCUAUUUGUUAAUUUUUUUAUUUUUUAGGUUGAAGGGAUGUUUUGAAACAUAAUAUGAAAAUAUACAAGUCAUCCAUUGUACUCCUUCCACACAAAAAAAUUAUUCUACGUCAUUCACUGUUGUUGUUUUGCUUAAGAAACGUGUAACCAAAUCCCUUCGGAUAUGCUAAGUGGGAAAAUGUCAUUCCCAAGCACUGGUGAAAAGACACCUAUUUACUCCAUGCAUGACUUUUCGUUUACCAAAUAUGAAGAUUGGGGUCGGUGAGCAAAAUAUCUGUGUCAGUAAAAUGUCAUUCCUAGCCGUCUAUGAUGUAAGUAAUAAUUCCGCUAUAUAAUAAAUAUUAUACAUUUAUAUAUAAAACGGUUUAUGACAAAAUACCAACAUUUGAACAACAUUUAAACAACAUUUGUACAACGUAGCCAGCCAACCUAGAAGUGAAGAGAAGCAAGUCCACAAUGCAUCAAAACCGUAAAUUCGUACUAAAACUAAUGCAAAAAUACGUGAUUCCCUCGCACAACAUACUCACGCAUCAGUUUGAACCAAAAAAUACUCUCACGGUGCCAUUUGCAUCGAUUGCAACAAGUCCACAACGCAGGAUUUAUCUUGUCUUCACUAGGCCAGCCUGGAAUAACAAAAUACCAUUCAUUGUUGUUACAAGCGCUGCAGCGACUGAACUGAAUCUUCCCAUAGUCAAACAUAUCUACGAUAUGUCUUGCAACUCUUGAUGUGGUUAAUCUUCGUGUCAAAGCAUCCCUGGUUCCUUUCAUAUCAAUGUUGUUACGUUGAUUCAAAGAACACAAGAAUUGUAAUGCAUCCUCUUUUGACUGACCAAUUCCGGACAUACCAAGUAGUCCAACUACAUAUGCCGCUUCCAUAUGGCCUGCCGUGGCUGCAAUGCACAUCCCAUACAACGCUUCCACCUUACCGUGCCUGAAAAAACCUUCGAAUGCUUCUCUAAAUAUGGACUCAGGGUUAUCGCAAGCCCUGCAUUGUUGCAAGAAAUGCUGGACCGCAGGUCUGGCACGGUACCAGCUAGGAUGGUCUGGGUACUUUGCCAUUGAAAUGGUGUUCCACACUUGUGGACUGUUUGCCAAAGUUUGGAACAAUCGGCACACAGAUGCCAUAAGGAAGAGAUCUUCCGAUGAUUCGGUUGCCACGUAUAACAUCACUUGAAACCAAGCGGACUCCGGGAUGAAGGCUUCGGGCAUAUCGAAAUGGAGAUGCUUCCUUCUCUUUCCUCCGAAUGUAGUGAAGUGUUUCGAAUUCAUUGAAAAGUUUUUGGAAUGGAACAAUUUGAGGAGUGGCAGAGGGGAUAAAUGAUAAUAUUUGGGGUACACGUUUUGUUUUAGCCUCUGUUUAUAGUGUUUUGAAAAGGUGUUUCCAGUUGGGGUUUUUCCAAGUUGACCCUUUUGAAAGAAACUGAACCCAAGUGAAUUAAAACUUAAGACAAAAGAAGGGAAAACGUCAUAACGGUGCAUACAGAGUCAGACAGAAAGUUAAUUAAAUGGCUAUUUGCAUAGCCAUUUUUGGGUUUAUCCCACUAUCAAAUUCAUUGAUACAAAUGUGAUGGAUUACUGACUAGUGACAGAAGGUCCCAUCAUAUACUUUUUCAUUUUCCCACACCCAACUACCCCUAGUAAUGUUAUUAAAAUGGAACCAAUAAUGACGGAUUCUUAUCCAACUAGUUGCCUUAAUGAAAUAUAAAUAAAUUAAAAAAACUGAAGCAGUGUCCCCUCAUUUUUCAGAAAAUAUAUUUGGUAGUGAAGUAGUUUAUAUUGCUUUUCGGGCUAAAAGAUGUCACAAUGCUGACGGUACAGGUGUCGACAUCGUGACCAACCCACCAAAUGAUCCCAAAAAAAAUAAAUAUAACUCGAUUUGGGCAGAGAUGAGAGAGAGCUGAGUGACAAGUUUAGGGUUAUGAGUGAAGGGGUAUGAAUGACAACUAUGAGUGAGAAGGUAUGAGUCCGAAGAGGUUUCAGUGAGAAGAUUUGAGUGAGAAGAGGUACAACUGAGAAGAUUCAACAUGUCUUCGUCUUCAUCUCCCGCUCAAACAAAGAGGUGUCAGUAUUGUGGAGCUACAAUGGUGCUUCGGGUUUCAAAAUCUGACAAAAAUCGAGGGAAGCCAUUCUGGAAGUGUCUAACCUCCUAUGUAAGUUUUAAUUUAAAGAAUAUGUAUGUGGGUGAAAAAAAAACCUAUGUCUAACUCUGACAGAAUUAUAUUCCAUAUAUGAUGCCUGCAAUUAGGGAGCCACCAGUUGCAAUGGAUUCGAAUGGGUUGAUGUAACCUCCGCUGAAGCAAAACAUCAAGAUGACACGUAUGAUGCUAGAGUGCUGAACAUGCUGAAGUCCAUUAAGGACUUGGUAUUAGUUUUAUUAGUUGUAUCAAUUGUCAUUUUAUUUGUUCUUUUAAUGAUCAUUUAACUGCACGGUUUCAAAGAUUGUGAAAGUUCUCCCGCACAAGACAUGUUGCACGCACCACCAAUGAGACCCUAAACCCAUUUUGUAAUAUUUGUUAACUGCAUGCAUUUCGCAAGUUAUAAAACCGAUAUUGAAUGUUUAUUGAAGGUUUAUUGAUAGUUUGCUGCAUGUAUAUGGAAUAUCAUUACCCCAAUAUUGGAUGUUUAUUGGGGCCACAAGUAUCACUCAAGUAAGAAUGAAGGGGGGAAACGGACCUUAUUCUUUCUUUUAGUAGGAAGAGCAACUGUUAAGUUUAAUAUCCUAUUCAAUACGACUUCCUUAUGGUUGGUGUAUUUGGGGACUGAAGUAUAUUGCAUCAUUAUUGUGGGCAAGGGCAUGUCUAUUGUGUAUGUUAAGGGAGUAUUGCGUGUACAUUGCAUGUCUAUUGUGUGUAUAUUGCAUGUCUAUUAUGUGUAUAUUGCAUGUCUAUUGUCUGUAUAUGGCAGGCCAAUUUUGUGUAUAUUGUUUGUCUGUUGUGUGUAUAUUGCUUGUCGAAACGCAAGUGAAUUGUUGUUCAUUUUGUGUAUAUUGUCUUUGUUUCUACUUUUAUGCUACUAAGCUGCCGAAAACCGUGCUCAUCGGUUUAGACACCUAUUAUGAUGCAACACAUUGCGAUUAAUGGUGGCUUGCAUCAACAAUGACAUAUCACUUUGCAAUGAUGUAAUACACUUAAAAAGCCAUCUUCAAAUCCCAAUUCACAUAUGCAGUCUUAAAAUUCCAAUUCACAUAUGCAGUCUUAAAAUUCCAAUUCAAUGCAGUUUGGUUAACAAACAUGUAAAUGUCAUGAAGGACUUAGCGGUAGAAUUCGAUAAGGACCCGUACGUCUCUAUUGUGUAUUUACAUUAGUUUGAGAAUGGACAUUCCCAAAACCUUCUCAUGUACCAUUUGUCAUCUUCAACCAAUAUCAUGGGAAGUAAGCAUCUCCCCUUGUUAUCUCCGCAGCCAAUUUCAACCGAAAAAAAGGCAUGUUGUGCUAGGUGCAAGUAGCUAACGGAAGCUGAGCACUGAAAAGCUCAAUGUACUUUAACGCAAACAUGCCACAAUCGCCUCUGAAGCAAAACAAGAACUCGAUCAAUUCAACUAAUGACAUUCUAACGUAAUUGACAAUUCAAAGUAAUAAAGUUAAAUUGCAAGUUGUGCUUACUCAUUAGACUGUUGUGGAACAUCCACACGCUCUAUUGGCCACGGACACCACCAAUCUCGGCUGCAAUUGUUUGCAUAAACACCUUCUUCAUAAAAGUCGAUGGUGUUGAGAAGAUUUGGAAGCGUAAUUGAUAGCGGGGCGAGUUCUUCCUUUACGAUGUCAUCUGGAAUUAGUGAAACCUUUGAAUCGUAAACUUUGAUUUCACACAAUACCAGAUCAAUCAUUACAGCCACCCAAUGCUUGUACUUCGUCAACAUAAAUGGGGUAUACACCUUAUAGACGUUCUGCCAAUCCAUCCCACACGGAGGAACCUUCCCAUUUACAACGUUUAGUAAACUUUUUCUGAUUUUCCACCCAAGCUGCUGUUUUUUUCUUUUAUUAUCCGCAAAGCAAGUACGAAUGUGAUUCUGUGAAAUACAAAACAAUCAAUGGUUAAACACCUCCACUAGUGUGUGUAUGGAAAAUGUGGAAUUAUUAACGGCACUUGGUCAAGGCCGAUGACAUACCAUAAAAAAAACAUCGGUCGUUGUCUAGUCCGCUAUUUCUACUUCCUCCAACUGUUGUUGUCGCUUCCGGAUGAGAUACAACCCCAAAUCAAUGUGCUGCAACAUGUUUUUCUUGUCAAUCUCACAAUCUAUGUACAUUAAAACAAAUGCGUAAUCAAUUACACUUACAUCUCUUUUCAGCCAACCAUCAGCUUUCACGAGGGAAGCGAAGAAUUCAAUCUCAGCUUCCACGUUGCCAAAUUGCAUCACCAAACUAUGAAUAUAAAACAGUUUUAGAACACUGUAUAUUAAAAAUUAUAUACAGUCAUGCUUCUAUCUUAUAAUUGCAAGGGACUUACUUUGGGUCGUGGCGCCAUUCCCGACAAAGUUUCAGCAAAUUCACCAGAUCAUCAUGCAGAAUCGCCUUCAUUGGGUCUAACAUCUUCAGUCCGGUUGUCUGUGCCCCAGUUUUUGGAACCAAUUCACUGCCUUCAAUGAUCUUCCACAUAGGAAUGAUCCUCUUCAUUUUCCGUAAUUGGACCCUUUGUGCCACAGCUUUACCUUUAUCAUUCAACCACACGUUCAAUUGAGAUAGCACAGCUGUAGGUUCAUCCAAAUCAAUGUCCCGGACAGUAAACUCAAGCAGUGUCCCCUCCGUGCUCUCGCCAAUGUCACCCCCAAGCAACAUAACUUCAUUAUCUUCUUUCUCACAUUGGUUUUUUUGCACUUCCUUUUCCUCACUUCUUUGUGUUUUCACUUCCUUGCCCUCCCUUUUUUUUUCCUUUGUAGUUUCUCUCCCUUACUGCUUUUUCUUUUCACUUCCUCUCCCUCACUGCUCUGUCUUUGGGCUUCCUCUCCCUUGCUACUUUUUACUUGCACUUGCUCUCCUUCACUUCUUUUCCUUUGCCCUUCCUCUACCUCACUUGGUUUUCCUUGCACUUCACCCCCUUCAAUCCCCUCCUCUUCCUUUUCCUCUCCUUCAAUCCCCUCCUCUUCCUUUUCCUCUCCCUCAUUUCUAUUACUUGGCCCUUCACCCCCUUCAAUCCCUUCAUCUUCCUUUUCCUCUCCCUCAUUUCUGUUACUUGGCCCUUCAUCCCAUUGAAUGUCAUCCAUUUCCCCAUAUCCCUUAAAUAGAUGUGAGACGACACAACGAUUCGUCCUCUGUUUCAGUAAAGCUAGGUCCCUCCUUACUUCCUGCUCAAACUGAGGACCUAAACAUUGGUCCAACAGUUUUUCCAUCCGUAUGACCUUUAAGUGAAGGACGUCUUUUUCCCGCUUUACUUGAAACAACUUGGACCUCAACAAGCCUACCACCUUGUUCAACUCAUCAAGAUCACCACAUGAAGAAGGAAUUGACUUUGCCGAGACAACAGCAGGGCGAUCCUGUGGCCAACUCCAAUAUGGCUGUCUCAUUUCCUCUUCACUCGAACAUAGCGCCCGCAAUUGAACUGACUGUUUCAGAAUACAGACAAGAGUCAUAUUAAAUCAUUCUACUUCAUAAUUUCAUUCAAUCUUAUCAAUAGUUCCAAGGGCUGCAAACCAAACCUCUUUGCUCUGGAAAAAAUAAUUGUUCAACUUUCUCAUCUCUGGAACAGGCGUAGUAGUUCUCCAUCGCAAAAUACGCGGGACAGCGGUCGGAUCAACAACCUUGCAGUAAUUCAGGUCCACCAUUCUAGGAAUUAAUUCAUAUACCCAAAUCUACACAAUUCACAGGACAAAAGUCAUUAUUUAUGGUUUAAAGAAAAACAAAACAUAACUGACAUGAACAUUAUUACCAUGUACCUGGAAAGCAUACGUGAAACCUUUAAAACUCCAGCCACUCCUUUGCGCUUCACCAUGCUUAUCCUUCUUGCCCUUCUCAUUUCUCCGGGUUGUUCCCGUUACCUUACUUUUCCCCUUCCCUCUUCCCUCUUCAUUUUCCAAGCUUUUCACAUACUUUGUUGGUGCAUAAAAUAGACUGUCUUGGGUUUUGUCAAAGGACACCGAACCCCACGGAUACCUGUUGAACGCAUCCAAGUCCUCUACAAGGGUCAGGUAAUUUAGAUUCAUGUUCAAAUGUUUGUCCCUUCUCAAAACCACUAACUCAGCAAAGUACACAAGAGCUAGCUUGUAGAUGUCAUCUUCCUCUGUGCACCUCAGAAAUGCUUCUUCUAAAGCAUUGCAUGUAAUUCCUUCGUCUAUAAAAUAUCUUUUCUGAAGUCUGAUUUCAUCACUCUCUCCACUGGAAACUUCAGGCACUUCCCCAAAAUGAAGCCCUGUGAUCAAACAGAAAUCUUGACGAGUGAACUGAGCAACGUCACACCCUAAUAAGAAACUCAGUCCAUCCAAGUCUUUCACACCCUGCCCCGCUACUCUACGCAACACAACCCCAUGCACAAUCUGCCCGCUAAACUGAAUCUUAUCUAUAUUCAGAAGAUGGCCAAAGCAUGAUGUCUUGAAUUGUUCUAAUUGUUCCGCACUCAACUUCGCUCGAAUUGCAGCUAGAGAUGAAUUUGCAUGUGAGCAGUUGUUCACCCGUGACGAAUAUACCUCUGCCUCUGGCCAUACCAGCUCCACGUUGGAUCCCAUUUCCUCAAAUACAAUGUGAAAUAACGUGAACACAUAUACUACCACGUAUUUGCACAAUCACAACUAGUCAACCAGGCACAUUACAAAUUUUACAAAGUACAUGAGCAUAGGGAUUACUGAUCACAGGCUUUAACAUCAUCAAAGCAAUAUGGCAAAUUUUGUGCAAAUACCUGUUAAUGCAAUGAUUAUGUGAAUUACAAACAAUUUCACCGGUUUUAUUUAUGGAUCUAUACUCGUGUGAGUGCAAUGUAGGCAAGUUCUGCACUUCACACACAUGACAAUUAUUGUCAUCUCAUACACAACACAAAAUAAAUAAAUAAGAAAUAUAGUGGAAGGAAGCAAAGCAAAGCAUCUACUCUGCUAUCUGCUUGCUAAGCAAUUGCCACAUCCUUCUUUCUUUCUAGCUUUUUCUUCAGUCACCCACAAUCGUCAUAGAUCAACCUUCAUUUCAAAUGCUUUGCACUUUUAUUCAUGAGUUUAUUAUUAUCUGUUCUCAUUUCUCAUAGGCAAAUUUAGUAACAAAUGAAAUAAUAUUUAUUUCAUAAAAUAUAUAAAUUCUAGUGCCAGAGAGGUACUCUUCACUCUGCACUGCUUCAAAUGUGGAAGGUUUUGAGCGCCUCCUCCAAUUUAACACCAUUAUCUUAUUCAUAUCAUUACUAACAUGUUAUUGACAUGUUAUUCAGACGUUAUUGACAUGUGAUUGACUUUAUUUUCAUUCGUUUUUUAACAUAUACCCAAGCAAAAAUUAACAUGCAAUUGAAGCACAAAUAAGAGAUGUCAAAUCCAACAACAUUGAUGGUACAAAUUGGGGAAAACCAUUACUCUAACCCUAAACUCAAAUUCCUUACAUUACUCAUCAAAUGCUUUGCAGUUCUAUUCAUGAGUUUAUUAUUAUCUGUUCAAAUGUUUCUCAGGCAAAUUUAGUAACAAAGGAAAUCAUAUUUACUUCAUAAAAUAUAUAUAUAUUCUACCGCCUCUUCUUAAUCUGCACUAUGCAUUGCUUCAAAUGUGGAAGGUUUUGAGGGCCUCCUCCAAUUCAACACCAUUUAUCUUAUUCAUAUCAUUAUUGACAUGUUAUUCACUUGUGAUUGACUUGAUUUUCAUUCUUUUUUUAACAUAUACCUAAGAAAAAAUUAACAUGCAACUGAAGUACAACGAAGAGAUGCCAAAUCCAACAAAAUUUAUGGUACAAAUUGGGGAAAACCAUUACUCUAACCCUAAACUCAAAUUCCAUAAAUUACUCACCAAAUGGGUUAUUGCAAGGUGUUUGUGUGGGGUCUUUCUAUUUCUUUGCUCCACAAAUGGAACCUACCACUUCCAACGAAUACAGCUUCUCCCCUUCCCCUUCCACUGCUUUGCCCCUUCACUGAUUUGGAAUCCACACCUUUGCCCCUUCUACUCCAAAUAAAUACUUUUUCAGGGUCUGGAGAACGGAGUGGCGAAUCGUUGCCUUCAACUGUCGUUAGCCGUUGCCUUCAUUGGGUAUCUCAGACCUCUGGGUUUUAGAGAGAUGAGUUCUUUCUGUUCAAACUUCGAACUUGCCUCUUCUUCUUCUUUUUCGGACGUGUUUCCCUCUUCUUCUUCUUUUUGGACGUGCUGGAUAUUCAAUUCGGGUUUGGGUUCCUCACCUACCCAAUUGUGAAACUUUAUCUCAAUUCUCCCCAGCCCUUGGAUUGAUCUGAUGGCUAUAAAGUGAACCCCUUCUAACUUACCCCUUAUAACUUUCCACUCAUUAUAGUCUGCGCGAUAUAUAUAUACCUUGGCCAAGUUUCUUGAAUGGACUUAUUGAAAUUUCAAGUCACCCAACAUCGAUGGAUUAUGCUCAAUCAAAAUUAGAGACUCCGGAGGCCACAUUGUCUCACCAGAUGUUAGGCCCAAGUCCUCAGAGGCCCAAGCUCUACCUGCGAAAGUAGGCCCAAAAACCACCGGAUGUUUUCAUGGACAUGACGAGAUCCAUCCAAGGAAAGCAAUCAAAAGAGAGUGAUGUCAAUCUGGAACAUCCCUAAGAAGGAGAGAAUCAAGUGAUCAGAUUUGUAAUCUGAUCAUCUCAUUCGAAUCAAUUCCGUGAAUUUAGGAAGCCACACAAGGAAAGAUUUUGAACAAAGUUGACCUUCGGCCAUUUAGUGGCCAGCCCAUGGGCUGACGAAUGCCCCUCUAUGAAAUACAUCAGACAAAGAGCAAAGGACCCCGAUAUCAGGCACAAAACCUACUUUUUGUCUUUCAAUUUUCUAUCCCUAGACUAGUUUUUUUAUUUUCCAAGCAAGCAGACUAGAUUUGUUCUUCACUUUCAUUAGUGUAAGUUUAAUUUCUUGUAUUUUCCAUUAUGUUGUUUUAAGAUUCAAUUUUGCCGCUGUAUUUUUAAUUUUUAUCGAAUUUUCUUUAAGCUUAAUUUAAUUUCAAAUUGCUUUAUUUUAUUGCCUUUAUCAUUUAUAUCAUUCUUAUUUCGUUCUUCGUUUAAUUUAAGUUUAUCUAUCGCUUUGAUUUACUUUGUCGCACUUUAACUCUCAUCUUUAAGUUUAAUUGCAUCUUUUAAUUUAAUUUGCAUUAUUAUCAUUAAAAAUCUCAAAAAUACUAAAACACCCAUACGAAACCUAACCAUCCUCAACCCCGAGGAAGUGAAAGAACCUAGGUUAAGAGGAGGUUCCUUGCUUGGCCGAUCAAUCUGCUGGUUAGAAGUCAGAAGCAUGAACACAUUGAUCCAACUUUUUCCAUUCAAGCCAAUCAGUGGCUUAGUGGUGGCACUCCUACGCAAUCUAAAAUAAGGACCAAAACUCCUUCAAUCGGCCUACCCGGACGAAAAGAGGGAAAUAACAUCAUUGUGGCUCAGGAGAUGUUACACAAAUUUACAGUUUCAAAAGGGAAAAAAGGCUUCAUUGCUUUGAAAAUUGACUUAUCUAAGGCUUAUGGCAGACUGAACUGGAAUUUCAUUAAGGAAGUGCUUUGGGAGAUUGGUCUCAGAGGCAUGAUUCUUGAUGUUAUCAUGAAGUGCAUUAGUUGUGUUCAAUAUAAAGCUAUCCUCAGUGGUUAGUUAACUGAGGCUUUUACGCCUAGGCAAGGUGACCCGUUGUCCCCUUAUAUAUUUGUUUUGUGUAUGGAAAAGCUCUCUCACCUUAUUCAUAAAGGGUCCAUGAUAAUUUUUGGACAUCGGUGCAGAUUUGUCAAGGUGGUCCUUUUGUGUCUCGCUUAUUCUUUACUGAUGACUUAAUUCUUUUCAGUAAAGCUUCCAUGAACCAGGCUAUGGUGAUGAAACAAUGUUUGGAUGAGUUUUGCAACGUCUCUGGUCAGAAGGUAAGCUUUGAGAAAUCAGUUAUUUCUGUUUCUCCAAAUACAAGCCAUGCACUUGCUCAAUCCAUUGCUAAUGUUAGUGGAUCUCCCCUCACUGCCUGUCUUGGUAAAUACCUUGGAGUCCCUUUAAUUCAUAAAAAAGUCACUAAGACCACUUAUAUGGAGAUUGUCGAGAAGGUCCAGAAAAGGUUGUCUGCCUGGAAGAGUCAUUUCCUUUCCAUGGCUGGUAGGCUUACUCUCCUACAAUCUGUUAUUGCUGCCAUUCCCAUUUAUUCUAUGCAAACUGUUAAGUUACUUGUUUCCGUUAGUGACAAACUUGACCAGCUGAACAUGAAUUUUCUUUGCUUCCACACUAAUAAUUCGUGUAAGACCCAUCUUGUUAAUUCAGAAAGAUCAGGGCCUUUGGGCCAAGGUCUUGAAUUCUAAGUAUUUGAGACAACGUGAUCUUAUUGCUGCUAUGAAUCCCAACACUAGUUGUGUUUCCAGUGUGUGGAGGGGUGUUUUAUUUUGUGCUAAGCUUCUUCCUCCUGGUCUCAAUUGGAGAGUUGGAGCUGGUGAUAACCAUCUUGGUUUGGACGGACACGUGGGUGAGUUGUGGCCCUUUACAGAAUUUUGCCACCGUUUUAAGCUUCUUCUUACUGUGAGUGACUUCAUGGAGCAUGGAUAUUGGAAUGUCAACUGCUUACAGGAUUGCCUGCCUCCCAACAUUGUUCCUCCGAUUUGAAGUACUCAUGCCGGCUUCUAUGGAGGUAGGAUUGAUACUUGCGUAUGGAAGCUCUCCUCUAAUGGUGAGUUCUCUGUUAAAAUUGCCAAUUACUCUAUUGUCCUUGGGCAAGACCUUCCCCCCUAGAAAUGGGAAUUUAUCUGGAAGCUCCACAUCCCCCCAAAGAUUAAAACCUUUUUGUGGGUUAUGUGUCAUAACAAGCUCUUGACUAAUGCCAACGUGUCAAAAGAGGACUUGCCUCUUCUGCUAAUUGUCCUCGCUGCAGUUAUUUGGAGUAAGUUUGGGUCUAACUCUACCCUUCCUAUCUGCUUUGUGGCAGAUUUUGAUGCUUGGCUGUUUCACAACCUUAAGUCCCGAAAAUUUGUAUGAGAUGAUAUGCCUUGGUACAUGGUUUUUGCUGUCUGUCUUUGGUAUAUUUGGAAAUGGCGCUGUAAACUUAUUUUUGAGGAAGGAUUUGUGAUGCCAUUAAGCCUCAACAAGUUUUGCAGUAUCCUGUUGAGUGGUUCACUGCUCGUAAGGCUAUGACAACUUCUAUUGCAAUUUGUGUGAUGCAGCUAUGCUGGCAACAUCCUAUGCCUGGUAUUUUUAAGCUUAACACUGAUGGGAGUCGAAAGUCUGAGUCUGGCCUCAUAGGUGCUGGACGAAUUAUUAGAGACUCUAUUGGUGUUUGGAUUAAAGGCUUCUCUGUGAAUCUUGGUGUGGGAUUUACAAUUGAGGCUGAAUUACGGGGUGUCUUUUGGGGCCUCCGUUUGGCUUGGUAUUAUGGGUGCCGAAACAUUGCGGUGAAUGUGAUGCUAGUGAUGUGGUUUCCCUCCUCUCUUGCCCAACAUCUCUCACUCAUCCCCUCCUUAGUCUUAUUAAUUGCUGCAAGCUGAAGAUGCAAGAAAACUGGAUUUGUUCCCUGAGGCAUGUCUUUCGUGAACAAAACCAUGUUGCUGACGUUCUUGCUAAAAUGAGCCAUGAGUUGGACCCUGGUUAUCAUUGUUUUGAUGUUCCCCUUCCUAAUGUCUAUGACACCCUUUAUGUUGAUCCUAGCAAUUUGGCUAGGACUCGAAUUAUCUCUCUGUAGUUUGCUUUGUUGAUAGGCCUCUAGCCCAUCUGUACCAAAAAAUAAAAAUAAAAAUAAAGCCCACAACUAAAUGCCCAUUCUGCUUCUCUCUCGCCUUUUGAACUGAGUCCAAAUUACUCACCAAUUUAAGGGAGCUUCUAUAGUGAGUGGGAAGUUAUAAGGGGUGUUUUUGAGGGGUAUGUAAGAGCCGUUGGAUUUCAUCCAACGGUGAGUUUUUAAAAGAGGGUGCAUGUAGAAUCGGGUUGAAAUCUAACCCGUUAGAAACCCAACUUCAGUUGUUCCCCUCUUUCCCUCUCUGUGAAAAACUGAAGCCUUUCUUUUUGAAUGUAAAGCAAACCCACAAUUAGAAGGAUCCAAAUCUCCCAAACCUUAUAGUCACUCGACUGUCAUUAGCUCGUUGGGAGGCCUGCGAUCUAUAGUAUCCUGGGUAUUACGAAGAAUGGCUCUUACCUAGCUGUUGCCCUGUUUUGAUUCUAUGGCUCAAGUGAAAACCCCUUCUCUUUUCAUUCAGCUGACAAGAUUCCAGAUGAAAGCAAAGUAGCAUAUCUGUUUUUGUAGCUAGAAGCCGCAGCAGCAGUUGUUCCUCGAUUUUGGUAGAGAUGGAGUCUCAAAUACCAAAGAGUCUUCUCUAAUGUCCACCACAGUCUUUCAAGCUGACUGACUUCAGAGCUCCCGAUUGAUUUUGAGAGGUAAGUUCACUUGCUGGAUUGAUUUUAUUGGGUUAGGUUUAUUUUUUGUGAGGGUGGGAAAUUCGUCAUUUGUGGCAUCAAUAAUGUGUCAUUUUCUUAUGAAUAUUCAAUAUACUUAGUUCAUUGUUGUUGGUCGGGGUGGAAAAUUAUGAAAUGUAGGUAAAAGAACCUAAACUUAGGCUUAAUGACGUUAGGAGUAAGCAGUUGGAGAGGAUAUUGGGUGAAGUUCUGUAAUUGGUGGUUUGAAUUACAUUUGUGUUCUUAGUUGAACAUGUUGGUUCUAAUGUUAUUUUGACCAGAUUAUUUCCCAAGAGAUGACGUAACUUUUAUGAAAUUUUGCUUGUGUUUUGUGUAAUCGGAAGUUAGGCUAUGCGUAUUUUUUGUCAAUUUGGGCAAUGUUUUGUGUAAGUGGAAUGCAUUGAUAUGUUGUGAUGCAGUAAUGACUGAUUAAUGAAUGAAUAAUUGCUAUGCAGUAAUAUAGAAGUGGAUCAAUAAUAUACGUAGAUAAAAUGUCUGGGGGCUCAGAGAGUGAUGAAUGUGCAACAGCUAAUGGGAGGGUUUAUAUUCCUGAAGUAAGAAAUGAGGAAACACCAGCAGUUGGGAUGAAGUUUGACUCGCUUGACCUCGUUUACAAUUUCUAUAAUAGAUAUGCAUUCUUGGCUGGCUUUGGUAUUCGACUUCAUUCUAGCUUUUGGGGGAAAAAUAAGAAAGAUAUUUUGAGGAAAGAAUUUGUAUGUUGCAAACAAGGUGCAUACAGGAAGGAUGAAACUCGGGAGAGAAAAAGACAACGGGGAAUAAGUAGAUGCAAUUGCAAAGCAAAGAUUGUGGUUGUGAAGACAAAUGGGAGCAAGAAGUAUACCAUUUCUCUUUUUGCAGAGGGACACAAUCAUAAGAUGACACCCUCAGAAAGAAUGCAUUUAUUGAGAUCACACCGUCAUAUUUCAGAUUCUACAAAAGUACUCACAAAACAGUUGGGUUUAGUUAAUAUUCCCAUUCAUCAGAAGGUAAGUAUAUUCGAGGUGCAAUCCGGAGGAAUGGAUAAAAUCGGUUUUAUCAAAAAAGAUAUCUACAAUCUUGAAUGUAGUGUGAAUGGGAAGCUGAGGAACCACGAUGUUGAACUAGUGACCGAGUAUUUUAUGGCUGAACAGAAAAAAAAUGAGGCUUUUUAUUUCAAGAUUGAGGGAGAUGGGCAUGACAGGUUUAGUCGAUGUUUUUGGGCAGAUGCAACUUCUAGACGGGCGUAUGGGUUUUAUGGAGAUGUUGUUGUAUUCGAUACCACAUUCAACACGAAUCGAUACGACUUGACAUUUGCACCAAUGUUGGGAGUUAAUAACCAUGGUCAGACAAUUGUCUUAGCAUGCGCAUUUUUGAGCAAGGAAACGACUGAGUCGUUUGUUUGGAUGUUUGAGGAGUUUAAGAAAGCCAUGCCAGGUGGGGAACCUAAAACGAUCAUUACAGAUCAAGAUGCGGCAAUGGCCAUAGCGAUUUCAAUAGCCUUCCCGAGUACAUUUCAUCGACUUUGCAUAUGGCACAUCACAUCAAAGUUCUCUGUUAAGUUACCACGUGACGCUUAUAAGGAGUAUUGGCCUGAAUUUCAGAAAGCCAUAUGGGAUACUGACAAUAAGGAUGAGUUUGAUGCAAAAUGGAAUAUUGUGGUUACAAAGGCUGGUUUGACUGACCAUCCAUGGCUAAGUUCAAUGUUUGAUUUAAGGGAAUCUUGGGUUCCAGCCUACGCACGACAAUUUUUUGCCGCUGGAAUGUCAAGCAGCCAAAGAGCGGAAGGUUCUCAUGGUUUUUUCAAGCAAUACAUAUCAAGGAGAAAUUCGUUGAUGGAUUUCAUAAUACGAUUUGAGAAGGCACUUUCUCAUCAACGUGAAAAAGAGUUAGUUGCUGAUCACGUAGAUGCAUUUGAAGUGGCUCAAUGUCUUCUACCGAUGCCAAUGAACAAACAAAUGGCUACCUUGUACACAAGGACAAUGUUUCAAAAGUUUGAGCAAGAACUAAUACAAAGUACAGCAUGUUUCCUAGAGCUCAAAACAGAGGAUGCGUGUAAAGUUGUGUUCAACGUGAGCGAAAGGAAAAAUUGGGAAACAAGAGUGGCAGAAGUCGUAUAUGUCAAAGAUUCUGACCACGCAUCGUGUAGCUGCAAAAGAUUUGAAUUUGUUGGAAUUAUUUGCAAGCACAUCCUAGCAUUGUUCAGAAGGGACCAGAUUGAAUAUAUGCCCGAUAAAUAUAUUUUGAAGAGGUGGAAGAAAACUGCGAAAUGUGGAUUGGUGUCAGAUGCAAAUGGCAACGAAAUUAAAGACUGUGCAGAUCCUGGCCUUCUAAUAAAGCGGAGUACAAUGUCUCGACUUGCUUCAGAUGUGGUUGAGGAUGCAUUAAUGAGUGAAGAAGGAUGUGAGCUACUGUCAGAGACUCUAAAAAGUUUGCAGGUGAAGUUGAAGUUGCUGAAGGAUGGACCAAGUAAUAACGAAGUUGGAGGGUCCAGCUCUCAAACACAAUAUAUGAAAGACCCUAAGAGAGUGAGGUGCAAAGGAAGGUCGAAAGGAAUAACGGGAGCAAAGGAAAAGGCAAUGAAGCGAGGGAUUAGACACUGUCGGGAGUGUGGACACAUUGGUCAUGAUAGAAGACAAUGCCCAGCCUUGAACACACCGUAAGAUGCUACCACUAUUUGUAAUAAUAUCUAAAAUAUGAAAAGGUAAAAUUUUUAUGUGCUUGUGUUUGAUGUUUAUGCAGGACAUCACCGUCGAACAAUGACGAAUCAACUCCAAUACAUCGUAGUGACCCAUUAUUCGACGAUUUUGACAGGAUGCACAGACCAACUGAAUGAUUGAUAUUUGUAUUAGACGAAAUGUGGUUGUUAUGAAGAUUAAUGAUCAAGUGAAGUUUGAUAGAUUCAGUUUUUGAAUGUUAUUGUGUUUUUGUUCAUGUCCACCGAUGAGCUCUUACUAUGUCCACUGGUAAUUGAAAUGAAAAUUUGCUUGGUUUCAUUCUUCCAAGACAUUUGGAGACAUGUUAAUUUUACGUCUUCUCCCUAUUUAUAAAUUUUCAUAGACAUUUGAUCAAGUUUGAAAUUUGUAGUUAUGUGAAGAAGCAAUGACUCUUACCAUGUAAAAUGGGCAGUUUAGGGUGAAAUUUGUUUUAACAGAGAUUCAUUUUUCAAUUCCUCAGGGUAAUGCAGCAAUUACAGCAGCCAGCUGUUGUUUCCAUUACCAGUAAUCAUUUCCAGCAGCAGCCACUUUUUCCGACUGGUUAUUAGGGGUACGAUUUUGUACACUUUUGUAAGCGAAGGAUACUCGAAGCACUUUGUUGGAACAGAGCAAAUAGAAACCAGCGGGUAAAAAAAAAACAUAACAUUGCAGCUAAUUACAUUUCGAUACAUAGGUGAAAAAUAUUAAAGGGUACACUAACUUACAUAAAUACUCAUAAUUCCACACACAAAAGAACAUUUGAUUGCAAAACAUAUUAUGUGCUUCCUCAUAGCAAUACCACGAUCUCCCCAACCAACUGAACAACGGUAGCCACAAUCACUGGGUCGUACUCGUCAGCUUCUUCUUAGCAGGUCUCACACGCUUAUGGCCACUCAUAUCCCUAGUGAUAUACACGAAAUAAAUCUUCAGCAAUAUUUGGAAUUUUAUUAUAUAUAAAUAAACCAUAAACCAUUCAGUAAACAAUGUAUAGCACAUGUUAUGUAACUUAUGACUCACGUGUCAGUUUUUUUUUUAACACAUUAGUACUCCAGCUCUUUAAUGUAAAUGGACAUGAUAAGGAGCAUUUAUUGAUUCCCGGCUUUCUGUGAUAUUGACUGCUUCUUGAAUAAUAUUUCCAUAUUUGCAAAAUAUAAUGUUAGACAUUAUAACACAUGAUGACUUGCAAUACAUAGUCCCAAUAAUUAUAUAUGAAGCAAAUGAAACUGAUAUUUGUGUUAUUUUAAGUUAGAUAAUGACAUUAAGGGAGUAUAUGUGCAAUACCACGGUCACCCUCAACCAACUAAACAGCGGUAGCCGCAAUCACUUAGUCGUAUCGGUCGGCUUCUUCCGAGCAGCUUUGACGUGCUUAUGCUCAUUCAUGUCACCCCCAUCGUCUAGUAUCUCUCUCACAGCAUCAGGGGACACAUAGUUCCAAUCAUAACUUGUAUGAGUAGUUGCCGCAAAUGCUCGGAAUUUGUCGAAUCCUUCGUUGAAUGCCAACUCCAGUUCAGUAUGGUGCUCUUCGCAUCGCAUAUGGUUCAUCAAACAACCUUUGAUUUCAUCAUUCAUUACUGUAUCCAACUCCUCAGCUUUCAGCUUCCUGCUAUGACUCAGCUUCAAGUACUUGUUCUUUUGGGAUAACGCUUUGUUCACCCUAAUGUUAAGAUCAGCCAAAAUUGCCUCGUCUUCAACACAUUUCUCGUGCCAUGAAUUGAUCAGUCUGGAAUUAUAAUCCAGCUUGCCACUGACUGCAUGUAUUGCCUGUAAUGGAUCAUCGGAGUCCCCCUCACUCCCAAAUGAUGUUGAAAAAGGAAGGGGUCGGCGAGUACAAUGUGGAAAUAGAACCUGCCACUCCAAUUUGUCAUCUUCGAUUGUGUUGUUGGCGCCUGAAGAGGUUGACAUGCUUGAAUAAUCCUCUUUGUUUUGGGAGGAUGAGGAUUGCAUAUGCAAUUUCGUUUGAGAAAGGGAACAUAGGUUUAUAGACCAACAUACCAAAGCUUGUGUGUAGUCAACAUAUGUACUUUUUGGCGGGAAUUUUUUAAAAAUAGGUGUCAGGUUUUGCUUUUCAAGCAUGUCAACCUCACACUCUCCUGACACCACUGAUAGUGGUUGAAACAAACUCAAUGGAAGUGACAUCUACUUAGUUAACUCAACCAAACUAGUUAGGAUUCAACUUAGAUUGUAUCAGACCAAAAAUUAAUUUAUACAUUCUCAACCAAAUAUUUUUUGGCGGGAACCCUUUUCUUGGUAUUACUAUCACCCCUUUCAUAUAAAUUCUCGUUCCACACAAAACUCACUCCUCCACCGAAUCUGUCUCCAUCUACUGAUACUCUCUCAAGCAAACAAACUCAUUCCCCCCAAAGAAUGAGCAUAAGCACAACCAAGUUUGAUGUGAGCAUAAUAAACACCCCUCCAAACAAAGACCGGCUUCGACACGCAAGUGAGUCACCAGACAAGCAAUGUCACAUUCCUAGACAGAAUGACCAUUUUGUUGGAAGUUUUGAGUCUGAAAGAGUUGUUGCUUUUUGGAAGGAGAGGCAUCUUCAACUUGGUGAUGAAAUCCAAAGGGCAAGGGCACGGUUGGAAUUUGUGGAAGGCCAAAUUGAAGAUGACAAAAGGCAGGCCAAUCUGGAUAGGGCGAAGUUGCAGCGCAUGAAGCGUAGACACAAACGACUUCGGAGUGUAGCUCUUCAAAAAUACAAGAACUCAUCUAAUGCAGUGGAGUCAAAGAAGCGUGUGAUGCAAGCUGGAUUCGACUACUUCCGAUCCUAUGCAAAACUCGUCGUACCCGGGUUUGAUUGGUCAUCUAUUACCGUUUCCGACGUCACCAAAUAUACUCAGCAAGGGAAGUAACCAUUUUGGUUCUCGUGUUUGAGCAGAGGCAAAUCAGUGGAAUUGAAAUGUUCGUUACACUCUGCUUCAAAGCUAUUUUGAUGCUAACUACUAUGGAAGAUUUAAACCUUAAUAUUUUGAUGUCUUUAAUUACGAAAACAGAAGAUGCAAAGAGCCCAUCUACUUAAGUCAUAUGUUGCUGCCAUGUCCAUUUGUUUUUGAUCACGUUUCAGAUUUGGACAUGGUUGCAACAUAUGCAAUGUUGCCUUUAUUUAUUAUAUGUUAGGACAAGGUUUAUGGAAAAGCUUUUGUGAGUGCGUUUGUGACAAGGUUAUGGAAUUAUUAUGUACACUUUAUAUAUUAUUUUUUGUACUGGUUCAUUUCCUACUAUUUCUUGCUUUCUUUAUAUUUUAUGUUUGUGGAAUCCCUCUCAAAGUUAACAUAUACUGUGAAAAAAAUAUUAUGCAACUGAUUAUAUAAUCACUCAUAUAGACUAGGACAAAUAUUCACUAAGGGUUUUAAAAUUGCUUCACUUGUGUGAGGUUAUUGAGAAAAAGUAUGGCAUUAUUUAUAUGAUUGACAUGAUUGAAAAGAUAUUACUGAUUCCCAAUAAGGCGUCAUAUGGACAACUUAUUGAAUACCUGUAACGUGUUAAUAACUCUAGGUGCAGUUGCAUGUGGACAACUUAUUGAAUACCUCUGACGUGUUGAAAACUGUAGGUGCAGUUGCAUGUGGACAACUUAUUGAAUACGAACUGACGUCUUGAAAGCUAUAGGCGUAGUUGCAAUGAUGGCUUCAAAGCAUGUGCAAUUAUUAUUUAUGUACAUUAUUAUAACAAAACAUAUUAUUGUAUAUAGUGAAACUAAAUAUUGUAUUAUUACAAAUUAUAUAUCGAAUAUUAUCCGAAAUAUACGUGUUAACGUGAAUUUGGGUUAAGAGGAAAGUGAGUUAUGUACAAAUAAUUUUCAUUUUCUCAUUUUCCCAGCAUUUUUUGGAUUUUCGUAGAAUUUAUUACCUAUGUCCACAGAUUGUUGCACUAAAAAAGCCAAAAUAAUUGCAAGACGACACCUGGCGCGAUCUCAGCCCGUCACUGAUGACUACUUGCACAAGUGUACGUCAGUCAACAUGGCCACACCCUCCCAUUUUACCCUAAAUUAUUAAUUUAUUACUUUUCCUUACAAAAAUCAGAAAUAAUUACACAAAAAAAAAAUAAAUUAUCCGAAAAUUGCUACGAACUCAUUGACACUCCAUCUCCGUUGCUGAAUUCUCCGAUUCAUUGUUACGCAUUUUUAAAAUUAAUUCCGAACAUUAACGGGGGAUGCUUGUUGAAGUAGGUUAUUCAAGUUGAAGUUAACAAACAUCAAUACUUAUGGUUAAGAGGAAAGUGAGUUAUGUAACACAAUUUGGAUUUUUUCAUUGCGAGACGAAUGAUUUAUAGGUUCUCCUAGUUUUAUGACGUCACAAGUAGGCUGGAGUAAUUUUGGGGGCAUUUUUAGGAUUUUCCUACUAUUUAUUACCUAGUUUCAAAGAUUUUUGAACAAAACAAUCCAAAAUUUAUAAGAAGAUGACACCUGGCGCGAUCUCAGCCCGUCACUGAUGACUACUUGCACAAGUGUACGUCAGUCAACAUGGCCACACCCUCCCAUUUUACCCUAAAUUAUUAUUUUAUUACUUUUCCUUACAAAAAUCAUAACUAAUUACACACAAAAUAAAAAAAUUAUCCGAAAAUUGCUACGAACUCAUUGACACACCAUCUCCGUUGCUGAAUUCUCCGAUUCAUUGUUACGCAUUUUUAAAAUUAAUUCCGAACAUUAACGGGAGAUGCUUGUUGAAGUAGGUUAUUCAAGUUGAAGUUAACAAACAUCAAUACUUAGGGUUAAGAGGAAAGUGAGUUAUGUAACACAAUUUGGAUUAUUUCAUUGCGAGACGGAUGAUUUAUAGGUUCUCCUCGUUUUAUGACGUCACAAGGAGGCCCGGGUCAUUUUCCCAACCUAUAAUAGGAAUUUCCUACUAUUUUUUACCUAAUUUCAAGGAUUUUUCCACUAAAAUAGCCAACCCUAAUUGCAAGAAGACACCUGCCGCGAUCUCGGGCCGUCACCUUUCACCACUUCCACAAGUGUACGUCAGUCAACAUGGCCACAUCCUCCCAUUUUACCCUAAAUUAUUAUUUUAUUACUUUUUUUGUUGGAAAAUUCACAACUAAAUACACAAAAAUUAUAAAAAAGAUCCUAACAUUUCAACGAACUUAUUGAGAUUUCAUCUUCCUACUUAAAUCCCUGUUUCAUGGUUAUGCUACAUUAGUAUUUUAUUAUUAUUAAUCCACAAUUAUUAUAAUUAUUAUGAUAUUACUUUUUAGGCUGUCCAUUUGUUAAUUAUAUUUAGUCCAACUUGUUUAAAACAAUUUUAUUUUCCGUGCGAAUAGCCCAUUUGUAGUGCUCAUCGGUUUCUCUGUUCUUCAAUUUGUUAAAUUUUUUAUUUUUUAGGUUGAAGGGAUGUUUUCAAACAUAAUAUGGAAAUAUACAAGUCAUCCAUUGUACUCCUUCCACACAAACAAAUUAUUCAACGUCAUUCACUGUUCAAAUUUUGCUUAAGAAACGUGUAACCAAAUCCUGUCGGAUAUGCUAAGUGGGAAAAUGUCAUUCCCAAGCAUUGGCGAAAAGACACCUAUUUACUCCAUGCAUGACUUUUGGUUUACCACAUAUGAAUAUUGGGGUGGGUGAGCAAAAUAUCUGUGUCAGUAAAAUGUCAUUCGUAGCCGUCUAUGAUGUAAGUAAUAAUUCCGCUAUAUAAUAAAUAUUAUACAUUUAUAUAUAAAACGGUUUAUGACAAAAUACCAACAUUUAAACAACAUUCGUACAACGUAGCCAGCCAACCUAUAAGUAAAGAGAAGCAAGUCCACAAUGCAUCAAAACCGUCAAUUCGUACUACAACUAAUGCAAAAAUACGUGAUUCCCUCGCACAACAUACUCACGCAUCAGUUUGCACCAAAAAAUACUCUCACGGUGCCAUUUGCAUCGAUUGCAACAAGUCCACAACGCAGGAUUUAGCUUGUCUUCACUAGGCCAGCCUGGAAUAACAAAAUACCAUUCAUUGUUGUUACAAGCGCUGCAGCGAUUGAACUGAAUCUUCCCAUAGUCAAACAUAUCUACGAUAUGUCUUGCAACUCUUGAUGUGGUUAAUCUUCGUGUCAAAGCAUCCCUGGUUCCUUUCAUAUCAAUGUUGUUACGUUGAUUCAAAGAACACAAGAAUUGUAAUGCAUCCUCUUUUGACUGACCAAUUCCGGACAUACCAAGUAGUCCAACUACAUAUGCCGCUUCCAUAUGGCCUGCCGUGGCUGCAAUGCGCAUCCCAUACAACGCUUCCACCUUACCGGCCGUGAAAAAAAUACCGAAUGCUUCUCUAAAUAUCGACUCAGGGUUAUCGCAAGCCCUGCAUUGUUGCAAGAAAUGCUGGACCGCAGGUCUGGCACGGUACCAGCUAGGAUGGUCUGGGUACUUUGCCAUUGAAAUGGUGUUCCACACUUGUGGACUGUUUGCCAAAGUUUGGAACAAUCGGCACACAGAUGCCAUACGGAAGAGAUCUUCCGAUGAUUCGGUUGCCACGUAUAACAUCACUUGAAACCAAGCGGACUCCGGGAUGAAGGCUUGGGGCAUAUCGAAAUGGAGAUGCUUCCUUCUCUUUCCUCCGACUAUAGUGAAGUGUUUCGAAUUCAUUGAAAAGUUUUUGGAAUGGAACGAUUUGAGGAGUGGCAGAGGGGAUAAAUGAGAAUAUUUGGGGUACACGUUUUGUUUUAGCCUCUGUUUAUAGUGUUUUGAAAAGGUGUUUGCAGUUGGGGUUUUUCCAAGUUGACCCUUUUUCAAGAAACUGAACCGAAGUGAAUUAAAACUGAACACAAAAGAAGGGAAAACGUCAUAACGGUGCAUACAGAGUCAGACAGUCAAAAAGUUCAUUAAAUGGCUAUCUGCAUAGCCAUUUGUGGGAUUAUCCCAGUAUCAAAUUCAUUGAUACAAAUGUGAUGGAUUACUGAGUAGUGACAGAAGGUCCCAUCAUAUACUUUUUCAUUUUCCCACACCCAACUACCCCUACUAAUGUUAUUGAAAUGGAACCAAUAAUGACGGAUUCUUAUCCAACUAGUUGCCUUAAUGAAAUAUAUAUAAAAUAAUAAAUUUGAAGCAGUGUCCCCUCAUUUUUCCGAAAAUAUAUUUGGUAGUGAAGUAGUUUAUAUUGCUUUUCGGGCUAAAAGAUGCCGCAAUGCCGACGGUACAGGUGUCGACAUCGUGACCAACCCACCAAAUGAUCCCAAGAAAAAGAAAUAUAACUCGAUUUGGGCAGAGAUGAGAGAGAGCUGAGUGACAAGUUUAGGGUUAUGAGUGAAGGGGUAUGAAUGACAACUAUGAGUGAGAAGGUAUGAGUCCGAAGAGGUUUCAGUGAGAAGAUCUGAGUGAGAAGAGGUACAACUGAGAAGAUUCAACAUGUCUUCGUCUUCAUCUCCCGCUCAAACAAAGAGGUGUCAGUAUUGUGGAGCUACAAUGGUGCUUCGGGUUUCAAAAUCUGACAAAAAUCGAGGGAAGCCAUUCUGGAAGUGUCUAACCUCCUAUGUAAGUUUUAAUUUGAAUAAUAUGUAUGUGGGUCAAAAUAAACCCAUGUCUAACUCUGACAGAAUUAUAUUCCAUAUAUGAUGCCUGCAAUUAGGGAGCCACCAGUUGCAAUGGAUUCGAAUGGGUUGAUGUAAACUCCGCUGAAGCAGAACAUCAAGAUGACACGUAUGAUGCUAGAGUGCUGAACAUGCUGAAGUCCAUUAAGGACUUGGUAUUAGUUUUAUUAGUUGUAUCAAUUGUCAUUUUAUUUGUUCUUUUAAGGAUCAUUUAACUGCACGGUUUCAAAGAUUGUGAAAGUUCUCCCGCACAAGACAUGUUGCACGCACCACCAAUGAGACCCUAAACCCAUUUUGUAAUAUUUGUUAACUGCAUGUAUUUCGCCUGUUAUAGAACCGAUAUUGAAUGUUUAUUGAAGGUUAUUGAUAGUUUGCUGCAUGUAUAUGGAAUAUCCUUGGCCCAAUAUUGGAUGUUUAUUGGGGCCACAAGUAUCACUGAAGUAAGAAUGAAUGGGGGAAACGGACGUUAUUCUUUCUUUUAGUAGGAAGAACAACUGUUAAGUUUAAUAUCCUAUUCAAUACGACUUCCUUAUGGUUGGUGUACUUGGGGAGUGAAGUAUAUUGCAUCAUUAUUGUGGGGUCUAUUGUGUGUGUUAAGGGAGUAUUGUGUGUAUAUUGCAUGUGUAUUGUGUGUAUAUUGCAUAUCUACUGUCUGUAUAUUGCAUGUCUACUGUGUGUAUGUCUGUAUAUGGCAGGCCAAUUUUGUGUAUAUUGUUUGGCUGUUGUGUCUGUAUUGCUUGGCCAAACGCAAGUGAAUUGUUGUUCAUUUUUUGUAUAUUGUAAUUGUUUCUACUUUUAUGCUACUGAGCUGCCGAAAACCUUUCGCAUGUUUAGACACCUAUUAUGAUGCAACUCAUUGCGAAUAAUGGUGGCUUGCAUCAACAAUGACAUCACUUUGCAAUGGUGUAAUACACUUAAAAAGCCAUCUUCAAAUCCCAAUUAACAUAUGCAGUCUUAAAAUUCCAAUUCAAUGCAGUUUGGUUAACAAACAUGUAAAUGUCAUGAAGGAGUUAGCGGUAGAAUUCGAAAAGGACCCGUACGUCUCUAUUGUGUAUUUACAUUAGUUUGAGAAUGGACAUUCCCAAAACCUUCUCAUGUACCAUUUGUCAUCUUCAACCAAUAUCAUGGGAAGUAAGCAUCUCCCCUUGUUAUCUCCGCAGCCAAUUUCAACCGAAAAAAAAGGCAUGUUGUGCGAGGUGCAAGUAGCUAAUGAAAGCUGAGCGCUGAUAAGCUCAAUGUACUUUAACACAAACAUGCCACAAUCGCCUCUGAAGCAAAACAAGAACUCGAUCAACUCAACUAAUGACAUUCUAACGUAAUUCACAAUUCAAAGUAAUAAAAUUAAAUUGCAAGUUGUGCUUACUCAUUACACUGUUGUGGAACAUCCACACGCUCUAUUGGCCAUGGACACCACCAAUCUCGCCUGCAAUUGUUUGCAUAAACACCUGCUUCAUAAAAGUCGAUGGUGUUGAGAAGAUUUGGAAGCGUAAUUGAUAGCGGGGCGAGUUCUUCCUUUACGAUGUCAUCUGGAAUUAGUGAAACCUUUGAAUCGUACACUUUUAUUUCACACAAUACCAGAUCAAUCAUUACAGCCACCCAAUGCUUGUACUUCGUCAACAUAACUGGGGUAUACACCGUAUAGACGUUCUGCCAUUCCAUCCCACACGGAGGAACCUUCCCAUUUACAACGUUUAGUAAACUAUUUCUGAUUUUCCACCGAACCUGCUGUUUUUUUCGUUUAUUAUCCGUAAAGCAAGUUCGAAUGUGAUUCUGUGAAAUAUAAAACAAUCAAUGGUUAGACACCUCCACUAUUGUCUGUAUGGAAAAUGUGUAAUUAUUAACGGCACUUGGUCAAGGCCGAUGACAUACCAUAAAAAAAACAUCUGUCGUUGUCCAGUCCGCUAUUUCUACUUCCUCAAACUGUUGUUGUCGCUUCCGGAUGAGAUACAACCCCAAAUCAAUGUGCUGCAACAUGUUGUUCUUGUCAAUCUCAUAAUCUAUGUACAUUAAAACAAAUGCAUAAUCAAUUACACUUACAUCUCCUUUCAGCCAACCAUCAACUUUCACGAGGGAAGCGAAGAAUUCAAUCUCAGCUUCCACGUUGCCAAAUUGCAUCACCAAACUAUGAAUAUAAAACAGUUUUAGAACACUGUAUAUUACGAUAAAUAUACAGUCAUGCUUCUAUCUUAUAAUUGCAAGGGACUUACUUUGGGUCCUGGCGCCAUUCCCAACAAAGUUUCAGCAAAUUCACCAGAUCAUCAUGCGGAAUCGCCUUCAUUGGGUCUAACAUCUUCAGUCCGGUUGUCUGUGCCCCAGUUUGUGGAACCAAUUCAAUGCAUUCAAUGAUCUCCCACAUACGAAUGAUCCUCUUCCUUUUCCGUAAUUGGACCCCUUGUGCCACAGCUUUACCUUGAUCAUUCAACCACACGUUCAACUGAGAUAACACAGCUGUAGGUUGAUCCAGAUCAAUGUCCCCGACAGUAAACUCAAGCAGUGUCCCCUCCGUGCUCUCGCCAAUGUCAUCCCCAAGCAACAUAACAUCAUUAUCUUCUUUCUCACAUUGGUUUCUUUGCACUUCCUUUUCCUCACUUCUUUGUGUUUUCACUUCCUUGCCAUCCCUUUUUUUCCUUUGCAGUUUCUCUCCCUUACUGCUUUUUCUUUUCACUUCCUCUCCCUCACUGCUCUGUCUUUGGCCUUCCUCUCCUUUGCUACUUUUUACUUGCACUUGCUCUCCUUCACUUCUUUUCCUUUGCCCUUCCUCUACCUCACUUGGUAUUCGUUGCACUUCACCGCCUUCAAUCCCCUCCUCUUCCUUUUCCUCUCCCUCAUUUCUAUUGCUUGGCCCUUCACCCCCUUCAAUCCCCUCCUCUUCCUUUUCCUCUCCCUCAUUUCUAUUACUUGGCCCUUCACCCCCUUCACCCCCUUCAAUCCCCUCCUCUUCCUUUUCAUCUCCCUCAUUUCUAUUACUUGGCCCUUCACCCCCUUCAAUCCCUUCAUCUUCCUUUUCCUCUCCCUUAUUUCUGUUACUUGGCCCUUCAUCCCAUUGAAUGUCAUCCAAUUCCCGAUAUCCCCUAAAUAGAUGUGAGACGACACAACGCUUCGUCCUCUGUUUCAGUAAAGCUAGGUCCCUCCUUACUUCCUGCUCAAACUGAGGACCUAAACAUUGGUCCAACAGUUUUUCCAUCCGUAUGACCUUUAAGUGAAGCACGUCUUUUUCCCGCUUUACUUGAAACAACUCGGACCUCAACAAGCUUACCACCUUGUUCAACUGAUCAAGAUCACCACAUGAAGAAAGAAUUGACUCUGCCGAGACAACAGCCCUUCGUCCUCUGUUUCAGUAAAGCUAGGUCCCUCCUUACUUCCUGCUCAAACUGAGGACCUAAACAUUGGUCCAACAGUUUUUCCAUCCGUAUGACCUUUAAGUGAAGCACGUCUUUUUCCCGCUUUACUUGAAACAACUCAGACCUCAACAAGCUUACCACCUUGUUCAACUGAUCAAGAUCACCACAUGAAGAAGGAAUUGACUCUGCCGAGACAACAGCAGGGCGAUCCUGUGGCCAACUCCAAUAUGGCUGUCUCAUUUCCUCUUCACUCGGACAUUGCGCCCGCAACUGAACUGACUGUUUCAGAAUACAAACCACAGUCAUAUUAAAUCAUUCAACUUCAAAAUUUCAUUCAAUCUUAUCAAUAGUUCCAAGGGCUGCAAAACAAACCUGUUUGCUCUGGAAAAAAUAAUUGUUCAACUUUCUCAUCUCUGGAACAGACGUAGUAGUUCUCCAUCGCAAAAUACGCGGGACAGCGGUCGGAUCAACAACCUUGCAGUAAUUCAGGUCCACCAUUCUAGGAAUUAAUUCAUAUAUCCAAAUCUACACAAUUCACAGGACAAAAGUCAUUAUUUAUGUUUUAAAUAAAAACAAAACAUAACUCACAUGAACAUUAUUACCAUGUACCUGGAAAGCAUACGUGAAACCUUUAAAACUCCAGCCACUCCUUUGCGCUUCACCAUGCUUAUCCUUCCUGCCCUUCUCAUUUAUCCGGCUUGUUCCCGUUACCUUACUUUUCCCCUUCCCUCUUCCCUCUUCAUUUUGCAAGCUUUUCACAUACUUUGUUGGUGCAGAAAAUAGACUGUCUUGGGUUUUGUCAAAGGACACCGAACCCCACGGAUACCUGUUGAACGCAUCCAAGUCCUCUACAAGGGUCAGGUAAUUUAGAUUGAUGUUCAAAUGUUUGUCCCUUCCCAAAACCACUAACUCAGCAAAGUAAACAAGAGCUAGCUUGUAGAUGUCAACUUCCUCUGUGCACCUCAUAAAUGCUUCUUCUAAAGCAUUGCAUGUAAUUCCUUCGUCUAUAAAAUAUCUUUUCUGAAGUCUGCUUACAUCACUCCCUCCACUGGAAACUUCAGGCACUUCCCCAAAACGAAGCCCUGUGAUCAAACAGAAAUCCUGACGACUGAACUGAGCAACGUCACACCCUAAUAAGAAACUCAGUCCAUCCAAGUCUUUCACACCCUGCCCCGCUACUCUACGCAACACAGCCCCAUGCACAAUCUGCCCGCUAAACUGAAUCUUAUAUAUAUUCAGAAGAUGGCCAAAGCAUGAUGUCUUGAAUUGUUCUAAUUGUUCCGCACUCAACUUCACUCGAAUUGCAGCUAGAGAUGAAUUUGCAUGUGAGCAGUUGUUCACCCGUGACGAAUAUGCCUCUGCCUCUGGCCAUACCAGCUCCACGUUGGAUCCCAUUUCCUCAAAUACAAUGUGAAAUAACAUGAACACAUAUACUACCACGUAUUUGCACAAUCACAACUAGUCAACCAGGCACAUUACAAAUUUUACAAAGUACAUGAGCAUACGGAUUACUGAUCACAGGCUUUAACAUCAUCAAAGCAAUAUGAUAAAAUUUGUGCAAAUACCUGUUAAUGCAAUGAUUAUGUGAAUUACAAACAAUUUCACGUGUUUUAUUUAUGGAUCCAUACUCGUGUGAGUGCAAUGUAGGCAAGUUCUGCACUUCACACACAUGACAAUUAUUGUCAUCUCAUACACAACACAAAAUAAAUAAAUUAGAAAUAUAGUGGAAGGAAGCAAAGCAAAGCAUCUACUCUGCUAUCUGCUUGCUAAGCAAUUGCCACAUCCUUCUUUCUUUCUAGCUUUUUCUUCAGUCACCCACAAUCGUCAUAGAUCAACCUUCAUUUCAAAUGCUUUGCACUUUUAUUCAUGAGUUUAUUAUUAUCUGUUCUCAUUUCUCAUAGGCAAAUUUAGUAACAAAUGAAAUCAUAUUUAUUUCACAAAAUAUAUAAAUUCUAGUGCCAGAGAGGUACUCUUCACUCUGCACUGCUUCAAAUGUGGAAGGUUUUGAGCGCCUCCUCCAAUUUAACACCAUUAUCUUAUUCAUAUCAUUACUAACAUGUUAUUGACAUGUUAUUGAGAUGUUAUUGACAUGUGAUUGACUCUAUUUUCAUUCGUUUUUUAACAUAUACCCAAGCAAAAAUUAACAUGCAAUUGAAGCACAAAUAAGAGAUGCCAAAUCCAACAACAUUGAUGGUACAAAUUGGGGAAAACCAUUACUCUAACCCUAAACUCAAAUUCCUUAAAUUACUCAUCAAUUGCUUUGCACUUCUAUUCGUGAGUUUAUUAUUAUCUGUUCAAAUGUUUGUCAGGCAAAUUUAGUAACAAAGGAAAUCAUAUUUACUUCAUAAUAUAUAUAUAUAUAUAUAUUCUACCGCCUCUUCUUAAUCUGCACUAUGCACUGCUUCAAAUGUGGAAGGUUUUGAGGGCCUCCUCCAAUUCAACACCAUUAUCUUAUUCAUAUCAUUAUUGACAUGUUAUUCACUUCUUAUUGACUUGAUUUUCAUUCUUUUUUUAACAUAUACCUAAGCAAAAAUUAACAUGCAACUGAAGCACAACGAAGAGAUGCCAAAUCCAACAAAAUUUAUGGUACAAAUUGGGGAAAACCAUUAAUCUAACCCUAAACUCAAAUUCCAUAAAUUACUCACCAAAACCUGGUUAUUGCAAGGUGUCUGUGUGGGGUCUUUCUGUUUCUUUGCUCCACAAAUGGAACCUACCACUUCCAACGAAUACAGCUUCUCCCCUUCCCCUUCCACUGCUUCGCCCCUUCACUGAUUUGGAAUCCACACCUUUGCCCCUUCUACUCCAAAUAAAUACUUUUUCGGGGUCUGGAGAACGGAGUGGCGAAUCGUUGCCUUCAACUGUCGUUAGCCGUUGCCUUCAUUGGGUAUCUCAGACCUCUGUGUUUUAGAGAGAUGAGUUCUUUCUGUUCAAACUUCGAACUUGCCUCUUCUUCUUCUUUUUCGGACGUGUUUCCCUCUUCUUCUUCUUUUUGGACGUGCUGGAUAUUCAAUUCGGGUUUGGGUUCCUCACCUACCCAAUUGUGAAACUUUAUCUCAAUUCUCCCCAGCCCUUGGAUUAAUCUGAUGGCUAUAAAGUGAACCCCUUAUAACUUACCCCUUAUAACUUUCCACUCAUUAUAGUCUUGGCCCCAAUUUAAGCGCGAGACUAUAAUGCGGAGAUUCUAUGCGGAGGUUAUUUGUGGGGAUUACUUACUAGGCCAUUAGAUUGAUCAAAUGGCUAACAUUAGUAUCCUCUUUAUGCUACAACCGGGUUGGCAUUACCCGUUGAGCAAUGCUAUUCACAAUCGAAGUACUCAACUGUCACCUCCUCAGAACCCACAUCAGCAACGACGACCUCACUCUCUCUCUUUCGGCCGCUGUUCUCCACCUCCAUCUCUCACUCUCUGUCACUUAUUUCAACCGCCGUUCUUCCCCCUCCGGUUCAACAAAUUUCUCAAUUUCUUCAGCAUUCCUGAAAUCCAUAUACCUAGAGAUGACGUCCCAGGUACCCAGCUCAACUUUUCGCCUUUACUUUCAUACCCAUAUGUUAUUUGGGUUUUCUUCUGAUUGUUUCAAUUUCAUAUAGUGGUCUAGAAAGUUGCUCAAAAUCCAAAUUCUUGCUACAUCGUUUUAUUUAUCAUGCUUAUUUGCUUGUUCUGAAUAUAUGGUUCUAUUUGUUUGGUUAGGCUGAGUUGAUGAGUGCAUGAAAAAAUGGCCUGUAGGUGUUCGAUGAAUCACCUUAAUGAGGCGCACUAUGGUUUUCUUUGAGAUACAAACCAAUUGGGACAAUUCUCAUGGUAUAUACUUAAAGGUGAACUUCUAGGAGGACCCAAUGAACCCAUCUAAAUGGAAGGAAGCACAUGUGAGUUUUAUUAUAAUUUGUUUACGAAGAUGUCUUUACAGUGCAUAAUGGUUUUGUUAGAUCGCCAUUGACAUUAGUUUAAUUACCUUUUAACAAUGCUUGAGAAAUGUCCCUGUUUUUGCAUGAAGACUUACACAGGUGCCAUAUUAUGUCAGUUUAUAGUGAAUGGAUACUUGGUUGUGUCAUUUGAUAUUUGGAAUUCUAUUAGAUUUAUUUUCUUAUUUUUCAACUUUUGUGUCAUGCCUUGAGUUUCUUUCAUUUCGACAUCGCCAUUUAACUUGUGCUGUGAACAAGUUAAUACUACACUGUUUUGUGUCAUUGUGAAAUUGAGAAAUAAAGUUCAUGUUAUUAUUUUGCAGGAAUUCUAAGGGCCAUGAUAUGGUAAAAAAGUAUGUGAACAAACAAAAGAAACAUAGAAAGGGUCUGAUGCUGCUACUUCACAUGGCCAGGUUUUGCUGCUGCUUCGUCUUCCUCAUUUACCUAAAAGAAAGGGUCUAUAUCUCUAGCAUUUGCAUCCAAAUGUCCCUUGCCCUGCCCUGCCCUGCCUUGCCCUGCCCUACCCUGCCCUGCAGUACUAGCUAGCACAACAGCCCCUGUUGUACGUGGUCCCCUGAUUUGGUUUCUUUGAGCCAUGUGAUGCUUUCAGCUUCCUAGAUCCAACUCCAAUGACUAUUUAUUAAGUCAUAAUUUACUGCCUAUAAUUAGGACCUGCGGUUUGAAGUUUUUAAUUUGGAACAAUUCAUGUACUGUUAAAACAUAAAUGGUGCAAAGCCAAUGCCAAGAAUAGAAAAAAUAAGCAAUAUGAUCAUACAGGGGUUAACGCCCAUGUAGAUAUGCACUGAUCAAGCUUGAGCAGUAAGGCUUUUCGUCUUGUGCUUGGUAGGUUUGCUUUUCCUCGUCCAUUAGAUGUUUUCCAAUUUUGAGGUGAUAUGAUACUCUUCCUCUUGGCAUUAUUCUCAUGGCUAUGAAAUUUCAGUUUGCAAUGAAUGACUAUAUCAAUCUAAAAGAUUAUUUUUGUGUAGAAAUUGAAUGAAAGUAAAUUGUACUGCAUACCUCUGUGGUGUCUAUGUUCUGGAGUUAAUGUUGUUGAUCAAUGAUAGCCUCUUUCAUAAUUCUUUCAUUGAUUAAUAUUGUUGUUCUCUCAUUGUUCCAGAGUUAACUUGAUUGAGUUUUGAUGCACUGCGUGAAAUUUUGGAUACCAUGUGAGUUAUAAGUUACGAAUGAAGCACAGACAAAAAACAAUGAACUCUAUUUUUAUAAGAAACUUAGUCUGCUUUGAGUCUUUUCCUGAUACGUAAGUAGGAGAUUUUAAAUUGGGCUUGUUUGUGCUUUUGCGCAUCUGCAUAUAUAGCAAUAAAAGGAAAGUGAUGGUUCCAAUAGAGCAUAUCAAAGAUCUACCUCAUUAGUACCAAAUUGUCUUUUGUAUUACUCUGUAUAUACAUAUUUAUAUAUGUACAUAUUGAUAUUGCUUUAUUUUGUUUCUGUUGUAGAGGAAGAUGAUGGAUGAAUUUGGGAAGGUGAAGCAACAAUUGGUAGAGUACGUGAUCAUGUCACGGCCUAUAUCCCACAAGCUUGGUCUCUAGCGAUUUGAAACCCUAACUCUUAAGUCUUGAGAUAAUUGACAUUUUUUUUUCAUAACAGUUGGAGCAAGAUUAUUGUUGGCUUCUAGAAGAUUGUUGUCAUUGAGAACCUUCAUCAAUUUGGGGUGGGACAACAUUCCAUUCUGUUGCAAGAAGUGUACUAUAGUUAUAAGGAAAAAAAAACAUGUAAUUAAGGAACUAUUUGUGUGUCAGACAGACCAUGUAAUUAUUUAGUCCUCAUGGAAUGAAAUUGAGUUUAAUUUACUUGAGAAAUUUCAGUCUUGAAUAUGUUGUUUGUAUAUAUUUGCAAGUGUAUGCAAUGGAAAAAUACUUUUAUUUAUAUUAUUAAUUGAAGAGAGCACAUUAUAUACAUUAUGUGUAUAUAUAGCUCAUUCUUCUUGCCUUUGUAGGAUGGCAAUGGGUCAAAUCGGGGGUGGGUAUGCCAUUCCCAUCCCCAUCCCAGUGAAGCUUUUUUCCCACAUCCCCACAUUCAUACCCGCAAUACAGACUUGAAAAAAAAAAAAAAAGGAUAUAUGAGGUCAAUACAGUAGCAAUACACAAGCAAUAAAGGGCUAUACAAUGGCAAUACACAAACUCCAUACCCCCCUAUAAAUUUAUUCCAACAGACUUGAAAAAAAAUAUAUAUAUAUAUAUAUGGGGGCAAUACAAUAGCAGUACACAAGCAAUAAAAGGCUAUACAAUGGUAAUACAGUAGCAAUACACAAGCAAUAAAAUGCUAUACAAUGGCAAUACACAAACUUCAUACUCCCCCUAUAAAUUUAUUCCAAGACUUUAAAAAAAGAUAUACGGGGGCAAUACACAGGCAAUAAUAGGCUAUACGAUGGCAAUACAGUAGCAAUACACAAGCAAUAAAAGGCUAUACAAUGGCAAUACACAAACUUCAUACUCCCCCUAUAAAUUUAUUCCAACAUACUUUUAAAAAAAGAUAUACGGGGCCAAUACACAAGCAAUAAAUAGCUAUACAUGUGCAAUACAUAUGCAAUACAUAUCAGUCAUGGCAUUUGCCAAUUAAAUCAUUGAUUUGGUUACAUUUGUAUUUUUUUCUUCUUUGCAAGGGGAAUGAUAAAACCAUGGAAACUAGAGAUUGACAAAUUUCCUUCUAACUUGACUUUCAUAAAUUGAUGAACUAACAGUGUUAUCUCAUUACAUCUUAAGAUAUACAUAAGAAAGUGGCAAAAAACAAAAAAAUUUCAUCUCCUCUUGGUCUAGAAUUUUAACACAAUUCAUAUGUAUAAGAAACAUUCCAAGACAUGUCCUCUUAGACCCGAAUUUAAGCUCAAAGUUAGCAAUUUCCUCCCCAAAUCAUUGAUUUGGUUACAUUUGUAUUACUUGUUCAGAAACGGAGUGCAAAGUUAGGCGAGUGAGAGACUACUGGAGGCUCUUUCAACAUAUCAUGUGUCUCUUUUUCUUCUUUUCUCUCUACUAUGAAGAUCUUGCAAAUAAUUUUUGUGACACAAAGACAGAAUAAGAGAGCUCUUAGGUUAUAGUUGUUGUAAUAGGUAAUGAUGAACCAUUUUCUGCAACAUUAAUGACAGGGGUUUAACAAAACAGAAUAUUUUUUGAAUAAAAGGGUUUGCAAUAGGGCUGAAAAAUCACAUACCAGUGAAAGAAUUGAGUUGUGGGUUUCAACCCUUGUUCCUUCUUCUUCAGCAACGUCCUCCACAUCUGAGUGUCUUGGAGCAGCAAAUUUGGCUUUUGGAAGUUGGAAAGGGGCAGCUCUUGUUUGUCUCCAGAGGAAGUUUCAGACGUAGGACUUUGGACCUCUGUUUCAAAGAAAAUAGGAGAUAUGAGAGAGAAGUUCCGGGUUGCUCAUUUUGUGAUGGGUAAUUUUAACCCGAUUGUAAAAAAAACUUCCUACUUAAAUCUGAACCGUUCAUUUAAUAUUGAUGGUUGUUAUCAUUCCGCACAUAACCUCCUCAUAAUAGCCUCUGCAUUCUAGCAGCUCCCCCAAUUUAAUGCCCCCAAUUCAGACCCUAAUCUCCAUCGCAUUGGCAAUAGAGGAGGUGAAGACCAUAGGCCGAGAGCUUGCGAUGGGCUCUCAAGGCGGCUUCGCCAAUUCAAGGAGUUCCUGGAUGUCGUCAAGUCCAUCGGUGAAGCUUGAUCCAAGGCCGAAGAAGAGCGCAUCUUCCUCCUCGAGAUCGAAACCCUAAAACGAUGUCUCCCCUAGCCCGAAAUCCCCAAGUACAAGAUGAAGGAGUACAUCAUCCGCCUCAUCUACGUCGCAAUGCUCGGCCACGACGGCUCCUUCGCCUACAUUCACUCCAUCAAGAUGACCCCUGACGACAAUCUCUUGCUCAAACGCACCAGUUACCUCGCUGUUUCGCUCUUCCUCAGUGACGAUCACGAUUUGAUCAUCUUGAUCGUCAACAUCAUCCAGAAGGAUCUUAAGUCGGACAAUUAUCUUGUCGUUUGCGCUUCUCGCUCAUCAACGACGAGACUGUGCCUACCGUUUUUCCCAGAUCGUGGAUCUGCUUGCCCAUCCCAAGGAGGCUGUGAGGAAGAAGAUCACCAUGGCACUUCACCGCUUUUAUCAGAAUAGUAGUCUUCGGUUUCGCAUCUGGUCUCGAAUUCCCAGAAGCGGCUUUGUGAUAACGAUCGGGGAGUUAUGGGUGCUACGGUCUGCCCCUUGUUUGAUCCCAUUACCAUCGAUGAGAAUUCUUAUAAGGAUUUGGUGGUCAGCUUUGUCAGCAUUCUUAAACUGGUCGCCGAGGUUAGGUUGCCCAUGACCUACGAUUAGCAUCAGUUGUUGGGGCCAUCUAUUCAGGUUUUACUUACUUUCAAUGAAGUUGAGCUUAUUCAUGUGGGAAGUUUUGGGCAUGAUAGAUGAAUUGAAAUAAUGAGCCUUGUUUGUUGUUUGUUGUAAUGUAAUGUACUAAUGGAAUUAGUUUGAUAAAGCAGAUUAGAUUGUUGAAGAUCUUGGCAUUGUUGGGAAGUGGUGAUAAGCAAUCGAGUGAGAAGAUGUAUAUGGUAGUCAUCGAUAUUUUUAGAAAGUGCGAUUCUACUAGUAAUAUGGGAAAUAUUGUACUUUAUGGGUGUAUUUGUUGCGUUUCUGCCAUAUAUCCAAAUCCUAAGUUGUUAGAACAGGCUGCUCAAGUCAUCUCAAGAUUUUUGAAGCUUUGAAGUUUUUAUAUUUUUCAGUGUAAUUUCCUGCAAAUUAUAGUCUGCAUGUAGAUUAUUUGGAGAGUUAAACACCAAUUCCUUGUUGUAUAUUUGGUGGACAAAGUGACAGUCAUAAUUUGAAAUACAUGGGUGUUGAUGCUCUUUUUGGGAGGUCAACUUAGAGAGAAGUGGAUUGUCUUCAGCAGUGGAGAAGGUGGGGAUAUUCAGUAAGAGAAGAGCCUGGAGAAGACAAAGUAGGAUAAGCAAUCGUUAAGCUUCGGACAUCGGUGUGGUGUUGGCCAAAGGCUCUCCGAUGCUUAAGUUAGCUAAGAGUAGUAACUUUGACAGAGUAACAGUAAAAGUGAGAAAGUAGUUAUCUUUUUUACUUGGGUACUGCUCCCUAUUUAUAGGGGAGUGAAAAUAGGAGGUUUGCACAAAGUUUCGAUGUGGGACUUUGUGCAAGUUGCUGUGGUGGUGACACGUGUCCUAGGGAUUAGGUUCAGCAAUUGGGACCUUCGACAGUCAGGAGCUUUAGCAGGUGCUUGGCACCUCGGAAGAAUGUAUUCCUUCAACGGGGAAGAAGGCGUGUUUGCCUUUGGUGCUAGUCGCUUUGAGGCUGGAUAUGCUCGGUUGAUUAUGGUGUAAAUAGUAGUCCCCCAAGUUCGCGGUCAAGAAGUAACUUCUAGGUUGGGAACUUGUUAGAUUUUUGUGUAAUCAUGACCAAGCAUUCCAGAUUCAAUGGGAGUCGUAGGGCAUUCCAUAGUCCCCCAAGUUGGCAAGCUAGAAGUUGCGUCAAUACUUGGGAGGUAUAGUAGAAGCUGUGUGAGCCUCUAGAACUAUUGGUAGGUGGGUACCUGGGCACUCAGCAAGGAACGGGUUAAGGGCUGGGCCUUUUGGGUAUUCGGUGCUGGGCCUUUGAUUAGAGCCUAGCUCGUGGCACGGAGGGGUGCCGUGGUGGGCUCAUUGAAUUGAAGCUGGGUUUCAUCAGGAUCCGUUCGGCAAGGGUCAAUGUUGCUUUGUGAAGAAGGCUGUGCAAAGUCAUUGUUGUUCCGGUAAGGGGAGCCGGGCUUGUCCUUGUGGAGUCUAAGCUUCGGCAAGGGGAGCCAGGCUUGUCUGUGAGGCCCGUUGUACAUUCCACAUGGCCCUUGCCGUUCGGCACGGACCCUUUCCUUUUUUCUUUUUAUCUUUUUUUGUUUUUUAUUUUUUGGGAACCUUGUGGUUCUUCUUGAACAGCUUGGGUCCUGGCUUGUGUCGGCAUGGUCCUUACUGUUCGGCAAGGGACCAAUAUGGGCUUGGGCUAGCAAGGAGCAAGGGUUGGGCCCUAGAUGGACUUCGGCAAGGCUUUGUCCAUUUGGACUGGUGUUGGUUGGAAAAGGAGCGAGCACCCCAUAGCCGUUACAUAGCCCUUGCCGUUCGGCAAGGGUGUGUUUUGGGAGAAAAAUUUCGAAAGGCAAUCAGGUGGGCCAUUGGGGCUGGGCCCUUGGGGUGUUUUUAGGCUCUUGGCAAAAACCUAAGGUCAAAAAGGCCGGGCCUUGUGCUUGUGGGCUUCAGCAGGUAUGAGGCGCUAGGGUUAGGAUUUGUGAGGAAAGUAUAAACAACCCCUUGUAGCUCUUGCCGUUCGGCAACAGAGCCAACCUCUUUUUCGAUAGCUGCGGUAGGGCUGGCGUGCUGGGAGAUCUCUUUCUAUAGCUUAGUUGCCGAUUGGUACCAUUCAAAGAUUCUCUCUCUGAGUCCUCAUAUAUCCUUUCGAUACCGUGGUGGGAAGGAGACCCCUAGAUUGAGCACCAGUCUACCGUUCGGCAACCCAGUCUCUUCGGGGAGAAGGGAUCAAGGACUUGCGCAGCAAGAUCUACUAGCACUCCCGCAGCUAUGUCACAGUAGUCCCUGCCGAACGCCAGGGUUGGCUUAAGUUUUGUUGAAGGUGUCGUGAGCCAAAGGUGUGAACUAUUCGUGUGGCUACGAUUUAGUCUUUGUAGGUGGGCCUUCGGCAAGAAGACUUGUGGAGGCGCCUCUUAAACAUUUUGCAUAGCCCUUGCCGUUCAGCAAGGGCAACUGGGGGUUAUGCGCGUGUUUUUGUUUGAGAUUUUGGGCCGGGCAGCACAGCAGUGGUCUAGGCUCGAGGACUUGGCGAGUGAUUACCUUCGGCAGGUGCUUGGAAAGAGAAGACCAAAGGGGUUGGCUUCUAAGGAUUCGAAGUGAGCUGGGAUAAUGAAGUGAGCUUUUUUGCAAGGACCCAUUUUCUUCUUGCUCAACCCUUGCUAUUCGGCAAAGGUGUCUUGAUCAUAUUUUUGGGUCCUUGAAUUGUUCCUACAUGUAGUUUGGAUUAUUGGUGUAGCGGGUUGCUUCUUUAGCAUGAGCUUAUCCGUAGCUUUGGUAGGUGUCUUUUGCUUUGACUUGGUCAUGAUUUGAGCACGAGAUUGGACUCGGGCAUGGCCCUUGCCAUUCUGCAAGGGUGAAUGUAGCAGAAGCUCUUGACUUGGUCAUGAUUUGAGCACAAGAUUGGACCCGGGCAUGGCUCUUGCCAUUCAGGUCCAGCUCAUUUGGGCUUCAUAAGGAGGCCUUGAGGUUUCAGUAGUAAUUUAGGAGCUGGGUUUCUUCGGUUGGAGUUGGACUAGACGUGAUCUGCCUUUAAGGAGGCUGCAGUGCCAAGGACUCUUUGUGAGACCCGGUAGGCUAAUUGAAAAGGUACCUUUGGUUAGGGCAAGAUUUUGCAUAGGCCUUGCUGACGAUUUUCGCUUGACAGUUGGCAAGGAGGCUGGGCGAGUGAUGCAUUGGUGUAACUUGGAGCUGGGUUCUUGAACGUUCAGCAAGGUUCUAGUAGGUAGUCUCGUGAGCCCCUUAGGCAAAGUGUUGUGGGUCUUCGAUUUCCUCCACCUUCUGGUCUGUGUAUUGGGCUUAACCAAGUGGCCUAAAAAAUUUCCUCCAUAAGCCUUGCCGUUUGACAAGGCCAGCUUGUUCAUUCGUAUGAUGCUGACUUUGUUUUUGUGUGGUGGUUGUUUAAACUUCGGCAGGUCUUAGAGUCGGGUUCAACCUUGCACACGGGCUGGGACAUCAGACCUUUGGGAAGAGCUGGGCUUUGAAGGUGGAUUCAGAAGCCUUUGGUUGUGCCUUUUCAUGUGGGAAGUGUAGCUGGGUCUUUGUUGAGGUGAAAUUUUUUGGAGGCCUCCAUUUGUUUCUGCACGGGCUUUGCCGUUCGGCAAGGUCAUUUCAAGUUCCCCUCGUUUUUUUUUUUGAAUUUCAAAUUUGAAUUUCAAAUUGUGUGUAGGUACAAGGGAUUUGAGAGGGAAGAUAUUCCUGUUGUUUGUGAUUUUCCUGAUGUCUUUCCAGAUAAUCUCCCUGGUUUACCCCCUGAAAGGGAAAUCGAGUUCACUAUUGAACUUCUUCCGGGCACCAACCCUAUUUAUCUAACCCCCUAUAGGAUGGCACCAGCUGAACUUCGGGAGUUGAAGAUUCAAUUACAGGAGUUAGUAGAUCUUGGGUUCAUCAGACCCAGUGUUUCACCGUGGGGUGCACCUGUGUUGUUUGUGAGGAAGAAAGAUGGAACCAUGAGGUUAUGUAUUGAUUACCAGGCAGCUGAAUAAGGUGACGGUACGUAACCGUUAUCCUUUGCCUCGGAUUGAUGAUCUGUUUGAUCAGUUGAAGGGUGCUAAGUAUUUUUCUAAGAUCGAUUUGAGAUCAGGAUACCACCAGUUGAGGAUCAGGGAAGAGGAUAUUCCUAAGACCGCGUUCAGAACACGGUAUGGACAUUAUGAAUUUCUGGUGAUGCCGUUUGGACUGACGAAUGCUCCAGCAGCGUUUAUGGACCUCAUGAACAGAGUGUUCCGACCAUACUUGGAUCACUUUGUGAUUGUAUUCAUAGACGAUAUCUUGGUGUACUCCCAGACUUUGGAAGGGCAUAAGAAGCAUUUGAGGUUGGUAUUGAGAACCUUGAGAAGGAAGCAGCUUUAUGCUAAAUUUAGUAAAUGUCAGUUCUGGCUGGACAGAGUGGUAUUUCUGGGACAUGUAAUUUCAGCUGAAGGGAUUUAUGUGGAUCCACAGAAAGUUGAAGCUAUUGUGAACUGGGUACAACCCACCAGUGUGACAGAAAUACGGAGUUUUCUGGGAUUGGCAGGCUACUAUCGUCGAUUUGUGGAAGGGUUUUCUUCGAUAGCAGCGCCUCUCACACGGUUGACAAGGAAAGAUGUUGCAUAUGAGUGGACGGAAGAAUGUGAACAAAGUUUUAAAGAAUUAAAGAAGCGAUUAACUACUGCACCUGUUUUGGCUCUUCCGGAUAAUGCAGGAAAUUUUGUGAUCUACAGUGAUGCAUCUUUGCGAGGCUUGGGAUGUGUUCUGAUGCAACAUGAUCGGGUGAUUUCUUAUGCCUCGAGCCAACUCAAGAAGCAUGAGCAGAAUUAUCCAGUUCAUGAUCUGGAACUUGCCGCUGUAGUGUUCGCUCUUAAGAUCUGGCGGCAUUAUUUGUAUGGUGAGACGUGUCAGAUUUUCACUGAUCAUAAAAGUCUCAAGUACUUUUUCACUCAAAAGGAGCUUAAUAUGAGACAACGGCGUUGGUUGGAAUUGAUAAAGGAUUAUGACUGCACGAUUGAGUAUCAUCCGGGCCGAGCUAAUGUGGUAGCAGAUGCACUGAGUAGGAAGACUACGGGAAGUUUGGCUCAUCUCAGAACGGCAUAUCUUCCGUUGUUAGUGGAACUACGGAAAGAUGGUGUGGGACUGGAAAUGGCGCAACAGGGAGGAUUACUUGCUAGUUUGCAUGUGAGACCCAUUUUGGUGGAACGGAUAAUUGAAGCCCAGUUGGGAGACCCAACACUUUGUAGAAUAAGGGGAGAAGUAGAAAGUGGUUCACGGAAAGAUUAUGCAGUAAGGGGAGAUGGGGCGUUGGUAACAGGAACUCGCCUCUGUGUACCUAAGAAUGAUUACCUGAAAAGAGAAAUCCUAGAGGAAGCUCACUGUUCCACUUACACUAUGCAUCCAGGAAGCACCAAGAUGUAUCGAACCCUACGGGAGUAUUACUCAUGGCCGCAUAUGAAGGGAGACAUUGCCAAGUAUGUGAGUAGAUGCUUGAUUUGUCAACAAGUGAAAGCGGAGCGACAGAAACCUUCCGGACUUAUGCAACCGCUUCCAAUUCCUGAAUGGAAGUGGGAGCACAUUACCAUGGAUUUCGUUUUCAAGCUUCCACGUACUCCCAAGGGACAUGAUGGAAUUUGGGUGAUAGUGGAUAGACUCACCAAGUCCGCCCAUUUCCUACCUGUUAAGGAAACUUAUUCUUUGACAAAGUUGGCAAAACUUUUUGUGGACGAGAUUGUGAGGUUACAUAGAGCACCUGUGUCCAUUGUAUCGGACAGAGAUACCCGAUUUACUUCUCGAUUCUGGAAGUGUUUGCAGGAAGCUAUGGGUACUAGGUUGCGGUUCAGCACAGCUUUUCACCCCCAGACUGAUGGACAAUCAGAAAGAACUAUUCAGACUUUGGAGGAUAUGUUGAGGUCUUGUGUACUGCAGAUGAAAGAUUCAUGGGAUACUCACCUUGCCUUGGUGGAAUUUGCAUACAAUAACAGUUAUCAUGCGAGUAUAAAGAUGGCUCCUUAUGAGGCGUUGUAUGGGAGACAGUGUAGGACUCCUAUUUGUUGGAACGAAGUGGGAGAUAAGAAAUUAGAAAAAGUGGAAAGUAUCCGAGCAACAACCGAAAAAGUGAAGAUGAUUAAAGAAAAGCUGAAGAUCGCACAAGACCGACAGAAGAGUUAUGCAGAUAAUAGGUCCAAAGAUCUCGAAUUUGCAGUUGGGGAUUGGGUGUUCCUGAAGUUAUCUCCUUGGAAGGGUGUGAUGAGAUUCGGGAAACGUGGGAAAUUAAGCCCUCGUUAUAUUGGACCCUAUGAGAUUACUGAACGCAUCAGACCGGUUGCUUAUAGACUUGCAUUACCUGCAGAACUAUCUCGAGUGCAUGAUGUGUUCCAUGUAUCUAUGCUUCGGAAGUAUAUGCCAGACCCUUCUCACGUUUUAGAAUAUCCACCUUUGGAGUUGGAAGAAGAUUUAUCAUUUGAGGAGCAACCUGUGCAAAUUCUAGAUAGGAAAGAACAACAGUUGCGCUCUAGAUCCAUUCCAGUAGUGAAGGUUCUGUGGAGAAGCCAAACUGUGGAAGAAGCUACAUGGGAGCCUGAGGCACAAAUGAGGGUCAAGUACCCUCAUCUUUUCCAUUGACAGGUACGUAAAUUUCGGGGACGAAAUUUUCUUUAAGGAGGGUAGAUUGUAACACCCCGACUCCAAAUUAAAUGAUUAUUUUAAUCAAUUUUUAUAAAAUUAUGAAUUUACCCUUGGGAUAGGGGUAAAUUGGUCACUUUCUUCUUCGGAAGGAUUUUGGGACCACGAGUGGCAUUUCUGAGAAGAUGGUACUGAGACGAAUUCAUAGACACGCGGUAGGCUUGAAUCGGGGUUGUAACGAAAAAGUUACGGGCAAAAUAGUGUCAGUGGCAAACUUGUAAAUAUUUCAAAAAGUUUGGUAAAAAUCAGAUUUUCACCUCAGCUCUCUCUCUCUCUUCGCGCGCGACACUCUCUCUCUCCUCAGUCUCUCUCUCUCCCUGACGUUCACUCUCUCUCUCCUCGGCUUGCUCAGUUCCGGCCACGGCAGGACCUGAGAUCGGUCCCGUUCAACUCGUCUCGUCGCCCCGGUCAGGCUCUGCCCGUUUUUCCCGUCGGAAACCAGGGAUUCGUCCAGAUGUGACCCAUAUGCAUGUGGGCCCCGAAGGAAGCCCCGCACAGGGGCAUAUUAGCUCAGCGCAAAUCAUAAUUCUAAAAAUUCGUUUCUUAAGAAUUGGGAUUAAAAGAUAAUUUUAAGUACAAAUUUUGCUCGAUUGGAAUCAGUCGUGGUGUAGUUAUAGAAAUAUGAGAGGGUUGGGCACAAUAUUUUGUUUUUUCCAUUUGCUUAAGAAGCAAACUCUCUCUCUACACACUCUCUCGCACUCCUUCUCUCCCUCAACGGAAACUCGUAGAAAAUUGGAAACUCUGAGAAACUGAUGGUAAAACUUUCAAGCUUUGAAAGUCUUCUGCUAUGAAAUGCCGAAUCUACGCUGGUUUCUUUACAUGAGCGCACUGUUUGGAGACCCGAUCGCUUCUAAUUCUAGUGCACCGUCUACCUUCGCUUUCCGUUGAUGUGGUCAUUGUUGUUGUUGUUGUGGCCUUGCCUUUUGCCUGUGUUCUACCUUACCUAUUGCCAUGCUCACAGGAUUUUUGUGUUCUGCCUUAUUUACUGCUGUGCUCACAAGGUUUCUGUGUUCUGCCUUACCUAUUGCUGUGCUCACAGGGUUUCUGUGUUCUGCCUUAUCUACUCCCAAACCCUGUGUUCUGCGUUACCUAUUGCCGUGCUCACAGGGCUUCUGUGUUCUGCCUUAUCUACUGCCAUGCUCACAGGGUUUCUGUGUUCUGCUUUACCCAUUUAUCUAGUCCUUCAUGUCAAACAAAGUAGGGUAAAAUGUAACACCCCGACUCCAAAUUAAAUGAUUAUUUUAAUCAAUUUUUAUAAAAUUACGAAUUUACCCUUGGGAUAGGGGUAAAUUGGUCACUUUCUUCUUCGGAAGGAUUUUGGGACCACGAGUGGCAUUUCUGAGAAGAGGGUACUGAGACAAAUUCAUAGACACGCGGUAGGCUUGAAUCGAGGUUGUAACGAAAAAGUUACGGGCAAAAUAGUGUCAGUGGCAAACUUGUAAAUAUUUCAAAAAGUUUGGUAAAAAUCAGAUUUUCACCUCAGCUCUCUCUCUCUUCGCGCGCGACACUCUCUCUCUCCUCAGUCUCUCUCUCUCUCCCCGACGUUCACUCUCUCUCUCCUCAGCUUGCUCAGUUCCGGCCACGGCAGGACCCGAGAUCGGUCCCGUUCGACUUGUCUCGUCGCCCCGGUCAAGCUCUGCCCAUUUUCCCCGUCGGAAACCAGGGAUUCCGAUCGCGAGCUCGACGGUUUUAAACCGAAGCAUUCCAGCCGUCGCGCCGCCGCCUCCGCCGCCCAAACCCGGUGAUUGAGGUAUGGUUUCUCUCCCAUUUUCCGAGUUCUAGCUGAUGUUGGUAUAGGUUUUGAUUGAUUUCGAGUUUAGAAAAUCGAUUAGAAAUCUAGGUUUUGGGCCGAAUUUCAACAUGAAAUUCCGGCCAGUUGCCGGCCGAAUUGGAGCUUCUCGUAGUUGAAUGAAGUGAUCCUGACCUCGAGUAGAAGCUAGGGUAGGAAGGGUGAGCUCGGGUGUGGAGUUUUUCCGUCACCGGAGUUACUCUACACACCCACGCGCUGCCGGCCCAUGUGGUGGAGCGUGGGCGAGUCUGGUGAGGAUGUAAACUGACCCGAUGAGAUCCUUAGGUUGUCACGAGCGCAUUCCUAUUCGGAUGUCGUUUGGCUAUCGAACGGAUUUUCGCAUAUUAUGCGUUAUCCGGGUUCGAUAGGUUCCGACCGUUAGAUCUUUCCCAAUUUAAAAUAUGUUGUUCUAGGUAUUCCUAGGACCGUAUGGGACUUCACGAAUUCUGAAUCGGAGCCCCGGAUGUUCCGAUUCAAAAAUGCAAAGUUUGCGGGUUAGCGAUAACCGUAAAAUCGUGAACGCUUUCUAAACCUGUAAUCGGACCUUAUGGUACCAUCUUCGACGUGCACGUAUGGGAAUUUAGGGAGUUAAGCAUUUAAUUUGUAAUUUCCGCUUAGACGUGGUUUUUAUAUUAAUUAACGGUUCGUAUUUCGAAAUAGGUAUUUCGACUGCACGCACGCAGCAAGCAGGACCUUCACGUGGUCAGGCAGCGAGGGAAUACUUGUGAGUGGACUUUGUUUUAAUCAUAUGCCUGGUUUUAAUUAAUGAAAGAUUUUGCAUAAUGUUUUAAUGGCUUCUGGAUUUUUAUAUAUUUUAUGCAUGGAUAAAUUCUGAUGGGUGUAUAGCAAUUGGCAAUAUAUUGUGAGAUUGGCAUUUUUGGGUUUUGUGAGUGUAUUUUAUAUGUGGAUUGUGGGGAGGUAUAUUUUGAUACAUUCUUUUUAGAUGAGAUAUUUGGGUUGUUGGAGGGUGUUAUGGAAGAGUGUGUUUAGAGAGGAGUUGUGGGAUUACACUACGUAAGUACCUUCCCCAGUUACUAGUCUCACUCGCGGCGUUGGAUGUUCCGGCGGGUGAGACACUUUCCGUAUGCGGCGUUGGAUGUUCCGGCGUAUGGAAAGACUGUGUAUAGAGUUUAGGGUCAUCACCGCGGCGUUGGAUGUUCCGGUGUGUGAUGAUCCAGUCUGCGCGCGUAGGACAUAGUUUGAGAGCUACACAUGGCGUUGGAUGUUCCGGUGUGGGAGCUUUGGAGUUUCGUCCCCCGGUUGGACCGCUCAUCCCUAGACGCAGGAUAGCACCUGGAAAUCCUGCGGACUAGUCAAACGAUCCCCCAGUUGGAUUGUUUUCCCCGGUACCUAGGUGGUGUGACGAGUAUAUCGUAUAGUUAUUUAUAGUUAAUUAUAUAUAUAUAUAUUUUUAUGUAUAUUUAUUGAAUAGGUAUAGUUGAGGGUGAAAGGAAUUGGAGUGUGUUUAAUAGUUGACAGGAGUGGUGAGUUUGAGAGAAUGUGGUUCUUUUUAAAGGAGAUAACUGAUGUUUUUAGAUGAGUUUUACUGAAGCAUGUUUUGAGAAAUUUCUUAUUGAAUUGUGAACCUGCAUGACUCGAGCAUUAUUUUUACAUGGUGGGGUUAUUAUGUUGUUUUUAACUGCAAACCUGGUUUUUGUCCACUCACAUGUUUUCUGUUUUGCGCCCCCCCCCCCCAGCCAGUAGUUGCUCUUGGAAGUGCAAGUGGUGUACGAAGCGGAAUCGGUGCAUCUUUCUAAUUAGGAACUGUGUAAAUUCUUCUACUCAAUUGUACUUGUAAUCUAAAUUCAGUAGAUGCUCUGUAUUGCCAUGGUAGAUUUUACUUGUGAGGCCGGAGGGCACUCUAGUAUGAAUUAUGUAUGUAUGAAAGCAUGCUGCUGGUUGGGAUUAGUAUUACUGUGUGUUGCAGGUUGAAUAAAUUUUGUUGGGAUUGCUUAAAUUGCAGGGGAGACUCUGCCAAAUUUUUGGUAGAAAGUCUCAAUUAUUUAGUAGGUGGGCCCGGCAUCGGGAUGAUGUCGGGAUCAAGACGGGGUCGGCCUCGGUCUUGGGGAAAUUCCGGGGCGGGUCCUGUCAUAAAAAUAUUUAGUUAUGCUCAAUAGAUGCUCAUAUUGUUGUUCUUCUCCAAUAUGGAGGUAUUUAUACAAGUACAAAGAUGUGUUAACCCUAAAUAAAAUAGGAAAUAUAUCUAAAUUACAAUAUGAAGUAAAUCUCUAUUACAAUAGGACUAAAUAAUAAUUGGUAAGUAAACAAAAUUCUAAUGAAAUAACGAACCAAAAUCCUAACUAAGUAAGGACUCGCCAACACUCCCCCUCAAGUUGGGCAAAGAUAUUUUGCACGCCCAAUUUGACAAGCGAGUCACAGAACACUUUACUGAGAAGCACCAAUUGUAGAGAAGGUCUUUUCGUCAACCACGAGUGAAACAAGUGACAAACUAAAGUAAAGUUCGCAGCGGAAACACAAGAGCAAACCCUAAAAAAUAGGGCACUUAGCAGAAUACAAAAACCUUGUGAGCACGGCUGUAGAUAAGGCAGAACACAGAAACCCUGUGAGCACGGCUGUAGAUAAGGCAGAACACAGAAAUCCUGCUAGCACUGCAAUAGGUAAGGCAAAACACAGAAACCCUGUGAGCACGGCAGUAGAUAAGGCAGAACAUAGAAACCCUGUGAGCACGACAGUAGGUAAGGCAGAACACAGAAACCCAUGAGCACGACAGUAGAUAAGGCAGAACACAGAAGCCCUGUGAGCACGACAAUAGGUAAGGCAGAACACAGGCAAAGGGCAAGGCCACAACAACAACAACAAUGACCACAUCAACGGAAAGCGAAGCAAGCAAAGGCAACAUCGACCACAACAGAAACACACCAGCAAAGGCAUGAACAACAAUACUGGCACCAUAGUAGGCAGGAGCAACAAUACUGGUACCAAACAACAGCAAUACAAGGUACUGGCACCAGUAAGACAAGGUAGGGCAAACAACUGUGGUAGCAGCAACAACAGAGACAACUUCUAUGCACUCUCCCUCUCCCCCUGAAGAGACGGGGUCGAUAGAGCCAUACUUGAGAAACAGGCACGGACAAUCAGCCAUGAUAGAUAGAUAUGUGAAUUGCAAUGGAAUAGAUGAGCAGCAGUGUCACUCCCUCUCAAAUUCGACAAUGCAUGAGAGUCGAGAUUUGGAGAAAGUAACACCCAAAUAAACAGAGAGACAAAGGCCACCUAGGAGAAGGCUCGGCGAGCGGUGACGAGGCUUCCAGAGGUUUGAGAUGGCUCGAUGAGCGGUAACGAUGCUCACGGAUGAAAGAGAUCAGGCCAUCAAUGGCCAAGGGGCGUGUUGCCCAUAUGGUACACAUUUAAAAGAGAGGCUCGGCGGUGAGCGCAAGAGACUAAAACUAACAUGGGCUCAAUCUGAUUUUAACAUAUAGCAAGCACAUAGAGAGAUGAAAAGUAAGAGAAAAAAAGGCAGCUGCAGGCAUAGGUAGAGAAAAAGAAAGGUAAUGACUCAACAUAAACACGACAUGGACAGAGACAAGAGUAAAAUUGCAAAAAAAUGCGGUUAUGGCUAAGGCAGAAGAAAUAUAUGUUGAUUAUUAAGGAAAGGAGAAACGGGGAUUUACAGCAAGGUGAAGACCCAUGAUGGGUUAGGAAUAAGGAACGCCAACGACUCUCAAUUUGUUAGAGGAUAUCACAGGUUAGCAACCAGGCUCUGAUACCAUGUCAAACAAAGUAGGGUAAAAAUAUUUAGUUAUGCUCAGUAUAUGCUCAUAUUGUUAUUCUUCUCCAAUAUGGAGGUAUUUAUACAAAUACAAAGAUGUGUUAACCCUAAAUAAAAUAGGAAAUAUAUCUAAAUUACAAUAGGAAGUAAAUCUCUAUUACAAUAGGACUAAAUAAUAAUUGGAAAGUAACGAAAAUUCUAAUGAAAUAAGGAACCAAAAUCCUAACUAAGUAAGGACUCGCCAACAAAAAUGCCCUCCUUGAACUUUUGAAGAAGAGAGAAUUAUUUCAAGAUUUGUUUCCAUUGUUGUGAAAUUCUUUUGGUACUAUUGCUGCUCUGCUACAGGAGAUAGUUUCAAUUUACCCUGUUCUGUCACCACCAAAUUUAACUCCUGCUCAAUCAAAUCGAGUUUGCAAUGCUCUAGCUCUUCUUCAGUGUGUGGCUUCUCACCCAGACACAAGAAUGUUAUUCCUCAAUGCUCAUAUACCUUUAUAUUUGUACCCUUUCCUUAAUACAACAAGCCAGUCAAGGCCUUUCGAGUACUUGAGGCUCACUAGCUUAGGUGUCAUUGGUGCCUUAGUGAAGGUCGAUGAUACAGAAGUGAUUAGUUUUCUUCUGUCAACAGAAAUAAUUCCACUGUGCCUGCGCACUAUGGAAAUGGGUAGUGAACUCGCAAAAACAGUGGCCACAUUUAUUGUUCAAAAGAUUUUGUUAGAUGAUGUGGGCUUGGAUUAUAUUUGUACUACAGCUGAGCGGUUUUUUGCAGUAGGUCGAGUCUUGGGAAUUAUGGUAGCAUCACUUGCGGAUCGCGCUUAUUAAAACAUAUUAUCCGAUGUUAUCUUCGAUUGUCAGAUAACGCAAGGGCUUGUGAUGCUUUAAGAAGUUGUCUUCCAGAGGCAUUAAGAGAUGCUACCUUUAGUGGUUGCCUUCGUGAAGAUCCAACUACAAGGAGAUGGCUGCAGCAGUUGCUUCACAAUGUUUCGGUUAGUCGGGUUCCUGCACUUCAGGCCGGAGGAGGGUUUGAUCAUAUGAUGGUGAACUAAUAUAAAUAAUUCAAUGUUGUCCUUGGGCUGCCAUCUGCUGUUUAUGCAUCAGAGAGGGCUGCAUGCUUCUUAUUUAUCUACCUCAGUGCUAAUGGGAAAAUUUCAUCUUUGUAAUUACAAAAUGUUUCUUCUGUAAACUUGGCCUCAAAAGGCGAAGCUUUUAACUAUUCACUUCCAAGAGAAAUCAAUUGUUCCCAGAAGAAAUUGUCUUCUUAGCUGAUUUCUUGUGUAAUUUUUUGAAUUGUUCGGUUUAUUUAACAAAUUCCGUAUUUUAAGAGUAUUUCAUCGGUUUCAUGGCAAAAUUAUUCCUAAUAAAGUCAGCCUUUCUUUUGGAAAAAAAAAGAAGAAAAAAAAAGAAGAAGCAAACAACCAUAUAUUCCGUAUUUUAAGAGUAUUUCAUCGGUUUGAACUUUUCUUCUCUCAUUUUUUAUUUUCGGUUAUCUAUUCAUAAAAAAAGCACCAUUUGUAUUUGUGUGUAGAUUUGUAUCUUACUUGUUCAAAUUGAAGUGCGCCUGUUCUUCUUUUGAAAUUAUAUGCCUUUGAAAUUUCAGCUCAGAGAAGUGGAUAUCCUACCUAAGGUGCAUAUAAUGAACAUGGAAGUUUGCUGCACUAGUUGGCUAUCAAGGUGCCAUCUUCUAGAACUUUGCUACUAUAGGGGUUGGUAAAGUCAUGGAAGUUACUGUUUCACCCUCACUUUGGUCUAGGGUGAUAAAAAAUUGCUCCAUGUGUGUUCAGUAUGACCUAAUUUUUGCAUAAUUGAAUCUGUUGUUUUUCUACGGGUGGUUUUAUUUUCUUUUAGCUUCCUGCUGAAAAAUGAGGUAUAGGCUUGUAUUUGUUGCACAGUGUGGCUUAUGUAGGAAUAUAACCAAGUUAGUGAUGCUUGAACAUGUUGUUUUGAGCCAAUUCAAUGGGGAGCUUUUUAUUUGCGGCAAUGCGGGCAGUUUGGAGCGCUCUAUGGAUGCUGGGCAUGUUUGUCUGCAUUUACACUGCUGUGUACCGUUCCCUUGUUAUAAUAAUUCUGUCUGAAGUGAAUUUUUGUUUUUGUUGUAGGGACAUUUAUUCCUGUCAAAAGCUUUACUUGGUGUCAGUUCACGUUGUAAGUUCUAGUUAUCUUUUUUACUAUGAGAAGCCCGUUGUAAUUUUUUUGUGCAUAAAAUUGAACAUUAGACAUCUGUAGUAGCUAUUCGGUCAUGCAAUGACAAUAAUAAUGCACUUUCGUGAACAAAGAAUAAAGUUGUAAUUCCUGCCCUUUUUUUCCUAGUUUCUAAAGCCAAUUUCUUUUUGGGUAAAUGGAGCCAUUGGAGAUGUUAGCUCUACCAGGGCUGUUCAAACAGCAACUGGUAUUCAAAGAACCAAAAUCAAUUCGCAAUCUAGACAGGAGUUUGAAAACUACAAAAUAUGGAUGACACUAUCAUUGCCCGUCAAACUUUUCAUCUUGCAGUUUCAAUUGUUCCAAAUCCCAUUUCGUUAUCAAAAAUCCUGCAGCUGAGUUGCAACAACUUCACAUCAUUUAGACAUGCUGGGAUUCUUGUACCUUGCCAAUACCAGCAACAUCACUAGUAUAAUGAGACAUAAUCUUUCAACAGAAAGAUGUUGGACAUAUUUGGAUGCCUGUUUACAAUUAAUGUCUGAUUUUCAAUAAACCUUGAUUGGAAAUUAUGAAAUAGAUAAAUCUGUUACAUUUUGUCCCCAACACACAUCAAUUCCAGUUAAUGAGAUAGAAGAAUCAUAGACAAAAUAUAUGUGUGGAAUGAAAGUAUUAGAUAAAUCCGGCAUUGUUCAUCCACGGAUAAAUGCUGGAUGCAUCAAUUGAGAAGAAAGGUAUUGCCUUAUGCAACUUAAAAUGGAAUCUCAGAAAUUGGUGGCGCCUCAACACACCUCUUGAUUACUAGACCAUUGCCGGAAAUUGGGUUCGUUUCGACAGCUAAACAUGGGGCUCGCAUAAAACCACUUUGGAACUUCAUUGCCUGAAAAUUUAAUAUCGAAUAUAUAGCGCUAAGAAAAAGGAUUUAACCCAAAACAAAAUGAAAAAAAAACUCACACCCUGAAAACUACAACAUAUACCUAGAGAUGCACAGCAAAAUAUUGCUAAAUUUGAAUUGAACACAAAAAGCAGAUAUAUGACCAGAAAAUGCAAAGAUAUCAUUCAAAAUUUGAUGGAUUUACAUACUUUGGCUCCUUAUUAGGAUCAGUGUACCUCCUCUUUUGGUGAUCCGCUGGUCCAGUAAACAAGGUAAGCCAUCGAGCUUCAUGAUCACCAAUGUCGACGACGUUAGCACGAUGAUCAUCGUGAAGUGCCAUGUAAUCUGAUUGGCGAGGCCUCUUGCCAAGACUAGUCUUUGAUGCUAAAGACAAGGAAAGCAAUUCGCAGUCUUGGUGUUGAUCAUCAUCAAUAUCAUCGUCGACUGCCAUCGCAUCAGGUAACAACAACUACGUUGGCCCAUGAUCAACAACAGCAGUCUCACUGACAUCAGCAACCUGGUGGCCUAGUAGGUGGACCCCGCAGGGAAUUUUGACGGGUGUGGGCACUUUGACAAACAAGUCAAAUAUAACUUGACACGUAUUACCCUGCUUCGUCAGUGGUUCUUCAAACUCGUACGCGUACUUAUCCAAUAAUGGAAUAGACGUGAGUUGCACAUGACUUUCCCAUGAUGCAAUAUGUUUCUCAUUGACGAGUUUUCCAUUGAGAAGAAUCUUGACAUCAGCUUGAGUAACAACACAUAGAACCAAUCUUAACGUCUCCCAUUUUAAAUUUGGAGGAAUUUCAAAAAUAACUUCACAUCCAGAAUUGUAUUUCUUUGUUCCAGGACCUGUAACCAAAUAAGGUCUAACUAUUGAUGCACCUUUACGACAGCUGAACCACUUUGGAACUUCAUCGCCUGGAAGACGAAUGUCAAAAUGAGAACGCGAAGAAGAAACAGAAACCUGAUUCAGAAAAAUAUUUUCUGUGAUGUCGUAGCCGCGUAGUCUAACGCAAUUGAUCAAACUCAGAUACAUAUUGUCAUCCUUCCGUGGGAGUUCUGGAAUUUUCUCCAAUGAUGUGCAGUUAUCUAGCAAUACCCAAGCCAGUUUUGGAAUUUUUUCCAAUGAUGUGCAGUUAUACAGCGAUACGGAUUCUAUUCCUGGUGGAAGCACUUGUUCUGGAAUUUCCAGAAGACUCUUGCAAUAACUCAAGUCAAGAGUCCGCAAGUUGACAAAUUUGCUAAAGCAUCUCGGAAGAUUGACAAAAUUGUUUCCCGAUAGAUCAAGUUCUGUUAAUGUGGACCAGCAAUCAAGGUGCAGGAGUAAAUCAAUUUUUGAUAGAUUGCAUCCUGUGAGACUAAAUUGAAAUAGGUUGGGAAGCAGCUGUAAUUCGGAGUUGCUGGAUGAAACUUGAGAGUUGAACGUAAUUGUAAGGUUCUCACAAUAUGCAGCGAACAAGUGAGAAAGCCCAGUAAGAUAUGCAAUUGAUGAAGGCAAUUCUCUUACGCCACUUCCUGAUAUGUACAAAAUCCUUAGUGAUUCCAUCUCGACUUCUAUUUCUGGGAAACUUUCAAGCCUUUUGCAACCACAAAGAUCAAGUAGUUCAAGAGAUUUCAAUCCAAGUGUUGCAAACCUUGUAAGAUUGAAGCAUCCACCAAGAUUCAAUUUUUGAAGGCCAGUAAGAUAUGCAAUUGAUGGAGGCAAUUCUCUUAUGCCACUUUCUUGCAUAUCCAAUAUCUGUAGUGAUUCCAUCUCGACUUCUAUUUCUGGGAAACUCUCAAGCCUUUUGCAAUUAUUAAGAUAAAGUUUUUUAAGAGAUUUCAAUCUAAGUCUUGUUCCAAACCUUGUAAGAUUGAAGCAUCCACCAAGAUCCAAUUCAACAAGUUUAUCAAGGAAUCCAACAGAACCAUCGACCUCAAACAAAAGUGUGCACUCGCGUAGAUUCAAGUACUUUAUAUUUGGGAUUCCAGAUAAAUCAGGGAUUUUUUCUAAGAAUUGACAACCCCUCAAAUUCAUAGAUGUCAACUUUGACAAAUGCUGUGAGACAAGAACACAAAAACAGGAAAUAAUUAAUCACACGCUUCAAAAGACAAAAACUUAGAAAACAAUUUUUCAUUUUUUUCCUUCUGAAAUUAACAACAGUAUUUGAAAUUAUAUAUAAUGGAUGAAAAUAAUUUCAAAUGCAUACCUUAAAGUUAAAUCCAUCCAAUUGUCUGAUAUGACUGCGUGGCAUAUUGAACUCAACAAGACGAUUUCCUUGAAAAUUGGGUGGCAAAGAUUGUAACUGACAUCUAUCCCAAUCAAUCAAUCUUAACGCGUUGGGCAGAUAGUUAAUGUGCCCACAUAGAGAUGCAUUACGGUUUAUGAAAAUUUCAAGAUUUACCAUAUUACAGAAGCAUUCUGGAUUCAAGGUUAUCUCUGCUGGUUCUGGAAGCUUCACAAUGAUGCCUUUAAUAUUUCUUGUUCCCUAAGAUAGAAAAGCAUUAAGAUCAAAAAACGGAGUCAUUUUACAAACCAAAAUGCAACCACAUUUUGUUAAGAAAAUUAUAUAGGUUACAUAAGGUAUUCUUUCUUGUCAAAUUGAAUAUAAUAACAUAUGUGAUACUUACUGUACUUUCCGUUAGAACUUGUUCAACAUCCUCGUAAAACCACAAUCUACUACGCUUGCCGGGAUCAUUGGGGGAUUCUUUGUGAACUAUAUCCUUGCCCAGUUUUUCUAGUAAGUCAUGCAUCUGAAUCGUACCAUAGUCAAUAGUUAUCAUUGCCUUCUGAAUGAGUACUUCAAUACAAUCUCGGGAGACCUUGUUCUUAGAAUUGCUUACUAUUUGUAGAACAUAGUCCUUCUUUUUACCCUUGAAGAAACAUGCGAUGUCUAGAAAAAAUUGUUGCAUGGAAUUUUCCAAGGCAUCAUAACUUUUUUGAAGUAUUUUUUGAAUACCUGUAUAUGGUUCUCCUUCAUAACUAUUUAAUAUAUCUUGCCAACGAUCUUUGUCUUUAUUACGAAGAUGAGAACCUAAAAUUGUUAGAGCUAGUGGAACGCCUUGAGCAUACUCUAGUGCACGUUGUGCGAGUUCCAAAUAAUCCUUUGGAGGUUUGUUGGUUCCGAAGGCACAGAAACUAAAAAGCUCAAGAGCUUGGUUGCGAUAUAACUUUUGGACCUCGUAUAUCAAAUCAAUUCCAUGACAUUUUAGCAAUCCGCUAUCUUGUGUAGUUGUAAUGACUCUACUUCCCUCACCAAACCAACCAACACCAGCCAAAUUGUCUAAUUGCUUCAAUUGAUUUACAUCAUCAAGAAUUAAGAGAAUUUUUUUAUGGCUCAAUCGUUCUUUUAUGACACCAAUUCCUUCAUCAACACUAUGAAUUUUCCAUUCCCCGCCAAGAAUUUUAUGAAGAAGAAUCUCCUGUAGCUUGAUUAAGUCUCCAUCUGACAUUGAAUUUUCUCUCACAUUUGACAAGAAACAGCUUCCUUCAAAUUUAUGUGCAAUGGCAUUCCAUAUAGCUUUUGCAAUUGUUGUCUUGCCUAUUCCAGAUGUCCCCCAUAUCCCAACCAUGCGACGACCAUUCCCACCAACAUCUAAAAGCUUUUUCACAUCUUGGACACGAGAAUGAAUUCCAACUGGGUGCUUGGCCACAUUCCAAUAUGUACGGCUCAGUACUUGGCUUAAGAUUCCAUCAACGAUGUUGUUGAUAAAUGUAGUUUCAUAUCUGCCAGUUGAACCAAAUUUAAACAAAUCCAACCACGCAAAAGAACACAACAUACUCAAGUACGUAAUAGUUGUUCUGACCAAAAAAGAAAAAAAGAUGUAAUAGUUGUUUAACCACAAACCUAUGUUAUGUAUCAUUUAUACUUGUAUGCCUUUUGAAGAGAUUAAUAUAUGGAUUUUGAACUUUCUACUUACAGCUAUCAAAAAUACAAAAGUACCCAAGAAAAUAAAUCUUCUCACUACAGUUGUAUAUUUUUAUAACAGAAUACUUCUCACUGCGUAAUAGUUACUCAACUUGCCGCUAUUCGGUUUCACGUUUUUUUGUCAAGACGAAAUUAUCAUAUAAUACUUAGCAAGCAACAUAAAAUCCUACAAAGCAAUCUAAAGCAAACAUUAAAAAGUAGAUAUCAUCGGUUUUCAAAGUCGAUAUGCAAAAUGAUUUCUUACAGAGAAAUUAUUUGUUCGCUAGCUGAGUUGACUUUGGCUUACCUUGUUCUACUUCAAAUGAUGAAGUUUUAUGAUGGCUCGUUUGUGAGUGAUUCCGGAUAGGUCAAUAAUCACUUUUAUGGAGAAGUACAUGGGAAGUGUUUCUCUCCAUAAUCACUUAAAAUUAUUAAAAAUGAUUAUAUAAAGAAGUACGUAGAAGGUGUACCCAAUAAGUGACAGAAUAACUCGCAAAUGAAUUUGGUAGAUUUUCGUCACCAUUGGCAUAAGAGUUGGAUUAACAAAAUCGUAUAACACAGUACAAACAUAUCCUCGCUAGAUCAAGUUCCAAUGAUCAAUUCCAAUUGUGUCUAUAAUUUGAGCUGGAAAAAUUAAAAGGAAAUUCCAAUGCAAAAGUACUCGUAAUUUUAUAUUUAUUCAAUUUCCAAUAUUAUGAGUUACAUAAUUACAUUACUCUAUUGAGAAAAGUGGAGGGCAUCUUCAUCAAAACUAAAUUUAAGUAAUAUUUCUGGAAAUGUUACUUUAACUUAGGGGUGGGCAUCUAAAAUCGAAAUACCGAAAUCGUACACUAACCAUACUGUACCAUACUGAUUUCAUACCGUUUCAUUUGGGAUGGGGAGAUAAUCGGUACCGUAUCAAUAGAGUAUGGUAUGAUAGCGGUAUCAAGUAUUUGGUACCGGUCAAUACCGUACCAUACCGAAAUAUAAACAUGUUCAAAUAGAAACAUAUAUUUGUUGUGAUGAACUGUGAAGGUAGGAAGCAGAUUUUCCAAAGUCCCGUUUUGCAAAUUUGUACAUAUAAAAAAGAAGAAUUCUUGAGGCUGCUGGGGAUUUGGGUAGCUGUUGUUUACUUUCUUUGAUCAAUGUCUAUGAAUUGUAAUUUUCUUUUUGCAUCUUCUGUCAAAUUUUCUCGGAUAAUCAUAUCUAUAAGUUCAUUUUCAUGGCUUAAUUAAUGUAAAUUUCAUCCUCAAUUUUUGUUUUCCCCAUUUUUGCAAUUGAGUUGGGUUUUUUCCCCCAUAAUUAAUGUCUUGCACAUAUAAGAAAAUGUUGUAAUUUAAUAUGGGUAGCCAACAUUAUGAUGAAAAAAGUUGUGUUUUGUCUUCAAGCUUCAGUCUGAAGCUUUGGAUUCUCAAGGCAUAUCAUAUGAAUGAAUUAUGAAAUUUAAUAACUAUUUUUAUUGUCUCAUUCAUUCCGUCUUGCAUUUUUUAGUUUUGUCAUUUUAGUAUCGAUAUCGUACCGUUACUGAUUUGACACGGUACGGUAUUGUACCAACUAAAGUUUAGCGAAUCAUGUGAUGACUCAUACAAUACUCUCUAUUUCCAAUAUUCUGCAGUUGCUGUGGCUAUCCUGUACCCACCCACGUGUGGCAGCACAUAAGACUUGAUGUCUUUUUACUUUUUCUAAUUUUUUUUCAAUUAUAUAUUAUUAGUGUAUUUUAUAUGCUUAUUAAAAUAUAAGUUUCGCCUCAAAAUAUGACAUCGAAAAUAUUUAUAAAAAAAAAAUUAAAAUUAAAAUAAAGAUCUUCUCCCUGCAAUUUAAUAAUGAGUAACAAUUAAAUGUGUAACAAAUAGUAAUGAGAAAGAAGAGAGAAAAAAAAUUAAACAUAAAAAUGAUAAAGAUAGAAAAUAUACGUACUCUCCAUCCUUGAAAGUAUGUCCGGACAAAUUUGCUGCUUCUGUAAGAGCUUCCCUCCAUAUGAGCACUUUCUCCUUGUCAUUCUUGAAUUUCCUUUUAAUAAGUUCUUCAAAUGCGUCACCAAAUUUACUUUUUUGGUUUCGCACAUGAGAUGGAUCCACCUUGUAAAAAAUGGGCAAAACUACUUGUUGCUUUGAUUGUUUACAUUGAAGGAUCUUGACAAGUUCAUCCAAGCACCACCUCGAAGAUGCAUACUUUUCAGAGAAUACAAUGAGAGAAAUUCUUGAUUCUUCAAUUGCUUUGACAAGGGCUGGGGAUAUUUCUUCUCCUCUUACAAGCUCUCGAUCAAUGAAGGUCCAGAUUCCCUUACGGACUAAAGCCUUGUGCAAAUGAUCUGUAAAAUUGAAGCGUGUAUCCCCACCUCUGAAACUCAAAAACACAUCGUAUGAAAAAGAAGAAGAAGAAGAGACUGGUUGAGUGGUCAUAGGGGGCAGAUCUGAAGGAAGUUGAGGUUGAGUAGCCCAACUCCCUAUACACCUGAAUAAGGAUUUGAAGAACAUCGAAGAAUUGAAGAAGAAGCAGAGAGAAUCUUAUCUGAUUUUGUAUUGAUUUUCUUUCUUAAUAAAACGAUACAGUAAGAACUAAGCUUAUAUGCAUGACAAAUAGCUUAAGGCUUAAACAAACUCAACAAAAUCACGUGCUCUCCAUGUGCCUAACUCAACUAACUUGUGCAUUCAUCAGGAUAAACUAAACAUAAGCUCAAAAAUUGGGUAUGGUAGUGGAGCCCUAGUUAGAUUUAUGAGGUCUUUCAGUGCAAGUAGUUGUAGACUAGUCAGCCGAAGCAGUUUCUUUGUAAUGCGACGGUACCUAAAACGUGUUGAGAUGGUCUUUUAGUGCAAGUAGUUGAAGACUAGUCAGCCGAAGUAGUUUCUUUGUAAUGCGACGGUACCGACAACGUGUUGAAGUGAAGGGUAAGGAACCCGUUUUCUUUGAAAUGAUGGUCUUUUAGUGCAAGUAGUUGUAGACUAGUUAGCCGAAGCAGUUUCUUUAUAAUGCGACGGUACCUACCACGUGUUAAAGUGAAGGGUAAGGAACCCGUUUUCUUUGAAAUGAUGGUCUUUCAGCGCAAGUAGUUGUAGACUAGUGAGCCGAAGCAGUUUCUUUGUAAUGUGACGGUACCUACAACGUGUUGAAGUGAAGGGUAAGGAACCCGCUUUCUUUGAAAUGAUGAUCUUUCAGUGCAAGUAGUUGUAGUCUAGCCAGCCGAAGCAGUUUCUUUGUAAUGCGACAAUACCUACAAUGUGUUGAUGGUCUUUCAAUGCAAGUAGUUGUAGACUAGUCAGCCGAAGCAAUUUCUUUGUAAUGCGACGGUACCUACAACGAGUUGAAGUGAAGGGUAAGGAACCCGCUUUCUUUGAAAUGAUGGUCUUUCAGUGCAAGUAGUUGUAGACUAGUCAGCCAAAGCAGUUUCUUUGUAAUGCGACGGUACCUACAACGUGUUGAAGUGAAGGGUAAGGAACCUUCAAGGCAACUUCUCCUCUGGUUGAGCUAAUAGUAGAGGAAAAUGUAAUGAUUCUUUUGGGUAUUAAACUCCUUGCAAGAGAAGAAAAGAAAAGAGAUGGCAGCCACAAUCGCAUCAUAACUUCUUAUAAUACUUCAUAGGCCAUAUGUCAAUGCAUCAUAACUUAUUCUGAGUAAUAUGAAAUUUCUAUUUUCACUAAAUCAAUAUAUAAAAGUGAUGGCUAAAAAUGAUUUAGGCUAAAAAUCAUGUGAUCAGUUAAAAGAUUAGAAACUCACUAGCAACUUGACUAGCAGUUUCCACUAGCUCACGAGCUGAGACCUCAGAGGAGAUGAGGAUCACAAGAGCAAACAUAAAGCCAAGAAGAAGAAAAGUCUUGGAGGAUGAUGCCAUGUUUUUCUUAACAACACAAUUUAGAUGAAGACAAGAUUGUUGAGUGAACUUAAUGUGGCUUCGCCUCAACCAGUUUAUAGACCCUUGAGGAUAGAGUGGGUGGUGGGGGAAGAGAGGGAGAGAUAAGAAUUUCUGUGGACAUCGUUGAACUGAAGACGUACGCCUAAAGGAGAGGAACACUUGAAACCUAGUUGAUCACAUUUUGUGGACUUAAUUUGAAAAAAAAAACACUCAUUUUUUUUCCACAAACGUUGAUGGUUUGUCUCCUUUUGUAAAUCAUUUAACGAACAGAGAUGAAAAUCAAGUCUACACAUAUAUCUUCAAUAAAUAAGUUUCAAAUGUCUUUGUAUGCCUUUUGGUUUUAUGAUUGAACUCUUGUUCUCAAAAAGUUUCAUAUGGACGUCAAGGGUGGAAUCAGGAAUUUUUCAACGGGUGGGCUAGCUAAAGUUAUUAGCUUAAAAUUUAAUGAUUAUUUUUUUUGGUACUUACAAUUUCUAUAGUCUUUCUAGAAAUAAAAGUAAACAUUAAAUCGUAUAAACCAAGCUAGUUCAUAGCUCCAUAGACUAAUUUUUAAUAAGUUUUAACAUAAACCAAAUAGGGUUUAACACCAUAGUAGAUUGAACAUCUAAGGCUUUUUACCUAGAUUUAGGUUCCUUCAUGCAUUCAUAUCAUACAUGAAAAGUUGUUUUAUGUAAAAAUAUUGACUAAGUAUGAAAAAUGGAUUUUCAGAAAAAUCAUUUUCUUAAGAUAAUUUUUGGCGGCUUUUAUUCUUCACACAUCAAAUAAGAAAACUUCAUUUUAUGGGAUUUUAGUAUGAAGUAUAUAUUGAUUUAAUGGCAGCUACAAAAGUCGUCAAACGCUGAAAUUUCUAUUUUCACUGACGCGCUUUCUUCCAAUACAAAAGUGAAAGUGGGUAAGGAGCCUUCAAGGAACUUUCAUAAAUAAAGACCAAAGAUUCUUGCCCUUUUCUAACUCCUAGCGACUGUAGCCUUUAUUCUACUUACCCUAUUUUUUCUAAAUUAAUUUAUUCACACAUUGACUUAUAUAUAUAUAUAUACCUUUCGUAAAUAAAGACCAAAGAUUCUUGCCCUUUUCUAACUCCUAGCGAUUGUAGCCUUUAUUCUACUUACCCUUUUUUUUCUAAAUUAAUAUAUUAACACAUUGAGAUAUAUAUAUAUAUAUAUAUGCUAUAAAAUGAACUGGGAUAUGUGCGAAUAUUGAGCUGCACGUAAAGUAGAUGAGACACAGUAUUUAACGAGGUUCGGCUAUGCCUACGUCCUCGGAGAGCAACAGCAGUAACUUUUCACUAUAUGAAAUAAUAGGGCUACAACUUUAGUGUUUACAAUAUGUAUGACUCACUCAAUUUUCUCUCUUGGAGAAUUUCUCUCUUGCUCUCUUUCCUCUCAACUCACUCACCCUCAUUCUUCCUUAUCUUCCUCUUCUCUAUGUGUAAACUUCUCUUGAUGGAGGUAUCUAUUUAUAGGCCUAAGACAUUGGUUGUUCACCUCACAAUAUAAUUGGUAGACAACAUCAUUAAUAUUCUUCAAUCAACAACAUCAUUAAUAUUCUUCAAUCAAUUGGGUAGUGGUUUGGUUUGGUGGUUGAGUGGUUAGGUUUAGUGGGUGUUAGUUGGCUAUGUGGGCUUCACCUAUUCUUCUUUACUUAUUCUUCUUUACAACACUCCCCCUUGGAGACCACAUGUCCCUAGAUUGGUUGCCUCAUUAAAACCUUGCUUGGAGAAAAACCCUGUGAGGUAGAAAACUGAUGGAAGGAAGAAAAAAAAAGAGUACAGCAAUCUGUAUAGCAUACUUCUAGAUGCCCCCCCUGAUUAAUAUCUCCCCCUGAUGUCUUCAUGACUAUCUUUUGGAGUGAGAAUCUUUCGGAGUGAGUGGAGGAUAUAGCCAUUAAUAAUUCUCGUAGUUGAGUAAGUAAAUAUAUUUCCAGUGAGCUAUCUCUAUGUAAAUCAUAGAAAUUUUCAGAGUCCGCGUUUCUAACAAAACUUGGGCUAUUUGUAAGUUCACUUGAAAGAAUAUGCCCGUACAUGGUGUUAUGCGGAGAUAGCAUCAAAUAUACCUCACAUCAUCCCAAAAUGAUGGUGAUGGAGUUGAGCCCUAUCUGGAAAAUAUGAUGGCCGGUCCAAUAUACUUCCGGAAAAUCAUUAAAGUGUCCAACGGAUAAUACUCAUAAAAAUGCUUCAAUACUUUCUUAGUAUAAGCAAGAAUCUCGUUGGUAUAAUGCUCGAUCCUUAAGUCGAGACAAAUAUUUCGUGAAUUCUGCAGAAGCUUUAAUGUGUUGCAAUCACAUUAUAAUCAAUGUACUCAAUGAGGUAAUUUAUGCAUAUUAAUAUUGAGUACAAAUUUUGUGCUUCAAGCACAUGUUUUGUGCUUCAAGCACAUGUCCUUUAGGGACUUGCUUUAUGCAAUUGUCAAUCUUCUCAACGGAUUUUGUCUAAAAGGGAUUAAACUUUAUGACACAUUAUAUAGCUUUAACCCAUCUAUUUAUACAUCUUUAGGGAAUCGCUUCUGGCGAUAUGCUCCGUGCAUUUAAUAACCCUUAAAGAUAAUAUGUUGGUCUCCGUAAUUGUGUAAUAAGGGUGGAGAAAACCCAACAUUCCUUGUUUCUGCUAGAAAACAGUGUGUCAUACAAAGUAGGUAUAUUCCCUUUUAUUCCGAACACCCAAGUAUAAAUUCAGUAUUAACAAAUUUUGGGGUUCGUAUUGUGGGUUUGUUCUUUCACGUUCAUUCUCAUUUAUAAUGGAAUUACCUCGUUCCAUUUUGGCCAAUGAUAUUGUCGACAUUUAAUAAUUGAACGUGGUUCCAAUCAACACGGCCCAUUGAUGAUUCGAGUAGCUACUCAAAAACCAAAAAUUGUCAUUCAUCAAUUCAUAAUCUCACAAUUCUCAUGUGCAUGCGCAUGCAUCAAUUAUAAGCAUUUCUUUUGCUUUUGGGUACCCAAGCCACUUCAUGGGGCUUUUAUUAUGUGAGAAUGUGGAUUAUAACCUCCAUUGGAGCGUUAUUUUACAUAGGGCGUGGAAAAUCUCCAUUUAGGGAGUUGGAACAUUUAGAACCCAUAUAUCUGUCAUGCUGCAGGCAUGCCACAGAUUAAUACAUACAUGUCAAUUAAUUUCUGGGACUUUAACCCAUAUUAUGGGACUUUAACCCAUAUAAUUUGUUACGCAUUAGGCGUGCAUAAUAUCAAUAUUGACAUGUCAAAGGAUUGUCCUUUCGGGACUUCAAUCCAUAUCAUUUGCUACGCAACAGGCGUGCACCCAUAUAUCUGUCAUGCUGCAGGCAUGCCACAGAUUAAUACAUACAUGUCAAUUAAUUUCUAGGACUUUAAUCCAUAUUAUGGGACUUUAACCCAUAUAAUUUGCUACGCAUUAGGCGUGCAUAAUAUCAAUAUUGACAUGUCAAAGGAUUGUCCUUUCGGGACUUCAAUCCAUAUCAUUUGCUACGCAACAGGCGUGCACCCAUAUAUCUGUCAUGCUGCAGGCAUGCCACAGAUUAAUACAUACAUAUCAAUUAAUUUCUGGGACUUUAACCCAUAUAAUUUGCUACGCAUUAGGCGUGCAUAAUAUCAAUAUUGACAUGUCAAAGGAUUGUCCUUUCGGGACUUCAAUCCAUAUCAUUUGCUACGCAACAGGCGUGCAUCAUAUUGAUCACUGCUAUACCCAUAUUCUGUUCUUAUGGUACAUUAAUCUGUGCAGUGUAUUAUCAAUGUAUCCAACUUGCAAUCUGUAAAAUUUGCAUUAAUAAUUCAUGGAUACAUACAAGCCAUUCUUUUGGAACGGACUUAUCUCCCCAUUUGGUUACCUUUCAAGAUAAAAUAUCAAAUAAGUAUAUAAGCAUAAAAUAACACAAGUAUUGCUUACAUCCUUAGGUGGGAGAAACUUUUCUCAAGUAUCAUUCAAGCUCGUAUCAGCCCAGUAAAUAUAAUGUAGCGCUUGAUGAUCUAGUUAUAUCCUGCAAGAGCAAAAAUCACAACUCUUUUGCCUCUGUUAAAACAAAUAAACCUCACAGUUAGGAUCACUUCAUGGAUUCAUUCUUCAGAUGUUCAUUCUAAAGAAAUAAAAUCUCUUAUGAACAGAGAGUUAUAAAAAGAGAAAAAAUGCAAAAAUAAUGUGAUAUUGAUUGCAAGAGAAGGUAAGCAAUCAAGGAAGGAAGCUGGUGGGAGCAGACAACAAGCUCAGCAAUCAAGGAAGGAAGCUGGUGGGAGCAAACGACAAGCUCUCAUUUCUUCUAGUUUAGAAGAACUUCCGGAGAUUAGAGCAUAAGGUUGCCUUCACAGUUCCCUGAUGUGGCGGGAACGUGAUCAGGGGUAGUCUCGCUUCCUGAAUGGAUGAUCAGAGAUAGUCUUGCUUCUCGGGCAUAUUAAGUGCUCACUGAUAAGAAAAACAAGUAGAUAUCGCAUCACUAGGUAUGGAGAAAACUGGAUGUCUUCUGCAAAGAAAAUUUCGUUAGUAACACAUUUAUACACAAAUACAAUGAAUAGGUAGAACCGGUGAAUUUCAAAUUAACCAUAAGAAAAUUGCGAGAUUCUCGGGGUACUUUUGAAAAAGUAGCUCCGUGAAAUCCGUAAAGCAAGAUCUGCUUUUGAUGAAAAUAAAACUUUGAAAACGCCGAAAGUGCCGACAAACAUUUAAUGGAGGCCACGUGAAGUUUUGGAAUCUGGGAAAGAAAAAGAUAAUAUGGGGAUCUGAGAUAAUAUUGGGAUUCUGGAAACUGUAGCCAUAUUUCCUCCUAUAGAUAUUGCCUUUGCAAAACUUGAUUGGAGCAACUGCGUUUCAACUUGCUCCUUUCCUGUAUAAUAAUUGCGCACAUUCUUAAAAUUUGCACCUGUGGUUUUUACGUCUUUUCAAAAUGACGGUUUGGAACCUUGUGCCUUAUAGGUUCAAAUAACCACAUCGACUCUCCCAAAUUUCAUAUUUCAACGUAUGGGAGCCCGGAACUUUUGGCCUGGGCUAAACACAAACUCAUAAUUUAUUUGCCCUUUUCAAAAUGGACAUGAAAUAUGAAUUGAGUAAAAGCCACGCUAAUAUCUCAUAUAUUUGGGUUCAUGAGCUUCCGGCCCAGAUAUAACGAAAUAUGUGGGGAGCCUCAAUUCAUCAUUCUCUUAUGCCAAAGAGAUAUGUGGCGUACCACAAUUUGCAAUAAUACCUCAAGGGUUGUCCAUUUAAUUGUUGGAACUUCAGGUUCUCAACACUGUUAGAUUUUGAACUUCUGGCCAAAAUCACAUAUUCUCAUGGUAUGGACAUUCAACCCCCUUAGAUUUUGAACUUCGGGCCAAAAUCACAUAUUCUCAUGGUAUGGACAUUUUUAUAAUUUUCUGUACAUAUUUCUGGACUUCAAGCCCUUACAUAAUUGUCCAUAUUUUGAGGAACUUCUAGCAUCUCAUUUAAUUGCUCAUCCAUGAGUUUAAGGAACUGCAGGUUCCCUCUUUGAAUAGUGAUGGUUUACCCAAAAUGGUAAAUAUUUAUGCAUACAUCACUAUUCAUGUAUACAGCACUAUUCAUGUGUACAGUACAUUUGCCAGUACAGUUAUCAUCUAUGUGUACGGCAUUAUGAACCAAUACGGUACUGUUACAUCAUUAAGGAACCCCAGGUCCUUAUUUACAUGUCAGGGAUCAAGGACCCUCAAGUCCAAUUACAUGUUUACAAAUAUAGUACCGGAGAGACUGCCAGCUCUCAUA